rnacentral:lncRNA from 1 species
CAUGCUGAUGGGGAAGGGCACGCUGACGCCGCACUUGCCGGGCACGCCGGAGACCUUGCCCAUGUUGAUGGCCUUGAUGCUGGUAGCGAGGCUCUUGAGGCACCUGCACGCCGUCUGCCGGUCCGGGCUGCUGCGGGCCAGGCCGUUCAGCCCCUGCACGCCGGAGCAGCACUCCUUGCUGAUCGCAGAAGCCCUCCCCGUGACGUACGCCACGCACGGCGCGAGCUUGGAGUCCACCUGCCCGCACGACAGCGCCGCCGAGGCCUCCCUGCCGGCCAUCAUCAGCACCACCGCCGCCAGGACAACGGCGGCCGCCACAGCCUUGCUGUUGAGACGAGCCAUCGGUUAAGCUAUCUGGCUAGCAGGUGAUCAGAUGAGUGGGUGUGGUGGUGUGGAGGAAAAGGGUGUGGUUUGGAGGGUAUAAAUAGGGGGUAGAGGUGAACAUGCAGGGCAUUUGAUGCCCGUCGCUGCCAGGUCGUUGGCGGGUGGAAUUAAUUCACAACAAUGCCGAUCCACCAUGCAAGUGCAUGUACUCGCUAGAGAGUACGCUGGCUCUCUUUGCAAUUGGCAUGUGUCUCUUUGCUUUUAUUUUGUUUUUUUACACGUUUUUUUUAUUUGCGGGAAGAAAAAUCUUCACGCCGUAGUAUGGGUACAUCCACAUCCAUGAUGCAGAGGGUCAAGUUAGUAAAGCUAUAUCUCCACAGGCUAAUGAGGUGGCGCACGAGAUUACAGAGUUUAGUUUCCUUAUUAAUAAAACAAAUGGUAUUUUGUGCUCCGCCUGGUGUGGCAUUUGCUGUAAUGAAUGAUUAUAAGAAAAUUUUAAUUAAUUGAUACAUUGGAGUGUUGUUAAAAAAAACUAAGAUAAGAGUGGGGAACAGAAAUUUUACUCUACAGGACAAAGUAGUGAUUGUAGUGGCGGAGGCCCCCGGUGAGCAAGGUGUGGCGGCUGCCGCACCUUAAUUUGGUCCAAGUUUUUAAAUACAUGUAUGCAUAUUAUCAUUUGCUAGCUUGCUGGCUCUCGCUAGAUGAAAAAGAAUUGCUGAAAAAAGAAAAAGGACACGCAGCCACCCUAAUUGGGCCUAUGGCAAGGCCAAACGACCCAUGCAGCCCCGCUAUUUGGGCCUAAUCCAUCUCACGAACAAGCCAGGCAGCUCCCUCCAGCGCGCAUGAAGCAAUUCCCCAACCCCAGCAAAGCACGCGCGCCACAAAUUCUAGAUAGCGCGACGGCGGCGAAGCGAAUUGCUGUGGGCGGCGAGCAAGCGGACGCAGUGGAGGACGACGGUGGGCGGAGGACAAACAGCGCAGCUGGUUGCGGCCGAAGUCGGGACUGGGGCACGGACAGGGCACCACUUGCAGCAAACGUCGAGUGACUGCUGUGACCAAGCAAACGACGCGGCGGCGGCCAGCUCCGCCUCCCUUACGAGUCCGGCCAUCCGCGCCUUCGCCUCUCUCUCCACAUAGUCCUCUUCCUCUCUAUUCACUCGAUUGAUCAGAGGACGGGAUUGGAUUGAACGACCGGAUAGUCCUCCGAUGCGCUGGCUGGUGAGCACAUGUUUGCUAAUUGCACAAUAUUUUUAAUUAUUUAUAUAUAUUCGUCGCAUCGUUAUAUAUUGUAUCUAGAAAUUUUCAUGUCCGUAUUUGUGUCUCUACAGGUGCUUCGUAGGUUACACACAUGUUAUUCAUCAAGAUCAAUUGAAUUCGAAAGAAUUGCAUGCUAUUAUGUUUAAGAGUCCGCCGUAUCUUAAUUUUUUUCCCUCUGGAUUGUACGAAAGCAGAAGAGACGAGAACCUCCGGCAGAUCAAAGGAAAGGCAAACCAUGAAUUUGCGCUCAGGGCAGCAAUAAAACAGGCCAGUCGACAUCCAAACUGGUCCCCGGAAUGUCUAGGACGGCAACUGAACUUUCUACAAUUCCGUAACAGAGCGGCACCUCCACAGUAUGAAAAGAAGUAUUAAUAGCUUGAUAGAUCCGUAACCUAACUGUUGAUGCCUGGUUUUAUUGGCCUUGUUACUAGUUCCAUGAAGGAGUAGUUGCCAUCUAGGUAGCUUGCGUCUCACAACAAUACUCAGCUCUGAAACGUUGCAAUAUUGCUCUCGAUUUAUGCACUAGCAGGUGGUCAAGGGAAAGUGUUCUUCUACGUCCGACCUCAAAUGAGCUCGGAUGAACAGUAAAUUCAUAAAAUAUUUUGAAAAUGCUUCAAAAAUCUUAAUUUUUUACAGCAAACUUUGACUAAUGUUUUAGUAGCUUGUAAAUUUCAGUACAAAAUUAUACUUUUUGAAGUCAUGGCAAAAAAAAAAUUAUUAGUGCUUCAAAAUGCUUUUAAAAGUAGCAUUUUUAGAGUUUUGAUUUUGUUAGAGUUGUGUCGAAUAUUAUUGUACAAGGUAUGUUACAGUUGGACUUGAAGUCGCACGGUGUGUAGACAAGGUAAGAGUCGUGUCCUAUUAGGACACCUUACCCUUAUGUCUUUUAUAUAAUGAGAGGGUAGACACACGAUGUAACCUAUGCCAACAUAAUAGCACAGGUACGCGGGGGAGCCGACGACGUGUGCCGGUGUCCGGGCGGCCGGGGUGCGGUAUUGUGACAGUGUCACGGGGAGGAGCGCCCGUAGUCAGGCCCCGGGGAUGUAGCCAUAUCGAUGAACCUCGUUAACAAAUCUCGGUGUCGUGCUCGUGUGAUUGCUUGGUUCUCAGUAGAUCGACGGAUUGCCUCGGAUUAUUCUAACAAGUGGUAUCAUGAGCAAGGUUCGAGGAGGCUACAGAUCGUUGAUCUAGAGGAAAAAAAGUUCGGCUUGGGUCGGUUGUUCGCAGGAAAGAUGUCGCCGACGGAGUGGCAUAGGCGGAUAAGAAAUCGAUUUGAAGCGGACGAUUGCAAAGAGCCAUCGGGAGCGGCUGGUCGGGCCAGCACGGAGUGUUUCUCGACGAGAUCGUAUCUUUCUGAACGUGGAGCGUGUGGCAGCGGCCGCGUAAGCAUGCACGACACAUAUGCAAGCAGCGGUGGUCGAUCGGUCGAUCGUUUGGGUGGAAAGGUGCUCGUUCGGAGGCGUAUGCGAGGCAGAGGCUUCAUCUCGAGCGCUGAGGCAAAUCACGCAGGCUGGGCGGCUAAAAGGGCCCCGCGGGCGUGCUUGGCGCAGCUGUAGGCCCGGACUUGCAAGGGCGGAUGAUUUUCCCAAGUGCUUUGAUGGGUUGCUGCCUAGGCAAGCCAUACGGGCAAGGCAAAGGAUCCGUGUGGUGUUGUGCAUGCAUGUGAGAUUUGUUGGUGAAAAAAAGUAAUCUGCCAUGAUAUGUACGUCCCUUUGGAUGCAACAUGAUUAAAGAAAAGGAGUUUUGGAAGUUAUGGAGAUAUGCUCGGUGUAUCCAUGGACACUAUCAUGAAAUCCGGUUUUCUUUUAGACGUGUUGAGAAUUGCACACGAGAUUUUACCAGGAGGUUGGCAGGUUGACGACGUGCGUAUAAGGUCGGAGGAGUCUGGAGCAUGCCGUGGCAGGGAUCUCGGUUAAAGCAGAAGAUGGCGGUUAUUUUAGCAACGACAACAUAGGAGCGUGAUGUUGAUGGUGGCCAACUUUUGAGGCGUGGAAACACGUGGUGCAUGCAUGAGGGCUUGUACGGCUUUGACGGACUAUGGCGCGGGGUUGAUUUAAGAUUGUGUACACAUGAGAGCUUGAAGUCAACAGGGCGUGGGGUAGCACGGCCAACUACAUGAAGUCAUGUUGAAGGUGGAGUUGGAGUCUAGUGAAAGAUUUCACUCUAAGCUGAUGGAGGGGCUACGGCGUAAAUGCAUGGAUAGUCGAAGCCUAUUUCAGCGGAUAGCGAGAGACGUGUGGAUCGGACUGGGUACCAAUGGUUUGAUGGAGACGUGAUACUCGGCAUCGGUCGGAGAUGAUCGAUGGUUCUCUGCAGUAGGGGUUUGAGUGGUGUGGGUCUGCAGCCCUAGAGACUCGACCAGGACAGCAGAGGCUCGACGCGGGGAUAGCGGCGAGGCGUGCGGUAAGCACGGGACACAGCGACAGACCAAGGCACUGGUGGUCAGACAAACAGUGCAAAGGAUGCUGAAGUAGUGUUGGCCAGUAUCAGAUUCAAGUCGGUGACUAGGUCCAUCGUUGCCGGUUGAUGGACGGGAGUUGACCAUGGAGAAUCUGAGAAAAGUGAAGGAAAGUCUGAAAUUGACAGAAGCGGAGAGAGUACAUGACCGUAUAUUCUGUGGUGUUCAUUGCACAUGGCAAAGUAUGGAUGACAACGGAGGCGGAGUGUUAUAGUUAUGGUAAAUGUGAGAGACUAUCCGGAAAAAGGAUGAGACAACUGCAAAUUUGACUCCGGGGUGACACAGGACGACUGUGAAAUUCCUUCAAGUUUCAGACAGACGGUCAAGAAAGAUCGAGGAUGUUGAGUUCAGGUAACUCUUAUAUAUGACAUUCAAUAUGCGGGUUGUUCAUUUUCACGCAGGUCAGUGAUCAGUGUGUGAUGGCGUUGAACGGAUACUCCGGAAGUUGAAAGCACAAAGUAGAGUAAUAAGGAACUUAACUUUGCUCGAGGGUUGAUUGUGAAGAAGACGAGAAGGGAUUACAGUUGCAGGUGGAGUCACAUGAAGUCUGGGAGUAGCAGUGGUUCUCAUGGUGUAUCUCAAGUCCAAUGUACAUGAAGGUUCGACGCAUGGACGAAUCCAAGGUGGUGGAGAAUAUUCGCCAAGGUGAAGUUUGUUAGAGUUGUGUCGAAUAUUAUUGUACAAGGUAGGUUACAGUUGGACUUGGAGUCGUACGAUGUGUAGACAAAGUAGAAGUCGUGUCCUAUUAGGACACCUUACCCUUAUGCCGUUUAUAUAAUGUGAGGGUAGACACAUGAUGUAACCUAUGUCAACAUAAUAGCACACGUACGCGGGGGAGCUGGCGGCAUGUGCCGAUGCCCGGGCGGCCAGGAUGCGGUAUUGUGACGGUGUCACGGGGAGGAGCGCCCGUAGUCAAGCCCCGGGGAUGUAGACAUAUCGGUGAACCUCGUCAACAAAUCUCGGUGUCGUGCUCGUGUGAUUGCUUGGUCCUCGGUAGAUCGGCGGAUUGCCUUGGAUUAUUCUAAUAGAUUUUGAUUUUUUUUUGUCAUGACUUUCACAAAUGUGAUUUCAUGAUAAAAUUUCACAAGCAUUUAAAACAUUUGUCAAAGUUUGCUAAAAAAUAAAUUUAUUUAAAUAUUUGUACAAUAUUUUUAAAUUUACUGUUCAUUCGAGCUCAUUUGAGCUCGGGUGCAAAAACAAUCCGUGGUCAAGUGGCUUUUCAGCUCAUUAGUCUCUACAGUAGCAGCUAUAAAUUGUUUGUUAAUUCGGCACGUCUCUGCAUUCUUCUGAGUGCACUUCUUCUUUUUCUAGCGUUAAAACUUGCAGCCCAUAUUGCUAAAAAGAUAAGCGUGAUAACUAGCCCACACCCUCAUCCACCGUUCAUCACUCCUUUUCAUCCGACCCUCACUAGCUGCUCUUGGGUUAGUACUAGCUCACUCCAUCUGGGUUUAUUAUGUUCUCUUGUAUUUUCCCGCAAAAAAAAAGGUCCUCUUGUAUUUUCUUCAAACAUUGAUCAUGGAUUUGGUUUCCAAAAUACAUGUAACUGGUAAGUUAUAUGUGCAUAGCACAUGAGAGGCCAGAUAAUCAAAUUACAACCUCAGGUAGACAAAAUGUUAUUUUAUUAAUUAUAGCUUGCAAAUGGAAUUUUGAGGUAUAUGCGUGAAGUAUAAGAUGCGAAAAUCACAUAAAAUAUGUCGAGCAUGUUUUGUCCAGGUAUCUUUUUGGCUAUUCCAAAGUUAUUGUUCUAUCCGGAAAGAUGAAUAUGCUUUAUGAAAGUACAUAGCCUUGAAUAGGAAGUAAAAAUGAAUGAUAGUUUGGAUAUUAUUUUUUGGAGAGUGAUUUUUCAGCUCACGAGUGCCCCUACACCCUCUAUGAAUACUAAAUUCAAAAACAAUUAGAUAACAAAUUCAAUUUUUUUUGAAAAUUUACAACGUCAAACAUGAUCAAACUUCGUAGGUGCUUGCAAGUUCUUAUGCCACGAAAACAUUCGAGGAGCUCUACACAAGAAAACGAUUUUAGUGCUUGAAAUUUUGAGCACUUUUAGUACUGAAAUCUGAAACUUGUGCGUAGACCUUUCUUUACACAAUAUUUUGUUAUGAAAACUUGCAAGAACUUAUAAAGUUUGGCCAUAGAUGAUGUCGCAAAGUUCUGAUUUUUUUUAAAUUAUUUUCUUAUUUUUUUGAAUUUACUGUUCAUAGAGGAUGUAGGGGCACCCGGAAGCUAUCACACCUUUCUCUAUUUUUUAGGAGAGUGUGAGUAUGGAAUAGUAUAGAAUAAAGUAGAAGUGUGCUCUAAGUUUUGUGCAAAAUGUCCAUAUGGAUUAUCCCAAUCUAGAAUGUUCUAAAUAGUACACGUGGCAAAAUCUAGUGAAGUAAUAAGAAGAUCCAAGAGUCGGCAACACUCAGAUUUGCCAUGUCUCAACAGUCGAACCGGCUACAUCCAACAAUUGUUAUUUCAAGUUAUUUAUAACUAUCUAAUGGUAUAUACAGACACAUUAUUAAAAAUAAUUAUUAGAUUCAUAUUCAAUUUUUUUUCAACAGUAGCAUUUUUGCUACCCCCCCCUCCAAGUAAAUAGGGCGCCUAAGGAAAUCCAGCUUUUCCAACUGUACAAGUCGCGAUCACCUCAAUUGCUCCUUGUUUCCAUCAUGUGCCUCAUUUGCUACACCUCCCAUGCAUUUCCGUGUUCCCAUCCCCCACCAUCAUGUUGCCCUUCUGAUAUAUUCCCCUUCUCAUAUGAAACCCUUUUGCAUGCAUUCAUCUCUUCUCCCUCCCGCCCCCCUCUUUGUUUGAAAGAGAUCAUGUGGUAUCUCCAUGGUGUUCCCAUUCUUUUUUAAAUCAAAUCGAGAUGGAUAGAUAUCAUCUCACCCCAUGCUCUUUCCUUCUCAAACUGCCCCCCUAUAAAAAUGGACGACGAUUUCACCAAGCAGGGCUGCUAGGAGGCGGGUGUUGGUGACGGUAUGGACGAUAUGACGAUGGCCAACUAGGCGAGGAAGUGGCUAAAUAGGAGGACACAGAUGGUUGUGAUGGCGAAGACCGUCGGGAAGAAGAUUUACCAGUCAUCACUUGCAGUUCAGGUGUGUGGAGUGACACCAAAUUGGAGAAGGUAGUGGAUCACCUGGAAAUGGCGGAUUAUCUUAUACAAGAGAUGAUUAAGCAUGAAGAGGCCGAAUAUCUAGACACCUUAAGAGUUUGGAGGACACCGAACUUUCUUACUAUGUCCUAAUUAUUGAUAAAGAGGAGGUCAUGGAGUUCCUCGGCAAGAAGCGUGAUGCUUAUGCUCUACUCGUGGAGGAAUCGUUUGAAGAAGAAGAAGAAGAAGAAGAAGANNNNNNNNNNGCUUUCAUGAAAAAACAAAGAUCAAGUUGUCGGUUGGUUUGCAUGAACAAGAAGAAAGCAAACACUUGUGAUGAGGACAUCAAUACCAUUGUUACACCCACAGCCCAAGCUGAUAUACAUACUUUCUAAUGUUCAUGAACAUAUGAUGCUGCCUAAGUUAGAUACUUUUGUUGUACUUAUGAAUGAAGGACCUAGCAUGGACAAGAAGGAUAUCCGUUGGAGCGGGAUCAAGCAUGGAGAAGAACGUGCACGCGCGGGAAAGAACAAUGGAGCUUCCAUUCGUGAUUUUCGUACUUUGAAGCCACCGUAAGGAGAGCAUGAAGGCUUGGACGAAAUAUUCAAGACGUCACUUUAUCAAUUUCGUCCAUUUGCUAUUAUAGGUGCUAUGCCACCUUAUUUUUGGGCCAGGCCCAUGUAAUUCGAAAUACCAUAUUAUAGGUUGUUUUUAGAGUCCGUAUGUGUGGGGAAAUUAAGUUUAGUGUCGUUUUCGGAUCCAUCCUCCAAGGGUCACGAAAAUCCCUUUGUGUUCCCUCAUAUAUACAACCCUUAGGGCACCGAUUAGGCUUGGGUUUUGUUUAGAUUACAAGUUCUUCAUAGCUUCAACUUCGCGUUCUUUGCUUGUGUUCCACGACCUGACAAACGCGUCACAGAACCCCACCUUCAUCAAUAAAGGUGUCCUCUUAUAUUCGCAAUAUCCAGAUUGCAAUCUUAGUUUCAUGCACGCUCUUCAUUUGCGUGCAGGAAACAAACCCUUGUGGUCAGCUUGAUCGUGCUCCGGCAUGGUCAAUAACCUCUCGGAGUUGGUUUAGCGAUUGCUAAGGCACGAUGUCCUCACACAUUCGUAUUCGGGUCAUCAAAGUCUACUCCUCCAAAAACGAUAACCACCAUCUCAUCGAAAGACAGGGACAACUUUACCUCUAUCAAGUGGUAUCAGAUUUCCAGGUUGCUGGGUGAGAUUUUCCAGUUUUUCGUAGUUAGAUCGCAUUUGUUCUUCACACCUAUAGUCCACGGAAAAGACAAAAAAUAGGGUUAGAUCAUCAUAUCCGAACCAAUUUGAGCCUUUGCAUAGUCUUUUUAGUAUUUUGCUUUGUUGAAUUUGCGGUUACAUCGUCGUGUCGAGUUGCUGGUCUUAGUGUCCAGUCCUUUAGAGUUUCGAGUUCUGUUCACAGGUUGUUACGCCGCCACCGCGCCAUAUUUCGUCGCUGUCAUAUACCACCACCACACUACCAUCAUUGCUGCUGCCAUAUACCACCACCACGCCACCAUCAUCCUUGCUGCCAUAUAUCACCACCACAUAUCCACCACCAAUCCUAGUCCAAGUCCUUUACGUAUUAGGUUAAUUUCGAGAUCCUCUUGUUUUCGGUUUUGUGUUUCCUUACCUGAGCAGGUUUCGGAGAAAAAAAAGAGUGUGGCAUGCUUUUCAGAGCACUUUUUAGGCCAAAAUUUCGGAGGGUGAAAGUUUUUUCCCUAUCGUCUUGUUAGGAUUUUUAGAGAGUUUUGGGACACUCGGCACCAUAGUGAUUUUUGUCGCAAAUUUUGGUCGUCGCAGGCCCAAAUUGCUCCGGGAAAAAAAUAGUCAAUUUGUUUUUCGUGCCUAUCAUGUUUUUAGUCCUUUAGAAGAGUUUUGAGACACUCGCCAUUAUAGUGAUUUUCUGGAAAAAAAAUCAGAGUGGCUCUUCCCUUGAUUACGAUUAGGGUUGUGAUUUUGUUCGUGUUCUAGGCUCGCAUCUCUAGUACGGUCUAGCCUAGGACCAGCAUGGUGCCGUCGUUGAGCGUCCUUUCAACUUUGCAUUUCUGAACAGAUUAUUGCUGAUCCUUUUUGCUACCAUAUUAUAAGCCUUUCCAGCUCCUCAUACAUCUACAUCAUGUGUUUGACACCACCUGGCAAUCGCUCUAUCCAAGCUUUGAGAGUUUUUACUACACCGAUUGCCGAUCAUCACCUGCUGCUGGGUAAGAACUGGUAAGAAUUUGAGAUUUACUUGACGGAUUUGUGACACACCACCACCAAAACUACCACCACCUCCACCACUUCCUAGUAGUUUGUAGGUUCAAAUUCUUCUCUAUUCCUAUUGCUGCUAACCAUGCCAGGAUCACCAGCCGAUGAUAUCGACUGGGAGAGUCUCACAAACCAGGAGAUCCAUGAUAAAUUUCAGCAAAUGAUGGCUGACCAGGUACAAGACUUCGUGACCAGCCUUGGAGAGGCCAUGGAGAAGCUCGGCGGUUUGGAGAAUACAUUCGACGCCAAGAUGGACGCCAAGUUCAAUGAGGUGCUUGCCCGUCUACCACCAUCAGUUGCAGCUUCCGUCCCUCUUCAACAACAACAACAACAACAACAACAACAACGAGGCCCGGACAUGGUGGGACGAGCGCGACGUGUGCCUUCCGACCAAGUUCAGAAUUCUGGUGUUUUUCUCCUGCCGCUCCUACUAAGGUUUCCGUGGCUGAGCAAAAUGAGGAUUAUGAUGGUGAUUACGAUGAUGAGGGAGAGGUUGCUCCAAAUCAGCACCAGGGACAACAACCACCACCACAAGCCGCAGGUCAUCCACAUGGAUACAAUCGCAAUGGUAGGGCUGCACCCCCCUCAGGUACGGGAUCAUGACCAUCUCCCUAAACUUAAACUAAAUAUUCCUACAUUUGAUGGUCGAUAUGUUCCUGAUAUAUAUCUUACAUGGGAGUUAGAAACAGAGCAACGUUUUACAUGCUUACAAUUCCGUGAAGAUAGCCGUAUUGCUGCUGGUGUUUGUUCAUUCACUAGUUUUGCUUGUGUUUGGUGGUCUGAACAUUGUCGAAUACAUCAUGCUAAUAUUCCAACUACUUGGGCUGCUUUAAAAACUGUUAUGCGUACUCGUUGGGUUCCACCAUAUUAUCAACGUGAAUUACGUCAAAAAUUGCAGCGUUUAAGACAAGGAAUAAAUUCUGUAGAAGAAUAUCAUUAGAAAUUACAAACUGGCAUGAUUAGAUGUGGUAUUGUUAAGGACAAUGAAGCUAUGCUUGCAUAUUUUAUGGGUGGAUUAAAUAGAGAAAUUUAGACUAUUCUAGAAUAUAAGGAUUAUAACACCAUGACACAUUUAUUCCAUCUUGCUUGCAAAGUAGAACGUGAAGUGCACGAUCGACACACAUUGUCGAGAACUAACUUUUAUUCCUCAUGGAAGCCACGAACCUCAUCUACUUCCAGACAUCCUCCGGCAUCAGCACCGCCUACUUCAGCAGCCAAUUCCAAUAAAGAUACCAAGAAACAGGCCCCUGCCCCAUCCUUCGCCAAGAGCACACCUUCCAGUCCAACAUAUAGCUCAUCUUCAUCCAUGGCAUCCACAGGGCAAACACAUGAGGCUAUCUGUCGUCGUUGCAAGGGCGGAGGUCAUUAUGCGAGAGAGAGUGUCCUUCCAAGCGUGUGAUGAUUAUUAUUGAGGAUGGUUGAUAUGAUUCCGCUAGUGAUUAUGAGGAGGAGACUCUGGCUCUUAUUACAAGUGAAGAAUAGGGUGUAGAUGAUGUUGAAUAAGAGACACAAUACAUGGCUGCUGACUAUGCUGACAGGUAUGAAAGCUUAGUUGUUCAACGUGUUUUAAGAGUGCAUGUAACACAGGCUGAGAAAAAUCAGAGGCACAACAUGUUUCAUACAAAGGGAGUUGUGAAGGAACGUUAUGUUCGCGUAAUCAUCGAUGUAGGGAGUUACAACAACUUAGCUAGCAUGGAGAUGGUGGAGAAGUUGUCUCUCACCACCAAACCACAUCCUCAUUCUUAUUACAUCUAGUGGUUCAACAAGACUGGCAAGGUUAAGGUAACACAUAUUUUUCGUGUGCAUUUUAGCAUUGCUACAUAUUUUGAUUUUGUUGAUUGUGAUGUGGUACCCAUGCAAGCAUGCUCCGUUUUACUUGGUAGACCAUGGCAAUUUGAUAAAAAAAUUGUACACCAUGGUAGGACUAAUCAGUAUACUCUUGUUCAUAACGAUCAAAAUAUAACUUUGAUUCAUAUCUCUCCUGAACAUAUUAUGAAAGAUUACAUUGCUAGAGCUAGUAAAGCAAAACAGGACCUACAUAAGAGUGAAAAUCAGAUUGUAGAAAAGGAAUUUGAGCAACACAAUAAGCUUAAUAAACCAUCAUCUAGUGUUGCAUCUGAAAUAAAACUGAAGAGUGGUUAUUUACUUGCCAGUAAAUCUGAUAUUACUGAUUUGGAUGUUAUUACAUUUGCUUGCUAUGAUUACGUAUGGAAAGAGGUAUUAUUUUCUUUCGAGGACAUGCCUCCCUCUUUGCCUCCUAUCGUUAUUAAAAUUUUGCAGGAGUUCACUAACGUCUUUCCACAAGACGUGCCACCGGGAUUACCACCUAUUAGAGGGAUUGAGCAUUAGAUUGACUUAAUUCCCGGUGCAUCGCUACCCAACCGUACACCAUACCGCACAAUCCACAAGAGACGAAGGAGAUUAUGCAUCAAGUAUAGGAGCUGCUCGACAAAGGUUAUAUACGCGAAUCUCUUAGUCCUUGUGAUGUUCCUAUUAUUCUAGUGCCAAAAAAGGAUGGUACCUCAUGUAUGUGUGUUGAUUGUAGAGGCAUUAAUAAUAUUACGAUUCGAUAUCUUUAUCCUAUUCCUAGGCUAGAUGAUAUGCUUGAUGAAUUAAGUGGCUCUACAAUUUUCUCCAAAGUUGAUUUGCGUUGUGGAUAGCAUCAAAUUCGCAUGAAAUUGGGAGAUGAAUGGAAAAAGACAUUUAAAACUAAGUUUGGAUUACAUUAGUGGUUAGCUAUGCCUUUUGGGUUGACUAAUGCACCUAGCACUUUCAUGAGAUUAAUAAAUGAGGUCUUACGUGCUUUCAUUGGACGAUUUGUGGUAGUCUACUUUGAUGAUAUACUAAUUUAUAGUAGAUCUUUGGAGGAACACUUGGAUCAUUUGCGUGAUGUUUUUAUUGCUCUUCGUGAUGCACGUUUGUUUAGUAACCUAGGGAAGUGCACCUUUUGCACCAACCAAGUAUCUUUUCUUGGUAUUGUUACUCCACAGGGAAUUGAAGUUGAUAAAGCCAAGAUUGAAGCUAUUGAGAGUUGGCCGCAGCCCAAAACGGUCACAUAAGUGAGGAGUUUUCUUGGACUCGCCGGGUUUUAUAAGCGUUUUGUGAGAGAUUUCAGCACCAUUGUUGCACCUCUCAAUGAGCUUACAAAGAAGGAUGCGCCUUAUGCUUGGGGUACCGCACAGGAAGAAGCCUUCACGGUUUUAAAAGAUAAGUUAACACAUGCUCCUUUACUCCAACUUCUUGAUUUUAAUAAGACUUUCGAGCUUGAAUGUGAUGCUAGUGGAAUUGGAUGAGGAGGUGUGUUAUUACAAGAUGGUAAACCUGCUGCAUACUUUUCUAAAAAAUUGAGUGGGCCUAGUCUGAAUUAUUCUACUUAUGAUAAGGAAUUAUACGCUCUUGUUCGGACUUUGGAAACAUGGCAACAUUAUUUAUGGCCCAAAGAAUUUGUCAUACAUUCUGAUCAUGAAUAAUUGAAACAUAUUAAAAUUCAAGAAAAACUGAACCGUAGACAAUUCAUUGAGACUUUUUCGUAUGUCAUUAAACACAAGAAGGGUAAAGAAAAUGUUAUUACUGAUGCAUUGUCUCGUCGUUAUACUAUGCUUUCACAACUUGACUUUAAAAUAUUUGGUUUGGAGACCAUGGAAGAUCAAUAUGUGCAUGGUGCUGAUUUUAAAAAUGUCUUGUAGAAUUGUAAAGAAGGGAGAACAUGGAACAAGUUCGUCAUCAAUGAUGGAUUUGUGGUCCGUGCUAACAAGCUAUGCAUUCCAGCUAGCUCCGUUCAUCUUUUGUUGUUACAGGAGGCGCAUGGAGGAGGAUUGAUGGGAAACUUUGGCGUAAAGAAGAUGGGGGACGUACUUGUUACAUAUUUCUUUUGGACAAAGAUGCGACGAGAUGUUGAGUGUUUUGUUGCUCGCUGCACGACAUGUCAAAAAGCUAUGUCAUGACUCAAUCCUCAUGGUUUAUAUAUGCAUUUGCAUGUACCUGGUGUUCCAUGGGAGGAUAUAUCUAUGGACUUUGUUUUAGGUUUACCUGGAAAUAAGAAUGGGAGGGAUAUCCUAUUUGUUGUCGUGGAGAUAUUUUCAAAAAUGGCACACUUCAUACCAUGUCAUAAAAUUGAUGAUGCUGCUAAUGUGGCUGAUUUGUUCUUUCAUGAAAUUAUUCGGUUGCAUGGUGUGCCAAAUACGAUUGUUUCAGAUCAUGAUGCUAAAUUUCUUAGCCACUUUUGGAGAUGUUUAUGGGCUAAGUUGGGGACAAAAUAGCUUUUUAGUACUACAUGUCACCCCUAAACUGAUGGACAAACUAAAGUAGUCAAUAGAUUAUUGUCUACAAUGCUUAGGACUGUUUUGAAGAUAAACUUGAAAAUGUAGGAAGAAUGCUUGCCUCAUACUGAAUUUUCUUAUAUUCGUUCACUGCAUUCUACUACUAAGAUGUGCCCUUUUGAAGUUGUGUUUGGUUUCUUACCUCGUGCACCUAUUGAUUUGUUACCUCUUCCAUCUUCGAAACAGGUUAAUUUUGAUGCUAAAGAACAUGCUGAUUUGAUAUUAAAGAUGCAUGAGUUAACUAAGAAAAACACUGAGCUUAUGAAUGCUAAAUAUAAACUUGCUGGAGAUAAGGGUAGAAAACAUGUUGUUUUUGCACCUGGAGAUCUUGUUUGGUUGCAUUUGCGUAAGGAUAGAUCUCCUUAUUUGUGCAAGUCAAAGCUAAUGCCACGUGAUGAUGGUCCUUUCAACGUGUUAGAGAAAAAAAUGAUAAUGCAUAUAGACUUGAGUUGCAUGUAGAUUUUGGGGUUAGUCCCACUUUUAACAUUGCAGAUUUGAAGCCAUAUUUGGGUGAGGAAGAUGAGCUUCCGUCGAGGACGAAUUCAGUUCAAGAAGGGAGGAUGAUGAGGACAUCAAUACCAUUUUACACCCACAACCCAAGCUGCUAUACAUACUAGACUAGUUACUAGAGCUCGCGCACGCCAAUUGAAUUACCACGUACUUUCUUUUCUUGGAAAUCCUUCUAAUGUUCAUGAACAUAUGAUGCUGCCUAAGUUAGAUACGUUUGUUGUACUUAUGAAUGAAGGACCUAGCAUGGACAAGAAGGAAAUCCGUUGGAGCGGGAUCAAGCAUGGAGAAGAAGGUGCACGCGCCGGAAAGAACAACGGAGCUUCUCCUGGUGAUUUUCGCACUUUGAAGCGAGCGCAAGGAGAGCAUGAAGGCUUGGAUGAAAUAUUCAAGAUGACACUUUAUAAAUUUUGUCCAUAGGCUAUUAUAGGUGCCACGCCACCUUAUUUUUGGGCCAGGCCCCUGUAAUUUCGAAAUACCAUAUUAUAGGUUGUUUUUAGAGUCCGUAUGUGUGGGGAAACCGAGUUUAGGGUCGUUUUCGGACCCCUGCUCCAAGGGUAACGAAAACCCCUCUCCGUUCCCUCAUGUAUACAACCCUUAGGGCACGGUUUAGACUUGGGUUUUGUUUAGAUUACAAGUUCAACGUAGCUACAACUUCGCAUUCUUUGUUUAUGUUCCACGACCAGACAAAGGCAUCACAGAACCCAACCUUCAUCAAUAAAGCUUUCCUUUUAUUUUCGCAAUAUCCAGAUUGCAAUCUUAGUUUCUUGCUUGUUCUUCGUUUGCAUGCAGGAAACAUACCCUUGUGGUCACGUUGAUUGUGCUCCGGCGUGGUCAAUAACCUCUCUGAGUUGGUUUAGCGAUUGCUAAGGCGCGACAUCCUCACACGUUCGUAGUUGGAUCUCAAAGUCUACUCCACCAAAAUGAUAACCAUCAUCUUGUCGAAAGACAGAGACAACUUUUCCUCUAUCAGCUUGGGUGCAAUGUUAUUGAACUUCAUGAACCCAAGCAUGCUCGCAAGUGAUGGGAGCAUAAUUCCUCCGAGCGAGUAGUAACUUUUUAAUUAUUUAUUGUGUGCAAAUCCAUCACCUUGUAUCGGUUUGACCGUUUCGGAUAAUGUACAAAACGAGGUGAAAGUCUGUUUUAAGAAUUUUUUGUGUGUGGAGUUUGCAUUGUAAACAUACCUUUAAUGCAAAUGAGUGACUUAUAUUCCAUUCAUUUACAAGGAAUAUUUUUCGUACCAUACUUUGUGUGAUAAGUGAUUAAAAACAACAUAAAACGCGGGCUUGAUCAUGUUAUAAUUUUAGCAAGGUUUCAUGGGAAGUUGAAAAAAAUGUUAUUUCAUGUCUGCUAGUGUGGAGGCAUCCUAAACAUCACAUAAUUCAUUAAGAAGAACUUGACAUGUUUAAAAUACAUUUAGACGUUUGUUACCAUACUUUGUGCCAAAGAAGCCAAAAACACUGUAGAGCAGUGUGUUCUGUUGCCAUGGAAGUGUUUUUGACUACCAUGCACAAUCUGUUGGGUAACGUAGCAUAAAUUCAAAAAAUUUCCUACGCAUAUUCAAAUCUUCCUAUGGAGAGACCAGCAAUGAGAGAGGGGUGAGUGCAUCUUCAUACCUUUGAAGAUCGCUAAGCGGANNNNNNNNNNCAUCUCGCAUUAAGCAAGACCCUGAUUCAAUGUUCAUGCUUAAAGCUGGUACUAAAUAACAAUUAUUAAGGUUUAAAACUAAUCCCGACGGUAGAUGUAGAGGUAACGUGCCGACGGCGAUCACAUCGACCUUGGAUCCAUUCCCGACGCGCAUCGUCACCUCGUCCUUUGCCAGUCUCCGCUUAUUCCGCAGUUCCUGCUUUGAGUUGCAAAUGUGAGCAACAACACCGGUAUCAAAUACCUAGGAGCUACUAUGAGCGCUGGUAAGGUACACAUCAAUAACAUGUAUAUCACAUAUACCUUUAACGUUGCCGGCCUUCUUGUCCGCUAAGUAUUUGGGGCAGUUCCGCUUCGAGUGACCAUUUCCCUUGCAAUAGAAGCACUCAGUCUCAGGCUUGGGUCCAUUCUUUUUCUUCUUCCCGGCAUCUGGCUUACCGGGCGCGGCAACGGCUUUGCCGUAUUUCUUGAAGUUCUUCUUACCCUUGCCCUUCUUGAAACUAGUGGUCUUGUUGACCAUCAACACUUGAUGAUCUUUCUUGAUUUCUACUUCUGCAGACUUGAGCAUCGAGUACAACUCGGGAAUGGUCUUCUCCAUCCCUUGCAUGUUGUAGUUAAGCACAAAGUCUUUGUAGCUUGGUGGGAGAGACUGGAGGAUUUUGUCAAUUAUAGCAUCAUCUGGAAGUUCGACUCCAAGUGAAGUCACACGACCGUGUAACCCAGACAUUUUGAGUAUGUGCUCACUGACAGAACUAUUCUCCUCCAUCUUACAGCUAAAGAACUUGUCGGAGACUUCAUAUCUCUCAACACGGGCAUGAGCUUGAAAAACUAGCUUCAGCUCUUGGAACAUCUCAUAUGCACCGUGUUGCUCAAAACGCCUUUGGAGCCCCGUUUCUAAACUGUAUAACAUGCCACACCUAACCAGAGAGUAGUCAUCACUCCGCGUUUGCUAGACGUUCAUAAUGUCCUGGGCUGCCGCGGGAGUGGGAGGGUCACCUAGCGGCACAUCAAGGACAUAAGCCUUUUUAGCUGCUUCAAGGAUGAGCUUCAAGUUGCGAACCCAGUCCGCAUAGUUGCUACCAUCAUCUUUCAGCUUGUUUUUCUCUAGGAAUGCGUUGAAAUUGAGGUUGACGUUGGCCAUCUACAAUAUUUAUAAAGACAACUUUUAGACUAAGUUCAUGACAAUUAAGUUCAUUUAAUAAAAUUAAGUAUGAACUCCCACUUAAAUCGACAUCCCUCUAGUCAUCUAAGUGCUACAUGAUCCAUGUUGACUAACCCGUGUGCGAUCAUCACGUGAGACGGACUAGUCACCAUGGUGAGCAACUUCAUGCUGAUCGUAUUCAACCAUACGACUCAUGUUCGACCUUUCGGUCUCUUGUAUUCGAGGUCAUGUCUGUACAUACUAAGCUCGUCGAGUCAACCUAGGUGUUUUGCGUGUGUAAAUCUGGCUUACACCCGUUGUAUGCGAACGUUAGAAUCUAUCACACCCGAUCAUCACGUGGUGCUUCGAGACAACAAUCCUUCGCAACGGUGCACACUUAGGGUAAUACGUUCUCGAAAUUUUAAGAGGGAUCAUCUUAUUAUGCUACCGUCGUUCUAAGCAAUAAGAUGAAAAACAUGAUAAACAUCACAAUGCAAUCAUAUAGUGACAUGAUAUGGCCAUUAUCAUCUUUGCUCUUUCGAUCUCCAUCUUCAGGCAUCGCAUGAUCAUCAUCGUCACCGGCGUGACACCAUGAUCUCCAUCAUCGUGUCUCCCUGAAGUCGUCACGCCAACUACUACUAUCACUACUACUAUAGCUGAUCGUUAGCAAUGAAGUAAAAGUAGUAAGCACAUGGUGUUGCAUCUCAUACAAUAAAUUAAGACAACUCCUAUGGCCCCUGCCGGUUGUCAUACUCAUCGACAUGCAAGUCGUGAAACCUAUUACAAUAACAUGAUCAUCUCAUACAUCAUACAUGCAACAUCACAACUUUGGCCAUAUCACAUCACAUGUCAAACCCUGCAAAAACAAGUUAGACGUCCUCUAAUUGUUGUUGCAAGUUUUACGUGGCUGAUUUGGGUUUCUAGCAAGAACGCUUUCUUACCUACGUGACAACCACAAUGAUGAUAUGCCAAAGCUAUUUACCCUUAAUAAGUACCCUUUUCAUCAAAUCCAAUCCGACUAGAGUAGGAGAGACAGACACCCGCUAGACACCUUUAUGCACGGUGUGCAUGUCUAUCGGUGGAACCAGUCUCACGUAAGCGUACGUGUAAUGUCGGUCCGGGCCGCUUCAUCCCACAAUACCGCCGGAAAAGAAUAAGAAUAGUAGCUGCAAGCAAUUGACAAAUCAUCGCCCACAACCUUUUGUGUUCUACUCGUGCAUAGAAUCUACGCAUAGAAAACCUGGCUCAGAUGCCACUGUUGGGUAACGUAGCAUAAAUUAGAAAUUUUUCCUACGCAUAUUCAGAUCUUCCUAUGGAGAGACCAGAAACGAGAGAGGGGUGAGUGCAUCUUCAUACCUUUGAAGAUCGCUAAGCGGANNNNNNNNNNNNNNNNNNNNNNNNNNNNNNNNNNNNNNNNNNNNNNNNNNNNNNNNNNNNNNNNNNNNNNNNNNNNNNNNNNNNNNNNNNNNNNNNNNUACGGCACCUCCGCGUUCAACACACGUGCAGCCCGGUGACGUCUCCCGCACCUUGAUCCAGCAACGAGGAGGGAGAGGUUGGGGAAGAACUCCAGCAGCACGACGACAUGGUGUCGAUGGAGAGACGAGGUCUCCCGGCAGGGCUUCGCCAAGCACCGGCAGAGAGGAGGAGAAAGAAGGGCAGGGCUGCGCCGAGGGAGAGGGAAAAGUGUGUCCCCCAAUGGCCAAAACCCCUCUCUAUUUAUAGGAGGAGGGGGGAGGGCUGCGCCACCCCUAGGGUUCACUCCCUAGGGGCCGGCGGCCACCAGAUGGGAGAGGGGGGGGGGCGGCCAGGGUGGGAGAGGUGUGGCGCACCACCUAGUGGGCCUAUGGCCCACCUGCGCCUAGGGUUGCCCCCUCUCCCCACCACCUACGCCUUUGGCUUGGUGUGGGAGGCGCACCAGCCCACCUACGGGCUGGUUCCCUCCCGCACUUGGCCCAUCUAGCCUCUCGGGGCUGGUGGCCCCUCCCGGUGGACCCCGGGCCACUUCCGGUGGUGCCAGUGGUCCCGGUACGUUACCGGUGACGCCCGAAACACUUCCAGUGUCCAAAACAAUCCGUCCUAUAUAUCAAUAUUUACCUACGGACCAUUCCGGAGCUCCUCGUGACGGCCGAGAUCUCAUCCGGGACUCCGAACAACUUUCGGUAACCUCGUAUAACAAUUCCCUAUAACCCUAGCGUCAUCGAACCUUAAGUGUGUAGACCCUACGGGUUUGGGAGACAGGCAGACAUGACUGAGACACCUCUCCGGCCAAUAACCAUCAGCGGGGUCUGGAUACCCAUGGUGGCUCCCACUUGCUCCACGAUGAUCUCAUCGGAUGAACCACAAUGUCAAGGAUUCAAUCAAUCCCGUAUACAAUUCCCUUUGUCCGUCGGUAUAGAACUUGCCCGAGAUUCGAUCGUCGGUAUACCUAUACCUUGUUCAAUCUCGUUAUCGGUAAGUCUCUUUACUCGUUCCGUAGCACGUCAUCGUGUGACUAACUNNNNNNNNNNCUGUCUGUCGGUAUAGAACUUGCCCGAGAUUCGAUCGUCGAUACACCUAUACCUUGUUCAAUCUCGUUACCGGUAAGUCUCUUUACUCGUUCCGUAGCACGUCAUCGUGUGACUAACUCCUUAGUCACACUGAGCUCAUGAUGAUGUUCUACCGAGUGGGCCCAGAGAUACCUCUGCGUCACGUGGAGUGACAAAUCCCGAUCUUGAUUCGUACCAACCCAACAAACACUUUCAGAGGUACCCGUAGUAAACCUUUAUAGUCACCUAGUUACGUUGUGAUGUUUGAUACACCCAAAGCACUCCUACGGUAUCCGGGAGUUGCACAAUCUCANNNNNNNNNNAAUACUUUCGGAGGUACCCGUAGUGCACCUUUAUAGUCACCGAGUUACGUUGUGACAUUUGAUACACCCAAAGCACUCGUACGGUAUCCGGGAGUUGCACAAUCUCACGGUCGAAGGAAAAGACACUUGACAUUAGAAAAGCUUUAUCAUACGAACAAUACGAUCUAGUGCUAUACUUAGGAUUGGGUCUUGUCCAUCACAUCAUUUUCCCAAUGAUGUGAUCCCGUUAUCAAUGACAUCUAAUGCCUAUGACCAGGAAACCAUGAUCAUCUAUUGACUAACGAGCUAGCCAACUAGNNNNNNNNNNGCAUACGAAAAAUACGAUCUAGUGCUACGCUUACGAUUGGGUCUUGUCCAUCACAUCAUUCCCCCAAUGAUGUGAUCCCGUUAUCAAUGACAUCUAAUGCCCGUGACCAGGAAACCAUGAUCAUCUAUUGACUAACGAGCUAGCCAACUAGAGGCUUGCUAGGGACACAUUGUGAUCUAUUUAUUCACACAUGUAUUACUGUUUCCUGUUAAUACAAUUAUAGAAUGAACAAUAGACGAUUGUCAUGAACAAGGAAAUAUGAUAAUAACCAUUUUAUUAUUGCCUCUAGGGAAUGUUUCCAAUAGGAAUCACCCUCGAUGGUUCACGCUUGAGGGGGUUGCACGACAGUUUCAUUAUCGGAAGUGGUGAUGGAGGAAUCACCCUCCAUAAUCCACCUCCAGUUAACUAGACUACAGGGUUAACAUUAGGAGUACAUUGCGAGGUAUCACCCUUGGUACACGAUGGUAGCUCUACAGAGUCGUACAACUAAGGGGGGUGUAAAGUGAGGUGACGGGUCAUGACUUGUCAAUGGGCUGAUCGAGUCUUCGGAUCUGCGAGUCUUCAAGUCGUCGAGUCUUCGAUGAUGAAGUAGGGGCAACUAGGACUUAGUGGGGCCACUAGGGAUCACUAAUCCACCUAUACUAAGCAUUUGAUAUGCAGUAGGGUACAAUAGUAGUUUAACAAAAAUAGGCUAUGCAUCCGAAUAGGAGCUAUCUAUAACAGUAGCAAAAUCUAAUGCAAUCAUAAGGGAGAAAGAAUGGGUGAUAUAGGGAUGAUCAAGGGGGGUUUGCUUGCCUUGUUGCUCUGCUACAAAAGGCUAGUCAUCAGUGGUGUAGUCGUACCCGGCAGCAGCGUCACCUUCAGCCUCUAGUGGAGAGAAGAGGGAGGAACUAACAAUAAAUACAAGCAAGUAGAUGCAAUACGAUGCAUGACAUGGUAAUAUGCAGUGCUAGGGAUGAGCUAAUGCGGUACUACACGUUACUGAUGGAGUGGGAAAAUAUUUGACGAUAUUUCCCGAGUCUUUGGCUACUACCGCACAAAUGGUUCGGAGAGGAAAGUUCCAAGUUCAACAUUCUAGGAGCAUGUGACACAUGAACGUAAAGCGUAUUCACAUUCGUGGAAUUUUUGUGAGCAACCUUCAUAUAUAAAUUAUUUUCAUCUGACUUAUAGAUUAUUUUAUAUUAAUUUUCAAAGUUUUAAUAAUAUUCUAAAAUUAAUUUAUAUUUACUUUAAUUCAAAAAUUGUUUUAAUGCGCGAGUAUGACAUCACAGGUCAACCAACCAGUUUGACUAGUCAAACUAACCAGCGGGACCCACCUAUCAUAGAGAGUGGGGCUAAGACCAGCUCUAGCAGACCCUGUGUAAAGCCGCGACCCGCAAAAUAACCGCCAAAAUACGGGUGGACGCGGAAAAUGCUGCCCGACCAGACCCGCAAACGCGUCCGACCCGUAAAUAUUUUUCAGGUGUACGGCAAAAUCCCAUCCCCAACCGCGAAAACGCAGGUUUCCGACUCGCCCGUACGGUGCCCCAUAUCCUAGGAAAGCAGUUGGCGGGAGGGAAAUUUCAGCCCUUGCCAUUUCCCCACCCCCUUCCGCCGCCCCCCGCCAUUGGUUUCGCCCGUCCGCUGUUGGCGAUUCCGGCCAAAUCUACGGGCGAAAUCGCGCCGCGGGGGCGCCCCUACCCUCUUCCACCGAGCCGCUGCACCGGCUCCCCUGAUCCGUCGAUCCACCACCGGAGAGCCACCGCCCCCGUGCAGUCGGUGAGUUUGUACUUAUGCUUGUGCCAAGCGGUAUGCAUAGUUGGUUAACGCGGUGCGCGUAUUUGUGAAUUCAGAUGGAAUUGAGCCCGUGCGAGAAGCUUUUGCUUGACGAUUUGGACGACUCAGAUGUUGAGACGAUGCUUGUCAACUAUCGUCAUCAGACGUUGGUGAUGGACCUUGCCGUGAAGGAGCACGAAUAAGAGAACCGAAAGAGGCGGCAAGGAUCGACCGUUGACCGUCUUUGCAUUCCUCGAAAUCGCCAUGUCAAAAACGAGAUGUUGACGCAAGACUACUUUGUGGACAAUCCAACAUAUUCGUCGCACCUCUUCCGGAGAAGGUAUUGAAUGCGUCGAUCCCUCUUUGUGAAAAGUGUUCAAGCUUGCAAGGCCAAUUGUCGGUAAUUUGGAUGAUUAUUGUAUUGUAAUAUUGACAUUGUUCUUGUAUUGCAAAUUAAUAAUUCUGAAUAUGUGCAUAUGUGUCAAAUUCACAUAAAACCGCAUUUGAUAUGCACGCCGGCAUGGGCGCCGGCAAAACAGACACCGCCUAGCGGAACUGUAAAAUGGAAUAUUCGCAUUUUACAGUUCCGUUAUGCAGGGUUUGUUCGGCGAGCGCCCAUGCCGACCUGUAAAACUGUUUUCCGCGAGCUGUAUACGAGUUUUGCGGGUCGGCGAUAUACGGGGUGCGCUAGAGAUGCUCUAACAUGGUUUAAUUUAAUUAAAACAUCUAACUAACCUAAGAGGGCCCAACGUGUAAGUGGGUUAUUAUUUUUAAAUUAAUUAGAUUAAUUAAUUUCAUUUAAUUAACAUGUUAAUUAGGGGGGUCCACUAGUCACUCAAUUUGCUAAUUAACUUGAACAUUUUAAUUAGUCCUAAUCUAAUCGUAUGACAAACGACGCCCACGGGUGAGUGAGCCAGUCGAGCUGUUAGUUGCUCGGGACCCACUUGGCGACGGCGCGCCGGCGGUAGCACUCCGGUGGCCAAAAUAGCCGUCGGAGGGCUUAUGCCUCAUCGGAAUCUGGCGGUGGGCGGCUAUCUGGCGCACACUAGGGCAUGUUCGAUCGGGCGUAGGGCGUCGCAUUGACUGGGGUUGGUAGUCGGGCCGGGAGCGGCAGGAUUUUGCACCGGCAACGAGCCUAGGUGGAGGCUGUUGGUGGGGCUCAUCGGAAACGGUGAUGCGGGGCACGUUUAGCGGCACGGGAGGGCGUGGCGGUGCGCGUGCGUGGGUCAUGCGUGCACAUGUAGCAGAACCAGCUGCAAGCAGUGGAGGCACGGACCAACCGCGGACGAUGGCACGGCGGCGCGCGCGGGCAGCAGAGCAAAGGGUGUGGACAGAAGGGGAGGGGCGACUGUUCAUAGUGGAGCUCGAGGGAGUUCUCGGGGUAGCCGAGGGUUGCCGGAGGUGAGUGAAUCUACGGCGAGAAGCUUCGGUAACCGGCGGCACUAACGAGUCGAUUCCGAUGUUGCGGUGAUCUCCACCUUGAUCCGGUGCGUGGGUGAACGAAAGGGAGGCAUGCGGAGCUCCAUGAUGUGUCGGGGCGACGUGGCGUGGCCGGUGGUCUCGGGAACGGAGAGACACGGCGACGGUUGCUCUCGGAUGACUUUGAUGGAGAGCAAGCGUUGCGUGAGGGAGAGGGAGGAGUGGGGCUAGGGUUUGCCGGGGUGCUCUUGUAGCCAUGGCCACAUCCCCCCAUUGAGUAGUAGGAAGGAGAAGAGGGAUCAAGAUGGGUUGGGUGUGUCAUGGUGUUAGAUGGGCCAACAUGCACAAUAGAUUAGGCCCCUUUUAUUUUAUUUCCUCUAGUGUUUUACUAUUUCUGCUCUGUUUUGUACUAUUUUUACACAAAAUGAUUUUUGUAAAAAUGUGGAACUUGUCUCAAUAGAUUCUUUGUAAUAUUUUGUGCUGCCACAAAAAGUAUGAGAUUGAAAUAAAGUAGUUUGGCAUUUUUAUAAUUCAAAGGGCAUUUAAUUUAUUGUUUUGGCAUAUGUUGUGAUUGUUUUAGAGCUUUAAAUUGCUUUAGAAAAUGUUGGUUUCACCAAGACAAAUACUAUGUGAAUAUUUGCGACCCAACCAUGAGUUUAAUUUUCAUGUUUGCCAAAAUAUUUAAUCCACUUAUUAUCUGAAUUUUGAAUUUUAAAAGAAAUUAUAAAUGGGGUAUGAUUCCAAGAUUGAUCAUGCACUAUUUAGCAAAAUGUUGGUUUCACCAAGGCAAAUAGUAGGUGAUCAUUGUAACUUGAUUACACGGGUACUGUAGUUGGUAACCAGGGGUGUCACAGUGUGGCCCUAUCAUCCAAGAUGGCGGUGAUGUUGGUGGUGAUUUCUUUGACGAGGAUAGUGUUUGAGUUCAUGCAUACCUUCGGUUGGGAUCAAUAUACUGUUUAAUUGUUUGUAUUUAGUGCGGCUAGGCUGAAAGAAUUGAUAAAACAAUCAUCCUUCUCUAAAUAUAAGGGAUGUGUUCGGUUUGGACACCAUUAGAGGAGGAUAAUUACCCUCCUCUAAGGAUACUCAACCUUUUACUCCUCUAACGGACAGGGGACUGGUUUGAGUUUCUCUAAUAUCCAUAGAAGUUAUUAAAUUGUCUUCUGUUGGAAUAACAUAAUCCAAAUGUUUAAUUAGCUUUGGUGCAAAAAAAACCUUCUCCUUAAUUUGAUGGAAGGUACGGUAGUAGUGGUGGAGCUUCUUACAGCCAAAGUGGGCCACCCCCUCUCUCCACCCCAGCCCUUCUUGGCUCCCUAAAAAAUUUUGAAUGGAAGGUUUUUCCUUCAUUGUUAAAUAUUUCUGAGGGAAAAGAAGAUAAAUGAUGUCUCUUUUGGGAGCAAUCGCCCAUAUAUUACCCUUUUUUGUUUGUUGAUGAAAGUAUUGUGUUUCUAAAGGCCUCGUAUAAGAAUUUGUUGGGUCUGAAAAAGAUCAUGUAGGGAGUCCCUCGACUGAAGAUUAUAUUUGGUUGGCGUACCACUUAUGGAGUAAAAAAACUUGCAUUGGGAGUACCAUGAUCUUCUUGCUUGUCGGCCUCUCAUGAAGGAUGGCUGGCUCUUUGGGCUAUAGACUAUCCAGGCAAGAUUAAGGUGCACACAAAGAGCUUAUUCAAAAAGGCUUGGCACUAGGAGCAGAUAUUGCUCAAAAAGGAUCCAAGGCGGGUGUAAUGCAUAACAUGCGGGAGAGAUGAGACAAUACAUCCCAUCUUUUGUACUAUGGUUUCGCUCGUCAUUGCCACUCCUGCUACUGUACCUCUCCUCGUCCGAGAGGCAUUCAUUCUCUUUUGAUGCCACUUUUGGUUCCAUAUGUGCCCUAAUUCUGCAAACAUAUUGUGAGUGGUGGUGCGAGAACUGAUUGUGGGGGCAACGACCUCCAAAGUGUGAACCAAUCGAUAAUGACGAAAUAACUACUUGAGAAAAUGAUCUCCUCUCACUCGAUUUGGUGAACAAUUUGUAACAUAGUCGACCUUGGAUACACAAAAGACUAAGAGGAUGGUCUAUUGAGGAAGGCCAAUCUACAUAAAUAAAUAUACCUUGAUAUGUGGUGAGAUAUAUGUUUAUCCAUUUCUUUCACUAUGACUAAUGAGCUUGUUUUUACACAUUAUAUGCUUGAGUUCAUACAUAUUAUUCUAGAAAUUUGUCUCAAAUUUUCCAUUAGCCUUUUUAGUUUGUCCCUUUUCAUCUUGUAAGGUUUUUAAUUGGAUUAUAUCUUCUAUGGACUUACCAUGAUAGUCGAAACCAAUUCAGGAAUAGAGUGGAGAAGAUAUGGUAGUCUUAUUUGAAUAUUUAUGGGAGAGUCAUCAAGAUUAUCUCAAAUAGAGAAGUCAAAAAUGUAAAGUUAUUCGCCUAACCAAGAAGAACAACUUUAUUUUUUAGGUAAUCUCAAUAUGACCUUGUAUGCACUAAUUAUAGUUAUGUUACCGAACCAGCACCAGAGAGAACAAAUCACAAGACAAGCAACAAUACUUCCAUAUUAGGUGGUAGCAACAACCGUACCACGAGACGAUAGUGACGCAAAAGACCCAAACUACACGAUCUCAUUUUGGCCAAUUCUGGUGCAUUAGAGCGUUUCAAAAUUAGGUUAUAAUAAGGAACAAACUAAAUAUAUCUAACUAUAGCUCCCCGCCUUAUUGUGGUGCAAAAAUUCUAAAGAAUAUAUAAAAAACAUAUUUGAAAAUUUCAAACACAACGAGAAUGGUUUUUCUUGAAAAUUUCAACUCUGUUAAAAUUUUGAACACAUUUUAAAAACCAAAGUUUUUGUAUUUUGAACAAUUUAAAAAAUGAAACAUUUUCUUAAAUUAUGAAGAAAAUAUGAAAUCAUGAAUAUAUUUCAAAAAAUCGCAUAAUCAAUUUUGAAAACGCAAACUUUUUUGCAACAUCACAAAUGUUUUUCAAAAACACAAACUUUUGUUGAUUUUGUGAAAAACAAAAUCAAAAGAGCGACAUUUUGUGAAAAUGCUUAAAAUUAAUUUAAACACGAACAUUUUUAAAAUUUGUGAUAAAUAUUCGAAAGUGGGAGCAUUUUUUUCAAAUUUGGAACAACAUUUGAAAACUAUGUACAUUUUGGAAAUACUAAACAUCUUCCGGAACAGCAAACAAUUUUAAAAUUCCUAACCAUUUUAUUUAAAAGGUAAGGAAACAUGAUUUUUUCUUAUUUGUGAACAAAGUUAUAGAAUAUAAAUAAUCAAAAAAUAUGGAAUUGCGAAAUAAAAAGUAGAUGUUUUGUAACAAAAAUAUUUCUUUCAAUUUUGUGAAUAUUUUUAUUUUGGAAAAACUAUUUUGGAAAUAAAAUAGAAAUCCCAAUAAAACGAAUAAAUAUAAAAGAAAAAUUAUAAACCAACCAAAACCUUCUUGUUAGUUCCCAAAACCGGUGAAAACCCAGAAACAAUCAUUGAAAGAUUCGCAAAACCAAUGUGUACAAUAGCUGAACUUCGGCCGGCCAACUCGAGCUCUAGCAUUUCAUCUCCAAACAAAACCCUGCCAAUUUGGGGAUUCCCUAUUUGGCGCGGCAAGCACCCGUUACAGGCCAUUUUGCUAACGGGUGCCUGCAGAGCGCAUCCCCUCUUUGCGACUGGGUAUCCCCUCUCAGUCUGGCCUCUUUUUUUGUUAAUAUUUCAAAAAAUAUGGACUGGUAGCAACCGUCACCUAACUAACCCGUACACCAUCGCAAUCCAUGUGAUUGAUCAUCGUUUCCUCCCUUUUAUUCUUGUUUUCCUGGGUUUUUUGGUUCGCUACAGUUUUGGGCAUUUUAUUCCGUUUUUCUUGUAUUUUUCAUUGUUUUCGGAAAUGUGCAGACUAUUUUUUUAAAUCCUUAAAACAAUUUUUUCAGUUUUCUGAACUUUUUUUCAAAUUCGAUGAAUUUUUGUUCAAAAUCGAUGCACUCAUUUUUUAAUUCGAUGAACUUUUUUCUAAAAUUUGAUGGACUUUUUUUAAAUACGGUGGACUUGUUUAUAUUUAGAUGAACUUUUUUCAAAUUCGAUGAACUUUUUUUCAAAAUGAAUGAACUCUUUUUUAACUCGAUGAUUUCUUAAAAUUGGAUGAACUUUUUUGAAAUUCCAUGAACUUUUUUCAAAUUCUAUGAACUUUUUUUGGAAACCUAUUAACUUUUUUCCAAAUUUUAUGAACGUUUUUCAAAAUGACUGAAUGUUUUAUUAAAAUUAAUGAAACUUUGUCAAAUGUGAUAAACAUUUUUCAAAUUUUAUUAUUAUUAUUUUUUAAAUCUGUCAACAUUUUCACAUUUGAAGAUUUGUUUUUGCAAAAUCAGUGAACUUUAUUUUUUGAAAAAUCAAUGAACUUUUUGAGGGCCUGCAGGGGCGCUAGAGCUGUUUUAUGGGCCGGCCCAGCGUGGAGCGCUGCAGGCGCCAAUAACGCAAACGGGCGCCUGUAACACCGUAUAGGAGGUCUCGCCAAUUUGUCGGUUAUAAUUCGUUAAAUAGCGUUUCACCGGAAAUAUGUACCCACGCACUAAAAUAUAGUAUUGGUUUGUAAGAUAAUAUAGGAGUAGUAUAUUUUUUGACUGCGAACAUACCAGGACACGCGGGACUCACUUUCCGGAGCGGGCUCGCUUGCCGGAGCAACAAGGACUCUCCCUUUCUAGGGAGAUUAGAGAAUGUAAAGAUAUAAAAAUAAUAUUCCAGAAAAAAAUGUGUAUAUUACUAUGUAAAAUUGUUAAAUAGCUUCACAUAAUAAAGGUACUCGUAAGCUUUAUUCCGUGUUAUGCCUUACUAUCACUUUGCAGGUACUCCGCAAAAAAAUGCACUUUGCAGGUACGUCUAUGAAAAAGCAUCGCUCUUUUAGUACUCCCUCCGUUCCUAAAUAUAAGUCUUUUUAUAGAUCCCACAAAGACACUACUCCCUCUAUAAACUAAUAUAAGAGUGUUUAGAUAACUAGAAUAGUAAUUUAAACGCUCUUAUAUUAGUUUACGGAGGGAGUACAUACAAAACAAAAUGAGUAAAUCUAUACUACAAAUUGUGUCUAUAUACAUCUGUAUGUAGUCCCUUAGUAAAACCUUUAAAAAGACUUAUAUUUAGGAACGGAGGGAGUACUACACAGUAUGUAUGUGAGUGUUAUUCAUUAUCUGUGGAUUGUGUCCUAAAAUAUUAUACGAUGGAGCCCAUACUUGCAUAUACUAUUUAUCUAUCUUUAGAAGCCCAUGAUUGCUGGAAUUAAAAGGAUGAGCUAACAAAUACAGCAGAGACCCGUGUACAGUUGGAAAUUAAAUUCGUGGGCACAGAGCUCGUGGCUGUGAGCGAUCAGUGGGUCUGAUUAAUUACCGAAUGUAGGCCAUUUAAGCCGAGAAAACGAAAGCUGCAAGACCACCUAAUCCUAAUAACGCAGACAACUUCGUUUAAACAAAAUAAAAUAAAAACGCAGACAACUAUAGCACAUCCCAGCUAUACUACUCCACGAUGUAGGGUCUUGUCUCUCUGACUAAUGAGUUGUAGGUCGUCAGUUUGUGGUUUGCAAUCUACUCCCUCCGUAACCUAUUAUAAUAGUAUUUGGAUCAUUAGAAUAGUAAUUUAAAUGUUUUUAUGUUAAUUUACGGAGGGAGUACGUACUAAGUUUGUUUGCUUCCAUCUCAAAAGAAAACAGUUUAUGUGCUUCGACAGUUCGUAGAUGGACCUCACAUACUGUAGGAUCGAUAAUCUAAUUGGUUCAUUGCGCGCUUUCGCAUAGCCUGAAUUUCUGUCAAUGUUUCCGCAAAAGAAAAGGAAUUUCUUUCAGUGAUAGACGCGCAAACCAUGGACCAUUUCACAUGGGCAGGCACAUGUGCAUCGGUUUUGAACCGUUCAUCCGCAUCGUGGUCCGAACAAUGGUGUCGACAGAAAUUCGUUGAAAAUUAUAUUCAAAUUUGGUACUCUCUUAAUACGAGAUAAUAUACAUGUUUAUCUUGUACAAAUACUUCCUUUUUUAUUAGGAGGCCAUAAUUAUAGACAAAACUCCAACAAUUACAUGUCCAAUCACAAUAAGUUGCGUCAAACUAAUAAUUGAUCACGUGAACACUAACUUAAGUUCAUCUUCUAACCUUGAUGAUACAACUAUGCUUUCAUCCUUAUUGGUGUUAGUUAAUUUAGGUAUCACGCUCAAGAUAUCCGACAAUCUAUAAGCUCGUGAAGGAUCCGGUUUGGAGAAACAAGUUUCAAAUGAAUCUGAUGUUGUAGCGGCCCAGGUCGUCGUAAAUGAAUAUCUGAUCACCAGAAAUGAUUCAAAUGCGAAAUCUAACGGACAAAAUCUCCAAGGUCAUGAGAGAGCUCGGUUUUCGUGCAGUUUACUAUCCUAAAUAAAUAAAUGAAAAGAGUUUUUUUUCCAGCAAUUUCUGGUAUUGUAUAUUUGCUCCUAGUUAAGGCUUUUGUGGGAUGCUACUAACAAAUCCACCACAUUUUAUUUUUCGAAGUUCUCAUGUGACAUUAUAUUUCUUUUUAGAUGCCUCAAAAUUGAAGUAUAGAACUGUUUAUGCAACCAGAUUAUUUGCUUGUAUAUCCAUUGGUUUCACCUACACAUAUUAUUAUAGUCAUUCAUAGCAACGCGCGGAGUUUUACCUAGCUACAUAAUGAUUAGGAUGCCUCUACACGGUACAUAUGAAAUAAAUAUUUAUAAUAUUUUGCAAGUUCGCAUGAAAAAUGUGACAUGAGACUAUUUUUUGGGGUGCGUUUGGUUGCCUUGAGUGAGUAGUGCCUGCAUUUCAACCACAUCUCACUAGAGUCAGGUUUAGCAAAAACAUGCAACAAACCAACAUAUGCAUGUUGUUUGGUUACGUGCAUUGCAUCAAAGUCCACUUUAGGAUCGGCUGUUUGGUUGCCCGCAUUUGUUCUUAAGGGGUGAUCAGAGAAAACCACAAUUGUUUGACUGCAUACACGUUUGUAUUUUGCUCACCGCAUUCAAAUGUCAUGGCCUUACCACCACAUUAUGCACAACAACAUAGAAAUCACUAACAGAACGUAAACAAGCAGAUUAACAACAACAAACAACAUAAAACAAGAAGAUAAAUACCAGAUAAACCAUACUGCUAACUAGCUAGCAUCGACAAAAGUAAGUCAAGGGAAUCCCAUGCCCCUUACUUCAACACAGGGUGCUGAACCCCGUCAAAAUAUUAACAAGUUCCCAGCAAUGUCUCACACCACCACCUCAAACUAACUACUCCCUCUAUCCAUAUAUAUAGGGCCUAAUACGUUUUUUGAGGCUAACUUUGACCACAUGUUAGAGCAAGUAAUAUAUGACAUGCAAGUUACACAAAGCAUACCGUCAAAUUCGUACGUGAAAGGAGCUUACGAUGAUAUAAUUUUUAUAUUAUAUAUCUCAUAUAAUAUUAAUCUUAUCAAUAGUCAAACAUAGUCUCGGAAAAGGCAUUAGGCCCUAUAUAUAUGGAUGGAGGGAGUACAAGUUUAGAGGGACACGAUCAGAGGGCGAAAGCAACGUCAGUGAUGUAGUUGUCCCUGCCGCAGUGCACCCUGCACCCGUUGGAGCUGUCGUGGUUGUAUAUUUGAACCUUGAGGCCGAGGCCAGAGAUGUGCAGCCUAACGAGAUCACUAGGGGCAAUCCUGUGGCGGCGGCAGAAGUACUCCCAGCCCCUACCGAGGACCAUCCGGCCCUCGAAGUUCUAGACCUGGACCUAGAACUCGUACCACUUGUUGGUCGAGAGCCUCAUCACAUGCGGGAGCUUCACCGUCAGCCACUCCUUUACUACCUCCACAAACUUGGGAGGGAUGAUGACCAUGGCGAGGUCCUCCUCGUCCAUGAUUUGCAUGUACUCCCUCCGUUCCUAAAUAUAAGUCUUUUAAGAGGUUCCACUAGGGGGGACUACAUGCGGAUGUAUAUAGACAUAUUUUAGAGUAUACAUUCACUCAUUUUGCUCUGUAUGUAGCCCUCUAGUGAAAUUUCUAGAAAGACUUAUAUUUAGGAACGGAGGAAGUAGAAGCGAAGCGGCUCUCAGGACCACUCCUCGUGGCCGGUCUGAGGAGCUCAUCCGCUUGAACGCGGUUGACUCAUGAAGGAGACCCUGCGAGGCAGGUUCACCCUCUUCAUCUAGCAAUUCAUGGGUAUGAAGUCCACGCCAGCCUCGGCACCAGCGACGACAGCUGGUCCUCCUCCAACCUUGUCCCACCCCUUCUUCAUCACCUUGUCAGGUAAGAAGACAUCCAUUAGUAACAUGGACACUAGUACUACCUAAAGUAGCAACCACAUUGGUCCUACCUACCAUGAAUACCAUGCACGUAGCAAAAUCGGGCAACAUAGCACAUGAACCCUAAGUAUGAACAUCAAACACAUGAAGCAUAAGUAUGAACGUCAAACACAUGAACCCUAAGUAUGAACGUCAAACACAUGAACCCUAAGCAUGAACAUAAGAGACACUACCACAUGAACUCUAAGCAUGGACAUCAAAUAUAGCACCAAUAUAGCUAACUAGCACAUGAACCCUAAACAUGAAACCCAACACCUAACUAUCCUGCCUAUGAACACUACUAAGCAUGCAUAUCAAAGCAAGAACACUACUAUAAUGCCAAUGAAUAGUACCACAUAAGAAGGAAUCGAAUCCAAUCGAUUCAAUUCAAUUUGAAUUGAAUCGAGUCAAUUCGAAUCAGAUCCAAUGCAUGCUAGUAAUGAAAACCCAUAUCUACACUUCUACGGAAAGAGAGGGAUUAGGGUUCUUACCGGAGCGGCGCGAGCGUACGCUGGCCGGGGAGAAAACCCCGGCGGGAAGGAGAUGACUGGUGAAUAGGACGAGCCACCAAUGUCGACGAUCGUCGAGGAGGAGCCGCCAAUCCCGGUGCUCGUGGCCAUGCGUGCAAUCAAGGAGGAGGGCGCCAGCAUCCAUGGAACAAACCCUUGGAUGAGGGGGGGGCGAACCCCACCAACAGAGGGGGUUCCAACCAACGACAAGGUCACCGCCCCUUCCGGUGGCGCACCGAACCCAGGACCACGAGAUCCGGAUACGACGGCAGAGCUGGAGCAGCCGACACCGCAGUGGGCGGGUGUGGAGGCCUGGUGCACAGCGGAGACGACGCCCGCAAAACCCUCAUCUAGUCCACCCCGUAGUUCUCAAGCCAACAACCACCGCUCAUGGAUGCAGUUCUCGCCGGCGCUGAUGGGGGUCAGCGGACGGCACGGCUGCAGGCGACUCAUCAGAGUAGAGGAGAGGAGAGGAGAGCGAUGGGUGAUGUGGGGAGUGAGAGGCAGUGGUGUGAAUGCAGUACUGGACGGUGACAGGAGAUGGAGAGGUAGUUAUGAGACGUCUCGUCCGUCUCCCGCGCCUCGCGAGGCGUUCGGCCAAGAGCCAUGCGUGGGCGUGCUCCGCCAAGCUGCGGAGAAACUUCCGAUUCGGUAGUAGCUCCCAAUCCAGACCUCAAACUACUUUAAGUUCCAUGCGGCCCGAAACAUGGGUGCAACCUAGUUAACCAAACAUGCCGUUUUCUACCCGCGAGGGCUUGGUUGGCCCAAAUGCGAGCAACCAAACAUGUCCUUGGUGUUUUGACACAAAGUAUGAAAAUGAUGUGUUAAUUUAUUUGUAAACAUGUCAAAGUUCUUCUUACUAAAUUAUAUCUUGUUGGGGAUGACUCUGCAAUGGUACAUAUAAAAUAAAAAAAUUAGACACUCUAUUUUGACACAAAGAUUGUGUUGGAAAUAUGCCCUAGAGGCAAUAAUAAAAUGGUUAUUAUCAUAUNNNNNNNNNNNNNNNNNNNNNNNNNNNNNNNNNNNNNNNNNNNNNNNNNNNNNNNNNNNNNNNNNNNNNNNNNNNNNNNNNNNNNNNNNNNNNNNNNNNNCUUAAGGUAUCCUAUGAAUACACAUUUCUCCGCUUUGGGUUCGAGCUUCUCUAGUUGAAGUUUCUUCACAUAAGCAUCGCAUGCCCAAACUUUUAGAAACGACAACUUAGGUUUCUUGCCAAACCAUAGUUCAUACGGUGUCGUCUCAACAGAUUUAGACGGUGCCCUAUUUAAAGUGAAUGCUGCAGUUUCCAAUGCGUAUCCCCAAAAUGAUAGCGGUAAGUCGGUAAGAGACAUCAUAGAUCGUACCAUAUCCAAUAAAGUCUGAUUACGACGUUCAGACACUCCCUUACGUUGCGGUGUGCCAGGCGGCGUUAGUUGUGAAACAAUUCCACACUUCCUUAGGUGUGUGCCAAACUCGUGACUCAAAUAUUCUNNNNNNNNNNNNNNNNNNNNNNNNNNNNNNNNNNNNNNNNNNNNNNNNNNNNNNNNNNNNNNNNNNNNNNNNNNNNNNNNNNNNNNNNNNNNNNNNNNNNNNNNNNNNNNNNNNNNNNNNNNNNNNNNNNNNNNNNNNNNNNNNNNNNNNNNNNNNNNNNNNNNNNNNNNNCUGAAAUUCCUUGAACCUUUCAAACAUCUCAGAUUUGUGCUUCAUCAAGUAGAUAUACCCAUACCUACUUAAAUCAUCGGUGAGAGUGAGAACAUAACGAUAGCCACCGCGAGCUUCAACGUUCAUUGGACCACACACAUGAGUAUGUAUUAUUUCCAAUAAGUCGGUUGCUCUCUCCAUUAUUCCUGAAAAUGGAGUCUUAGUCAUCUUGCCCAUGAGGCACGGUUCGCAUGUGUCAAAUGAUUCAAAAUCCAGAGACUCUAAUAGUCCAUCAGUAUGGAGCUUCUUCAUGCGCUUAACACCGAUAUGACCAAGGCGGCAGUGCCACAAGUAUGUGGGACUAUAAUUAUCAACUUUACAUCUUUUGGUACUCACACUAUGAAUAUGUGUAACAUCACGAUCGAGAUUCAUCAAGAAUAAACCAUUCACCAGCGGANNNNNNNNNNNNNNNNNNNNNNNNNNNNNNNNNNNNNNNNNNNNNNNNNNNNNNNNNNNNNNNNNNNNNNNNNNNNNNNNNNNNNNNNNNNNNNNNNNNNGUUUUUAUUGCUUGGUUUGAGAGUCUGAUCUGUAGCAUAUACUGUCGUUAAUAUGUUUUAUGGCCCAUCUGCAGCUGUUUUGGGCCGUUUGCCUGGCACCACUGUGUACAGGAAUACAUUGCAGUACCCUGAGGCUUAUACAUACAAUGGGAUUGUUGUUGUCCGUGUUGAUGCACCAAUCUACUUUGCCAACAUAAGUUACAUAAAGGACAGGUCAAUAUCUUCAUCUGUUUAAGAACUUUGUUUCACUANNNNNNNNNNNNNNNNNNNNNNNNNNNNNNNNNNNNNNNNNNNNNNNNNNNNNNNNNNNNNNNNNNNNNNNNNNNNNNNNNNNNNNNNNNNNNNNNNNNNNNNNNNNNNNNNNNNNNNNNNNNNNNNNNNNNNNNNNNNNNNNNNNNNNNNNNNNNNNNNNNNNNNNNNNNNNUUUGUGAUCCUCGAGAUGUCUCGUAAGCCCUUCAAUUUUCUGUUGCAAUGUUUAUAUGGCGCAGACAACACUGCUGCCCGCAACUAUUAUUUCAUUUCCAUUCGAAAAAGAAUCUCAAUUGUACUCAUCAGACUACCUAGAUGAAUGGAUUAAAUGAUGGAAUUUGUUUGGCAUGCAGCUGUUACGUACAUUGACUCAAGCGCUGUUCAAGCUCUCAAGGAUCUGCACCAAGAAUACAAAGCACGCGACAUCCAGGUUCUUACUCUCAGCAGUUCUUCUAUUCACUAGUUAAGUACUCCAUGAUUUUUGUUGGUGAAGGUACCUGUGUGGAGCCAGCAUUUCAAAACGUUGGAGGCUUUUUGAUUGAUUGCAGAUCGCUAUAGCGAACCCUAACCGGCAGGUGCACCUACUGCUGUCAAGAGCGGGGAUCAUCGACAUGAUUGGCNNNNNNNNNNNNNNNNNNNNNNNNNNNNNNNNNNNNNNNNNNNNNNNNNNNNNNNNNNNNNNNNNNNNNNNNNNNNNNNNNNNNNNNNNNNNNNNNNNNNNGAGUUCAUCGUCGAAUGCCAUCAAGUUAUCCCCACAGGCGUCUGGGCACUUGACGGAGUCUCCCAAGGCGCAGCAGCGGUAUGGCUUCCUGAGGAACCUCUGGAAAGCACAAGAUGGGAAUGGGAGCGCCGGUGACGAGGCCCAGUCGUUGCUGCGCCAAAACCUUGUGUAGCCAACUGUCUCCCUCCCUCGGUGCCAAUCGGGAUGCAUGCAUUUGUAUUUGUGUUGUUGUGUGCAUGUAGAUUGUUCAGGGAAAAAAAUAAGGAUGCAAAUAGUCAACCCCCCCUCCUCCUGUUNNNNNNNNNNNNNNNNNNNNNNNNNNNNNNNNNNNNNNNNNNNNNNNNNNNNNNNNNNNNNNNNNNNNNNNNNNNNNNNNNNNNNNNNNNNNNNNNNNNNAAUCAGUGCUACUAACAUUUCGCACUCGGCUAUACCGAUUUUGCACAUAAACAGAUCCGAUGCCAAACACACCAUCUCGGUAGAACCAACAUUCUUAUCGGUGCUACCGAGAUUGGGUGACCAACAUUCUGUUGAGAUAACUUCAAGUUUUGGAAUUUCUGAGUUUGAAGUCGGUCUCACCGAGUUUGGGAACCAGUCUAGAUCAUCCUAUCGAUACCACUGAGAUUCAUAUAUCGACCUCACUGGGAAUUCAAAGUUGCCACAUUUAGUGCAACUCGGUACCACCGAGAAUGGCAUUUUGGUGUCACCGAGUUGGGAAAUAAUGUUGUAACAGUUGGAUUUUUGGAGAUGCCUAUAUAUACCCCUCCACCUACUUCUCAUUCGCACAGGAAGCACUCAGAACAUACUUACACUUGCCACAUCCAUUGUUCUGAGAGAGAGUGAAAGCACAAUUGCUCCCAAAGUUGGUCUUGGUAAUUAAUCACAACAUAUGCAUCAAUGGAUUACAGAGAUUAUCCAAGUAUUUUUCAGAAGAGUUCAAGCAUGCUUUGGCUAUAGAAUUGAGUGGAGACGCCCAUUUCAUGAAGGAAGGAUAAGAUUUGCUAAGGAAGAAGACUCUUCAUUUUACACUUUGUGAGAAAUCACAUUUGAGUUCAUAGGAAAGCCAAUGCUAUUAAAAGGGGAUGAGAUGUUAUGAUGAAUUGGUUGCUCAAGUGCUUAGAGAUAGCCAACAAAAAUACUCAGCCACUCUUCCACAAAAUAUAUCUGUCCCAAGCCAAAUAUCCAAAAUUGGUGCCACCAACAUUUAUCACUCGGCCAUACCGAUUUUAGACUUAGACAGAUCCCAGCCAAACCUACCUUUUCGGUGCAACCAAAUCUGCAUCGGUACUACCGAGUUUAGGUGACCAAACUUCUAUUGCCUCGGUACACUAAAUCAGAGUUUCUGAGUUUUUGUCUCGGUGUCACCGAGUUGUGUCAUCUAACCGUUAGUCACCUUUUCGGUUCUACCGAGUUGUGUAUAUUGGUUCCACCGAGAUUCAAAGUUGCUACCGUUUGAGCAAGUCGGUACCAUCGAAUUUGUAACUUUUGUGUCACCGAGUUGGUCAAUUAUGGUGUAACAGUCGGAUUUUGGAGGUUGCCUAUAUAUACCCCACCACCUACCUCCCACUCCUAGAGGAAGCACUCGGAACACACACUGCAUUGCUAGAUCCAUUUUUCUGAGAGAAAACCACCUACUCAUGUGUUGUGAUCAAGAGAUUCCAUUCCAACCAUUUGAACCUUGAUUUCUAGCUUCUCGGAGUUGCUUUCCACAAGAUCAAUCUCUCCUGCCCUUGCCAAAUCUGAAAGAGAGUAAUUGAGUGUUGCAGAUACUAUCUUGAGAAGCACAAGAGCAAGGAGUUCAUCAUUCUAACACAUAUAUUACCUUUCGGAGGAUGGUGCCUCCUAGAUUGGUUAGGUGUCGCUUGGGAGCCUCCUACCUCGUGUUGUGGAGUUGAACCAAGAUGUUUGUAAGGGCAAGGAGAUCGCCUACUUUGUGAAGAUAAACCGUGAGUGAGGCUAGUCCUGUGUGGAUGGAAGCCGUAGUGGAAUAGACAAGGCCGCUUCUUCAUGGACCCAUUGUGGGAGGAGACCUCCGUGCACUCUCGCAGUCGUUACCCUAUGUGGGUUGAAGUCUCCACGAACAUGGACGUACGAUAGCGCCACCUAUACUAACCAUGCCAAAAAAAAUUGUGUCAACCUCUUGCGUUUGAUCUCCCCAUCCUUCCUUACUUUACACCUGCAUGUUUUACUUUUCGUUGAUAUACUCUUAGAUGUGCAUGUGUAGGGUGUACUUGACUAGUCAUAGUUUCAAAAUCUGGCUUACGCUAAAAAUUGGGAAAAAGCUAAGUUUGUAUCUUGUCAAUUAGUCUAAUCACCCCCUUCUCUACACAUACUUUCAACCCUACAAGUGGUAUCAGAGCUUUGGUCUCCAUUGCAUUGGUUUCACAACCUAUGAGAGUAUGGCGUCUAGUGAGGGAAGUUAUCACAGUACAGGUCCAUACUUCGAUGGCACUAAUUUCUCUAAUUGUAAGGAUAAAAUAAAAUGCGUAUUCUUGGUUAUAAUCCUGCCGUUUGGGCUGUUGUUUGUGUNNNNNNNNNNNNNNNNNNNNNNNNNNNNNNNNNNNNNNNNNNNNNNNNNNNNNNNNNNNNNNNNNNNNNNNNNNNNNNNNNNNNNNNNNNNNNNNNNNNNCAUCAGCGGGAUUUGGAUACUCAUGGUGGCUCCCACAUGUUCCACGAUGACCUCAUCGGAUGAACCACGAUGUCAAGGAUUCAAUCAAUCCCGUAUACAAUUCCCUUUGUCUGUCGGUAUAGAACUUGCCCGAGAUUCGAUCGUCGGUAUACCCAUACCUUGUUCAAUCUCGUUACCUGUAAGUCUCUUUACUCGUUCCGUAGCACAUCAUCCCGUGACUAACUCGUUAGUCACACUGAGCUCAUUAUGAUGAUGUUCUACCGAGUGGGCCCAGAGAUACCUCUCCGUCACACGGAGUGACAAAUCCCGAUCUCGAUUCGUACCAACCCAACAGACACUUUCGGAGGUACCCGUAGUGCACCUUUAUAAUCACCCAAUUAUGUUGUGACGUUUGAUACACCCAAAGCACUCCUACGGUAUCCGGGAGUAGCACAAUCUCACGGUCGAAGGAAAAUACACUUGACAUUAGAAAAGCUUUAGCAUACGAACAAGACAAUCUAGUGCUAUACUUAGGAUUGGGUCUUGUCCAUCACAUCAUUCUCCCAAUGAUGUGAACACGUUAUCAAUGACAUCUAAUGUCCAUGAUUAGGAAACCAUGAUCAUCUAUUGAUCAACGAGCUAGCUAACUAGAGGCUUGCUAGGGACACAUUGUGAUCUAUUUAUUCACACAUAUAUUACUGUUUCCUGUUAAUACAAUUAUAGCAUGAACAACACACGAUUAUCAUGAACAAGGAAAUAUGAUAAUAACCAUUUUAUUAUUGCAUCUAGGGCAUAUUUCCAACNNNNNNNNNNNNNNNNNNNNNNNNNNNNNNNNNNNNNNNNNNNNNNNNNNNNNNNNNNNNNNNNNNNNNNNNNNNNNNNNNNNNNNNNNNNNNNNNNNNNGCAGUCAUUUCCUACUCUUGAAGGACUACUUCGAGACCCCCAACCGCUUUUCCACCCGACCAAUUUCAGCCCCAUUUUUGUAUGGCAAGACAUGUGUUCAACCGUAUCCAGGAGGGGGAUGGCGUGCGAUAAGUAUUUUGAGUGCAAGGAGGAUGCCCUUGAAAAGAUUGGCUUCUCCUCUUAUUAGAAAUGCACUGCAGCUAUUCCGAUGCUUGCAUAUAGAGUUCCCAGGCAUAUCAUUCAUGAGUAUGUCCAAAUGAGCGAGUCCACGUGUCUAAACUACAUUUAUAGGUUUUGAAAGGCUAUGAUAGCAAUGUUUGCCCCGGAGUACUUNNNNNNNNNNNNNNNNNNNNNNNNNNNNNNNNNNNNNCGGAGUACUUGAGAGAGCCAAAUGUUGCAGACACAACGCGGUUGUUGGCGAUGAAUGCCAGGAGGGGCUUUCCGGGAUGCUUGGUAGCAUAGAUUGUCUGCACUGGGAGUGAAAGAACUAUCCUCCUACUUGGCAAGGACAAUAUAGGAGACAUGUUAAAGCUUGCACUGUCAUACUCAAGGCCGCGGGUUCACAAGAUCUCUGAAUUUGGCACUUUUUUGGUAUGGCCGGAUCUCACAACAAUAUCAACGUGCUUUAACGCUCUCCGUUGUUUGCCACGCUUGCAGAAGGCAACUGCCCGGAGGUCAAUAUUGAAAUCAAUGACCACUACCACAACAAAGGAUACUAUCUACAUGACGGUAUCUAUCCUCAAUGAACUACUCUUGUGAAGACAAUCCUCAACCCUGUAGGAGAGAAGAGGAAGAGAUUUGUGCAAGAGAAAGAGAGUGCUAGAAAGGAUGUGGAACGUGCCUUUGGUGUUCUUCAAUCUCGAUGGGGCAUCGUUCGGUAUCCUCCUGGAACUUGGAGCAUCAAGAAAUUGUGGAUUGUGAUGAUUGCUUGCGUGAUCAUGCACAAUAUAAUCGUAGAGGAUGAACGCCUGGAACGUACCUUGUGACCAAUGAUUUUAAUUUCAAGAUGACAAUGUUGUGCCUGAGCAUGAAGGAGCGACAACAUUUGCACAGUUCAUCGAAUUUUAUCAUCAAAUGCGUGAUUGAAAAACUCAUAUUCAGCUGUAAAAUGAUUUGGUUGAAUAUAUGUUGGCUCACAUUAACAAUCAGUAGAUGUAGCACCUAUUUAAAAAAUGUAUUUGAGAUAAUUUAAGUUUUAUUUGACUUAUAGAAUAUGAGAUAUUUUAUUAACUUGUGGUACCAUGAUAUAUUUGUAUUUUGUUUGAAUUAUGUGAAGUAUGGAUAUAUUUUUUUCAUAUCAUUGNNNNNNNNNNNNNNNNNNNNNNNNNNNNNNNNNNNNNNNNNNNNNNNNNNNNNNNNNNNNNNNNNNNNNNNNNNNNNNNNNNNNNNNNNNNNNNNNNNNNAGCCACGUGCAUCGAGGUUUCUCCCUGCCCUGCACCCUUUCUUCAAAGGCAUAAUGAACCACUUUGGGGCGCAGCUCCACCACUUUCCCCUGAAUGCCAUCGCCCAUCUCUCUGCUUUCGUAGUCUUAUGCGAGUGCUUCAUCGGUUGUCCCCCCCAUUGGGGGCUUUUCAAACAUAUCUUCUCUGCUAGGUCCCAAAUCAUCAAACGACUUAAUCAGUCGGAUGAUAAGACUCACCUUCUUCAGCUCUGUGGGGGUUUAGGCUUCCAAAAGAAGAGCAAAAGUAAUUAUCCCGCUCUUCAGUUGAGUGAAUCGGUUAGGAACUGGCAGUCGACAUGGUUCUACUUCCAGGACGUCGCUUGCCCGAAUGCCACGACAGGGCUCCNNNNNNNNNNNNNNNNNNNNNNNNNNNNNNNNNNNNNNNNNNNNNNNNNNNNNNNNNNAGCUUAGAUCGACCAGCUCCGCCUAAGCAGCUCGCACUCACGAAGGCGGAGAAGAUCCGUAUCCAGCCCCUGGUCGACGCACUCGUAGAUGUCGUCAGAAAGGGAGUCACCGGCAUAGAUUUGCUGGAGGUUUUCCUCGGCCGGCGCAUCCAACCACUGCAGGCCCGAGACCACGCCAUGUGGCAUUACACGGGACCCGAAGGCUCCACUCGGACCAACAUCGAGUGCGUGACUGGGGAGACAGUGGCAUCAUGGGUGCUCCAGAUCACAGGCGCCUGCGAGAACCCCAGAGGGUCCUGGAGAGUGAAGGCUUUCCGCGCGGACAACCCUCCUCCGAACGAGGUGAGUACAACUUGUCGAGCGCACAUAACUGUCUUAGUUUAUCGCNNNNNNNNNNNNNNNNNAUAACUGUCUUAGUUUAUCGCUGUCUUGAGUCGCCGUCUGAUGUCAGAUGUCACCGACUGUAUUUUAUGCAGGAGUGGACCAACUGGUUCUCCCCUGUCUCGAAUGGGAACCCGGCCGAGGAGGAGGAAGAGGGCAGCCAGGAGGGCAGCGUGGGGAGCGUCGAGUACGUCUCCGACAGUGGGGAGACGGAGGAGGNNNNNNNNNNNNNNNNNNNNNNNNNNNNNNNNNNNNNNNNNNNNNNNNNNNNNNNNNNNNNNNNNNNNNNNNNNNNNNNNNNNNNNNNNNNNNNNNNNNNAUAAUCUGAUCACAAGUCCACAAUUCAUCGGAUCUCGAUAAACACACCGCCAAAGAAGAUUACAUCGGAUAGAUCUCCAUAAAGAUCAUGGAGAACAUUGUAUUGAAGAUCCAAUAGAGAGAAGAAGCCAUCUAGCUACUAACUACGGACCCGUAGGUCUCAAGUGAACUACCCACGAGUCACUUGAGGGGCGAUGAUGAUGAUGAAGAAGCCCUCCAACUCCAAAGUCCCCUCCGGUAGGGUGCCAGGAAGGGUCUUCAGAUGAGAUCUCGCGAAAACGGAAGCUUGCGGCGGCGGAAAAGUAUUUUCGAGGCUCCCCUUAUUUUUUGCUGUAUUUUAGGGAAUAUAUAGGCCAAAGAUCUAGGUCACGGGGCGGCCACGGAGGCCACAAGCCCUGUCACCGCUGCCUCCCCCUGGUGGCGGAGUGGGGGCUUGUGGGCUCCUUGGAGCCCUCCUGGCUUGGCCAACAGGGUGCAAGCUUGUUGGCUCCCUGGUGCCCACCUGGCCUGGCCCAAAGGCUCCCUGGUCUUCCUUCCUUCGGGAAAAAAUCAUUUCGGGGAUUUUAUUCCGUCUGGACUCCGUUCCAAAAUCACAUCUAAGAAGGGUCGAAAACACGGACAAAUGGGAACUGGCACUUGACACUGAAUCAAUAAGCUAGUCUCCAAAAAGAUAUAAAAAGGUACAUAAAACAUACAAAGAAGACAUGAUAACAGCGUGAAACCAUCAAAAAUUAUAGAUAUGUUUGAGACGUAUCAAGCAUCCCCAAGCUUAACUCCUGCUCGUCCUCGAGUAGGGAAGUGAUAAAGAAUGAAUUUUUGAUGCUUUCAUGCUACCUAGCAUAGGUGUGCUUUGUAAUUCCUCUUAUGUGACGUGAAUGUUCAGAUCCAUUAGAUUCAAAACAAUAUUUUUCUAUUGACGUGGAAACAAUAAUAAUUCAAGCAAACUAGCAAAGUAAUCAUGAACUUUCAAAAUAACAAGGACGAAAGNNAGCAAACUAGCAAAGUAAUCAUGAACUUUCAAAAUAACAAGGACAAAAGAAAGUUAUCCCUACAAAAGCAUAUAGUCUGGCUAUGCUCUAUCAUCAUUGCACAACGAAUUUAAAUCAUGCACAACCCCGGUAUUGGCCAAGUAAUUGUUUCACACCUUUACUUUCUCAAACAUUUUCAACUCUCACGCAAUACAUGAGCGUGAGCCAUGGUUAUAGCACUAUAUAUGGUGUGGAAUAUGGUGGAGAUUGCAAGACAAAAAGGAGAAGAUAGUCACAUUAACUAGGCAUAUCAAUGAGUUGUGGAGACGCUCAUCAAUAGAUAUCAAUGUGAGUGAGUAGGGAUUGCCAUACAAAUGAUGCCCUAGAACUACAAGUAUGUGAAAGCUCUUAAAGAAAACUAGUGGGUGUGCAUCCAACUUGCUUGCUCACGAAGACCUAAGGCAAUUUUGAGGAAGCCUAUCAUUGGAAUAUACAAUCCAAGUUAUAUAAUGAGAAUUUCCCACUAGCUAUAUGGUGGUGACAAAACGAGAGACUCUCAAUCAUGAAGAUCAUGGUGCUCAAAAUGCACAAGUGUGGAAAAAGUGGUAGCAUUGUCCCUUCUCUCUUUUUCUCUCAUUUUUAUAUUUAUUUUGGUGGGCUCUUUGGCCUCUUUUUUAUGGGCUUAUUUGGCCUCUUUUAUUUCCUCACAUGGGACAAUGCUCCAAUAAUGAUGAUCAUCACACUUUCAACUCAAAACUUAGAGCAAUUACAACUCUAUAUGGAAUGCCUUCGGUAGUGUACCGUGGCAACGAUCUAGCAAGGUAUAUACAUCAAUGGAAAAAUCAUGCUGGCUAUCUUACGAUCCUGCAAUGGCAAUGUAGACAUGGUGGCACAUAUCAUGGUGGUAGUUGCAUGGCAAUAUAUCUCGGAAUGACCUUGAAAAAGCCAUAGUAGGUAGGUAUGGUGGCUGUUUUGAGAGAGGCUAAUGGUGGGUUUUGUGCACCGGCGAAAGUUGCACGGCACUAAGAAGAUAGUGAUGGCGGAAGGUGAAAGUGCAUCUAAGCCAUGGACUCAACAUUAGUCAUGAAGAACUCAUAUACUUGUUUCAAAAGUUUUAUUAGUAAUCGAAACAAAGCAUUCAACGCAUACUCCUAGGGGAAGGGUUGGUAGGAAUAAACAAUCGCGCGAUCCCGACCGCCACGCAAAGGAUGACAAUCAAUAUAAUAAUCAUGCUCAGAUUUCGUCACAUAGCGGUUCACCAUAUGUGCAAGCUACGGGAAUCACUAACUUCAACACAAGUAUUUCUAGAUCCACAACNNNNNNNNNNNNNNNNNNNNNNNNNNNNNNNNNNNNNNNNNNNNNNNNNNNNNNNNNNNNNNNNNNNNNNNNNNNNNNNNNNNNNNNNNNNNNNNNNNNNGCUACUCAUUUAAGUCAGAGAAUAAUGGUUGUUCUAUUUAUAUGAGUGAUAUGUUUUAUUGUCAUGCUCCGCUGGUGAAUGGUUUAUUCUUGAUGAAUCUCGAUCGUGAUGUUACGCAUAUUCAUAGUGUGAGUACCAAAAUAUGUAAAGUUGAUAAUGAUAGUCCCACAUACUUGUGGCACUGCCGCCUUGGUCAUAUCGGCGUUAAGCGCAUGAAGAAGCUCCAUACUGAUGGACUAUUAGAGUCUCUUGACUCCGAAUCAUUUGACACAUGCGAACCGUGCCUCAUGGGCAAGAUGACUAAGACUCCAUUCUCAGGAAUAAUGGAGAGAGCAACCGACUUAUUGGAAAUAAUACAUACUGAUGUGUGUGGUCCAAUGAACGUUGAAGCUCGCAGUGGCUAUCGUUGUGUUCUCACUCUCACCGAUGAUUUGAGUAGGUAUGGGUAUAUCUACUUGAUGAAGCACAAAUCUGAGACAUUUGAAAAGUUCAAGGAAUUUCAGAGUGAGGUCGAGAAUCAAUGUUACAGAAAAAUUAAGUGUCUACGAUCUGAUCGUGUGAUCGUGGAGGAGAAUAUUUGAGUCACGAGUUUGGCACACACCUAAGGAAGUGUGGAAUCGUUUCACAACUGACGCCGACUGGCACACCGCAACGCAACGGAGUGUCUGAACGUCGUAAUCGCACUUUAUUAGAUAUGGUACGAUCUAUGAUGUCUCUUACCGACUUACCGCUAUCAUUUUGGGGAUACGCAUUAGAAACUGCAGCAUUCACUUUAAAUAGGGCACCUCUAAAUCCGUUGAGACGACACCGUAUGAACUAUGGUUUGGCAAGAAAGCCUAAGUUGUCGUUUCUUAAAGUUUGGGGCUGCGAUGCUUAUGUGAAGAAACUUCAACCAGAAAAGCUCGAACCCAAAGCGGAGAAAUGUGUAUUCAUAGGAUACCCUAAGGAAACUAUUGGGUAUACCUUCUAUCUUAGAUCCGAAGGUAAAACCUUUGUUGCCAAGAACGGAUCCUUUCUAGAGAAAGAGUUUCUCUCGAAAGAAGUAAGUGGGAGGAAGGUAGAACUUGAUGAGGUAAUUACACCCCCUCUUGAACAGGAUAGUAGCGCAGCGAAGGAAGUUGUUCCUGUGGCGCCUACACCAACUGAAGAGGAAGUUAAUGAUAAUGAUCAUGAAGCUUCGGAUCAAGUUACUACUGAACUGCGAAGGUCCACGAGGGCACGCUCCGCACCAGAGUGGUACAACAACCCUGUGAUGGAAAUCAUGUUGUUAGACAACGGUGAACCUUCGAACUAUGAAGAAGCGAUAGCGGGCCCGGAUUCCAACAAAUGGCUUGAAGCUAUGAAAUCCGAGAUAGGAUCCAUGUAUGAGAACAAAGUAUGGACUUUGGUGGACUUGCCCGAUGACCGGCGAGCCAUAGAAAAUAAAUGGAUGUUCAAGAAGAAGACUGAUGCAAACGGUAAUGUAACCGUUUAUAAAGCUCGACUUGUCUCAAAGGGUUUUCGACAAAUUCAAGGAGUUGACUACGAAGAGACUUUCUCUCCCGUAGCGAAGCUGAAAUCAGUCCGAAUCAUGUUAGAAAUUGCCACCUUUUAUGAUUAUGAAAUUUGGCAAAUGGACGUCAAAACAGCGUUCCUUAACGGGAACUUAAGGAAGAGUUCCAAAACAAAUUCAAGGAGUUCCAGAAGGUUUUGUCGACCCUAAGGGUGCUAACAAAGUGUGCAAGCUCCAGCGCUCCAUCUAUGGGCUGGUGCAAGCAUCUCGGAGUUGGAACAUUCACUUUAAUGAGGUGAUUAAAGCGUUUGGGUUCAUACAGGUUUAUGGAGAAGCUUGUCUAUACAAGAAAGUGAGUGGGAGCUCUUUAGCUUUCCUCAUACUGUAUGUGGAUGACAUAUUAUUGAUGGGGAAUAAUAUAGAGAUGUUGGAGAGCAUAAAGGCCUAUUUGAACAAGAGUUUUUCAAUGAAGGACCUUGGAGAAGCUGCAUAUAUAUUAGGCAUCAAGAUCUAUAGAGAUAGAUCGAGACGCCUCAUAGGUCUUUCGCAAAGUACAUACCUUGACAAGAUAUUGAAGAAGUUCAAUAUGGAAAACUCAAAGAAAGGGUUCUUUCCAGUUUUGCAAGGUAUGAUAUUGAGUAAGACUGAGUCGCCAACCACGGCAGCAGAUAGAGAGAAGAUGAGUUAUGUCCCCUACGCUUCAGCAGUAGGCUCUCUUAUGUAUGCCAUGCUGUGUACCAGACCUGAUAUAAACCUUGCCAUAAGUUUGGUAGGGAGGUACCAAAGUGAUCCCGGUUUGGAACACUGGACAGCGGUCAAGAAUAUCCUUAAGUACCUGAAAAGGACUAAGGAAAUGUUUCUCGUUUAUGGAGGUGACGAAGAGCUCGUCGUAAAGGGUUACGUCGACGCUAGCUUUGACACAGAUCCGGAUGACUCUAAGUCAGAGACUGGAUACGUAUAUGUUUUGAAUGGUGGGGCAGUGAGCUGGUGCAACAUCAAGCAAGAAGUCGUGGCAGCAUCUACAUGUGAAGCGGAGUACAUAGCUGCUUCAGAAGUGGCUCAUGAAGGAAUUUGGAUGAAGGAGCUCAUCACCGACCUUGGAGUGGUUCCAAGCGCGUCGGGUCCAAUGACACUCUUCUGUGAUAACACUGGGGUCAUUGCCAUAGCCAAGGAGCCCAGGUUUCACCAGAAGACGAAGCACAUCGAACGCCGCUACAACUCCAUCCAGGACCAUGUCCAGAGUGGAGUGAUAGAUAUUUUCAAAGUACACACGGAUCUGAAUGUUGCAGACCCGUUGACUAAACCUCUUCCACGAGCAAAACAUGAUCAACACCAUAAUGUUAUGGGUGUUCGAAACAUCACAAUGUAACUAGAUUAUUGACUCUAGUGCAAGUGGGAGACUGUUGGAAAUAUGCCCUAGAUGCAAUAAUAAAAUGGUUAUUAUCAUAUUUCCUUGUUCAUGAUAAUCGUGUGUUGUUCAUGCUAUAAUUGUAUUAACAGGAAACAGUAAUAUAUGUGUGAAUAAAUAGAUCACAAUGUGUCCCUAGCAAGCCUCUAGUUAGCUAGCUCGUUGAUCAAUAGAUGAUCAUGGUUUCCUAAUCAUGGACAUUAGAUGUCAUUGAUAACGUGUUCACAUCAUUGGGAGAAUGAUGUGAUGGACAAGACCCAAUCCUAAGUAUAGCACUAGAUUGUCUUGUUCGUAUGCUAAAGCUUUUCUAAUGUCAAGUGUAUUUUCCUUCGACCGUGAGAUUGUGCUACUCCCGGAUACCGUAGGAGUGCUUUGGGUGUAUCAAACGUCACAACAUAAUUGGGUGAUUAUAAAGGUGCACUACGGGUACCUCCGAAAGUGUCUGUUGGGUUGGUACGAAUCGAGAUCGGGAUUUGUCACUUCGUGUGACGGAGAGGUAUCUCUGGGCCCACUCGGUAGAACAUCAUCAUAAUGAGCUCAGUGUGACUAACGAGUUAGUCACGGGAUGAUGUGCUACGGAACGAGUAAAGAGACUUACAGGUAACGAGAUUGAACAAGGUAUGGGUAUACCGACGAUCGAAUCUCGGGCAAGUUCUAUACCGACAGACAANNNNNNNNNNNNNNNNNNNNNNNNNNNNNNNNNNNNNNNNNNNNNNNNNNNNNNNNNNNNNNNNNNNNNNNNNNNNNNNNNNNNNNNNNNNNNNNNNNNNACGACGCUAUAUUUUCGUCGCUACUGUGAGAUCCUCAACUUUUGCUACAGUAAUGUAUGUAAUUAAGCUAAAGUGAUCCCACGCUAAUGAUGCCACAUCAUCGUAAUUUUUAUCGUUGUUCUCGUGUUAAUCGAAAUCGAGUCAAAUUCAAAUUUUAAAAAUAAAUCGAACUGGAAAAGUUUUCGAAUGUUAAAAUAAAAAUAUCGGGGGAGUUAUAAGAAUUCCCUAAUAAAUUAUAAAAGUAAAUCGGGCAUUUUUAAAAUUAGUUAAAACCCUAUAUAUUUAAAACAGAAACUAAAGAAAUAAAAUAAAAGUAAUAAUAACUAAAAGAAAGUAAUUUUAAAAAAGAAACAACAAAAAAAAAGAAACACAAAAGAGCCCCUCGCCCAACUGGGCCAAAGUGGCCAGCCAGCCAACCCCUUCCCCACCGGCCCAUCCACUCGGGGUAUUUAACCCCCAAGGCAACCCUAGCGAGCCCCUCCUCCCACUCCUCCUGCCGCCGCCAGAAGCAACGAGGGAACCGGUUCCCUCCCCGUCGCCACCUACCACCCUCGCGAGGGCUCCCACUCCUUUCGUCACUCCCCCUGGCUCCCCGAGCCCUCCCCAUCCCGCACCCCACGGCGCCCCCAGCGCCCUGGAUCCCAUCGCCCCUGCGCCACCACCCCGCGAACCCCUGCUCCCUCCUCUCCCCGCGCCUCCCCACGCCCUCGUGGCUCCCUGGGCGCGCCUCGCCUCGUCACCCCUCUCUCCUCUCAUGCGCCGGCGCCCUCGGUCGGCCCUCCUGGAGCGACCGGCCGGCCCUCCGGCAACCCUCCACCGCGACGCCCCGGCGCCGCGCACCACCACCUCGACCUCCUCCUCGCCGGAACCACGACCACCGACCUCCUCGACAUCCUACACAACCGGUUCGCCGCCUCCUCUGCCCCUUCCACAAAACUCCGGCUACACCGGGCCUACCUGUCAACGCCGGUGAGCCCUCCAUUCGGGCUCCUCCCACCACCCCUUUCUUCCUUUCCCCGCCCCAGUUCCGUUCCGGCGAAUACCGCCGCGUUCCGACGCCGUUGAGCUCCUGUAGGUGGAGGUUGCCUCCUCUCUCUCUGUUAAGAGAGAUGUCUGUGAGCAGAGAGUUAUGUUGGGGAACGUUGCAUGGUAAACUAAAAUUUUACUACGCACACGAAGACCUAUCAUGGUGAUGUCCAUCUACGAGUGGAGAUUAGAUCUACAUACCCUUGUAGAUCGCUCAGCGGGAAGCGUUAAGAAAAGUGGUUGAUGUAGUGGAACAUCUUCACGUCCCUCGAACCGUCCCACGAACCGCCCCUCGAUCCGUCUCAUGAACCGUCGAGCGAUCCUCCCACGAUCCGUUUCGAUCUAGUGACGAACGGACGACACCUCCGCGUUCAGCACACGUACAGCUCGACGAUGAUCUCCGCCUUCUUGAUGCAGCAAGCAAGACAGAGAAGUAGAUGAGUUCUCCGGCAGCGUGAUGGCGCUCCGGUGGUGGUGAUGAUCUACUCCUGCAGGGCUCCGCCCGAGCUCCGCAGAAAUCCGAUCUAGAGGUAAAACUACGUGGUAUAGGUUUGAGUUGCACGUGGCAAAGUUGUCUCAAAUCAGCCCUAAAACACCACUAUAUAUAGGAGGGAGGGGGAGGGCUAGCCUUGAGAGACAAGCCCUCAAGGUGCGCCGGCCAAGGGGAGGAGGAGGACUCCUCCUCCAAUUCGGUUUGGGAANNNNNNNNNNNNNNNNNNNNNNNNNNNNNNNNNNNNNNNNNNNNNNNNNNNNNNNNNNNNNNNNNNNNNNNNNNNNNNNNNNNNNNNNNNNNNNNNNNNNGAUCCUACUAGAUACCCAUGGUCACCACGUAAAACAUGCAACAACAAGAUUAGAGGACGUCUAACUUUUUUUGCAGGGUAUGCUUGUGAUGUGAUAUGGCCAACGAUGUGAUGUCAUAUAUUGGAUGUAUGAGAUGAUCAUGUUGUAAUAGAUAAUAUCGACUUGCACGUCGAUGGUACGGCAACCGGCAAGAGCCAUAGGGUUGUCUUUAAACUAACGUUUGUGCUUGCAGAUGCGUUUACUAUUUUGCUUGGAUGUAGCUUUAGUAGUAAUAGCAUGAGUAGCACGACAACCCCGAUGGCAACACGUUGAUGGAUGAUCAUGGUGUGGCGCCGGUGACAAGAAGAUCGUGCCGGUGCAUUGGUGAUGGAUAUCAAGAAGCACGUGAUGAUGGCCAUAUCAUGUCACUUAUGAAUUGCAUGUGAUGUUAAUCCUUUUAUGCACCUUAUUUUGCUUAGAAUGACGGUAGCAUUAUAAGGUGAUCUCUCACUAAAAUUUCAAGAUGAAAUUGUGUUCUCCCCGGUUGUGCACCGUUGCUACAAAUCAUCGUUUCGAGACACCACGUGAUGAUCGGGUGUGAUAGACUCAACGUUCACAUACAACGGGUGCAAAACAGUUGCACACGCGGAACACUCGGGUUAAGCUUGACGAGCCUAGCAUGUGCAGACAUGGCCUCGGAACACAUGAGACCGAAAGGUCGAUCAUGAAUCAUAUAGAUGAUAUGAUUAGCAUAGGGAUGCUUACCACUGAAACUAUACUCAACUCACGUGAUGAUCGGACUUGGGAUAGUGUAAGUGGAUCAUGAACCACUCAAAUGACUAGAGAGAUGUACUUUUUGAGUGGGAGUUUAGCAUAUAAUUUGAUUAAGUUAAACUCUAAUUAUCUUGAACAUAGUCUAAAUCCACUUUGAAUAUAUUUGUGUUGUAGAUCAUGGCUCACGCGACAGUCACCCUGAAUUUUAAUACGUUCCUAGAGAAAGCUAAGUUGAAAGAUGAUGGAAGCCACUUUGUAGACUGGGCUCAUAAUCUUAAGCUAAUCUUACAAGCUGGGAAGAAGGAUUAUGUCCUUAAUGGUGCGCUAGGAGAUGAACCACCCGCUACGGCUGACCAGGAUGUUAAGAACGCUUGGUUAACACGUAAGGAGGACUACUCAGUAGUUCAAUGUGCAGUCUUGUAUGGCUUAGAACCAGGACUUCAACGUCNNNNNNNNNNNNNNNNNNNNNNNNNNNNNNNNNNNNNNNNNNNNNNNNNNNNNNNNNNNNNNNNNNNNNNNNNNNNNNNNNNNNNNNNNNNNNNNNNNNNUUGCACAGAAAUGCCUCAUACACCAUCGAUGAUGCAAAGGAGCAUGGCCGGGAAUGACAAUGUCAACCGCGUUAAGUAUGCCUUGAUGGCGAUCCGAUAUGACACAUAUUUCCCUCUCAAACGGUAAUACUUUGGUUCUCAAAAUAUGCAAGAACCAUUCCCAGUUAACAUUGUUCUCUGCCUCAACCAAAGCAAAAGCCAAAGGCAUCAACCGGUUAUUGGCAUCACUUGCUAUUGCAACCAACAAAGUGCCCUUGAAUUGUCCGGUCAGAAACGUGCCAUCGAUGGAGAUGACAGGACGACAGUGCUGAAAAGCCCUCACACAUUGCUCAAAUACCCAAAAUGCACGACCAAAUACGCGGACCCUAUUUCCAUUGAGAAUCCUUGUUUUCUCCCCAUACGGCUCGACCACAUGAACCAUGCCCGGGUUAGUGGCGGCAAUAGCUCCCAACAACCUAGGUAGGCGGUUGUAUGCUUGCUCCCAAUCACCAUACGACAUCUUGAAUGCGGCUUGCUUUGCUUUCCAUGCCUUACCAUAUUUUCACCUCGUAGUGAAAGAGGGGUUUCACAAGGUCUUGUACGCUUUUUAUGCUCAUUGUAGGAAGAGAGGAGAUGGAGUUGGAAAGCCUAUAAGCGAUGAACUCGGAGGUGAGUUGUCUAUGGCUUUGCGACGAAAGGGCACCAUCAACCCUCUUGCCUCGACACAUGUGAGGCAUACAACUGACAAUGUUCCAUCCUGGCCCUCCUUUCCAUGGUCUUGCACGGACAAUCCAAGUACACCCUCUAUCCUCACAUGCAACCGUGUAACGCAGCUUCAUGUUUGAAUGAAUAACUUUGUGUGGCCUAUAAUGCGUAACAGAAUAUUCAUCCAACCACAUCUUCAGUUCAAGGAAUGCUUGGAACUUUGACCCCGACAAAAUAAUAUUCUUCCCAUGUUUGUCCCGAUGAGAAGGUGGCCUAACUCCAAACAAUACGCAUUCGCCUCCGUCAACCACGGCUUCAUCCGCAAGGCUAAGAUCCUCGAACAAUGGUGUCCGGUGAUCCCGCUUUAAUACCUUCGUGAAAGCUUCAGCCUCCUUUGCCGUGAACCCUUCCUCAUCAACUUCUUCAUCGGGACCCUCAUCGUCAGACUCAGAUGCAUAGCCACGUGAGUACGGAAUAGAAUGGUCCAUUGUCUCUUGCAAAUUAUAUUUGUCCAAAUCACCAAGAUUGUUGUCAUGAAGAACAGUACCAUCAUUCUCAUCAUCAUCGUGCUCAUCAUUAGCCUCUAGCAAUGGUUCAUGUUGGACACAAGAAAGAGGUUCAAUGUUGGCCUNNNNNNNNNNNNNNNNNNNNNNNNNNNNNNNNNNNNNNNNNNNNNNNNNNNNNNNNNNNNNNNNNNNNNNNNNNNNNNNNNNNNNNNNNNNNNNNNNNNNUGGAGGUUGGUGGUGAUCUUAUCUCAGCAGGGCUCCGCCCGAGCUCCGCAGAAACGCGAUCUAGAGGAAAAACCGUGGAGGUAUGUGGUCGGGCUGCCGUGGAAAAGUCGUCUCAAAUCAGCCCUAGAACCUCCGUAUAUAUAGGUGGGAGAGGGGGAGCCUUGCCUCGGGGCUCAAGGAGCCCCAAGGGGGUCGGCCGAGCCAAAGGGGGGAAGGACUCCCCCCCAAACCGAGUCCUACUUGGUUUGGUGGGUGGAGUCCUUCUUUCCUUUCCCACCUCCUCCUUUUUUUUAUUUUUUCUUUGAUUCUUCUUCCAAUGCGCAUAGGGCCCUUUUGGGCUGUCCCACCAGCCCACUAAGGGCUGGUGCGCCACCCUCAAGGCCUAUGCGCUUCCCCGGGGUGGGUUGCCCCCCCCCCCCCCCGGGCCACCCCGAACCCCGUGAUCUCAUCCGGGACUCCGAACAACAUUCGGUAACCAACCAUAUAACUCAAAUACGCAUAAAACAACGUCGAACCUUAAGUGUGCAGACCUUGCGGGUUCGAGAACUAUGUAGACCUGACCCGAGAGACUCCUCGGUCAAUAUCCAAUAGCGGGACCUGGAUGCCCAUACUGGAUCCUAAAUAUUCUACGAAGAUCUUAUCGUUUGAACCUCAGUGCCAAGGAUUCAUAUAAUCCCGUAUGUCAUUCCCUUUGUCCUUCGGUAUGUUACUUGCCCGAGAUUCGAUCGUCAGUAUCCGCAUACCUAUUUCAAUCUCGUUUACAGACAAGUCUCUUUACUCGNNNNNNNNNNNNNNNNNNNNNNNNNNNNNNNNNNNNNNNNNNNNNNNNNNNNNNNNNNNNNNNNNNNNNNNNNNNNNNNNNNNNNNNNNNNNNNNNNNNNACUCAAAAGUGGGAAGGGUUUAAAUAGGCAAUCGGACUGGAUCACACCAAGAUGGCGUAGAUCCUUCUCGUGUCGGGUAAAAGAUAUACCGGCACGGCCGACAACUGGGUAGGGUCACGUCUAAUCUAGAGUGGCUGGGGGGGGGGGNNNNNNNNNNNNNNNNNNNNNNNNNNNNNGGGGGUGAGGUAGUAAAAUGAACUGAUUUAUCAAAUGCUCAAAGUUAUCCACGAAAACACUUAGUCAUUUUCCCCACAUAUCCACUCUAUCAAGUUCCACAUUCACAAAUUUGGUGUCACCAACAUUCCCACAUCAGACCCACCAAGUUUGAACCUCAAACAAAACCAUAUCCAUGUGGCACCCCGAUAGAGGGCCGACACACGUCCGUCCCCAGGAUAAGACCGGACGCACGUCAUGAGCAUGAUACAGAAAUUCCAAGCAAAUAUGGCUUUAUUAAUAUGAUGGAGUGCUACAAUACUGUUGCAUACAACAAUAUUACAUGACUCCAAGGCUAGCUAAAUGGUAGCGGAGGUCUAGAUACGACGGCUUCCACGAUCCUGGCUGGGCUCCAUAACUCGCAGGCCUGGCUUGGUUACGAUCUAGCACCAUGAGUCUUCUCCUGCAACUGGCCACGUGCAAGGCCAGGUGAGUACUUUGAAUGUACUCGCAAGACAGCCAAAUACAUAGCAUCCAAACAGCGGAUAAGAGAGCAAACACUGUGAUUAUAAGAUAACUACUCUAUGGCAUGGAAUCAACAGGAAGAAUAUCAAUCAAGCAUAUCAGGUUAUGAACUCAAUAUGUAAUCCACCUCACUAGCAUGACAAAGAUCACCACACGUGUUUAACUAGUUUACCAUUACCGAAUAUCAACUUACUCUCUUCGGGGUUGUCCCACAACCCUAGUUUACCGUUACCGAAUAUCAACUUACUCUCUUCGGGGUUUUCCCACAACCCUCGACAUACUCACGAUCCAAACGAAUCUCAUUCUCAUCACAUAGUCACGAGACCAUUCAUCGUAUAACAUUCCUUUGGCGAGCGUCCUAAUCUUGUGUGCGAGCGAAGGAACAGUCUUCGCAGCACACCUACGCGCAGCAUCACCUGGCUUUGUUCACUGACGAAGCCACACUUGGUCUUACUCCUACUGCGGAUCUCCUGGGUCCAUUACCGUGGACACGGCUAUUCGAAUAGAUUUGACCCACUCUGCAGAGGUUGCACACUGAACCCACACUCUGGAGUACUGACCUCGUGAUCCCAUUCGGGUGGAUUAGCAUUACUCCACUAGACUUUCCUGAACUGCGAUCCUCUCAUCGUACUUCCGGCAACCACUCCCUCUAUGGAGUCCUGCCCUGGGUGGCCCUGUGUCCUCAUGACACCUGGCACCGUCAUGACAACAUAUCAAAAUACCGAACGAAUACCAAAGCGAAGGUGGUACUGAGCCUGGCAAUAGGGACCGGGUUGACUGGGGCUCUACUGGACGGGCCGCACGGUAUGCUUCUGUAACAACCCGCGUGGCGUUCUGAUCCACGCUCUUGAGCUCCUUAAGGAUACCGAAGAGCAAUAGUCCCUGGGCAGCAGCAAACUGGGUCAGCCAAGCUAUUGCUGGAUUCGCAUCUUUGGCUUUGCCGGAGGAACUACAACCCGUGUCCGAUGCAGGNNNNNNNNNNNNNNNNNNNNNNNNNNNNNNNNNNNNNNNNNNNNNNNNNNNNNNNNNNNNNNNNNNNNNNNNNNCUGCAUCUCCGCCACUUGCGGAAACUGAAGCCGAAGACGGGUGAUAGCUUCCGCCGCGGCUAUCUGGACUGCCAACUCAAGAGUGGGCAUAGGAUGGCCACGAAUAUUCGUGGGUUUCCUAUCUGCCGCUGGCCCUGGGUUGAUAUGCACCUUUUCAUAAAACCGGCAAAGAUGGGGGAUGGGUUCCGACUGGAACACCAAAUACACUCGGGGCUUACCAAGGCCAAAGGCUUGGGAGAGCAUCCUAGAAAGNNNNNNNNNNNNNNNNNNNNNNNNNNNNNNNNNNNNNNNNNNNNNNNNNNNNNNNNNNNNNNNNNNNNNNNNNNNNNNNNNNNNNNNNNNNNNNNNNNNNAUGAUAUGGCCAUCAUCAUGCGCUUCUUGAUCUCCAUCACCAAAGCACCGGCACGAUCUUCUUGUCACCGGCAUCACACCAUGAUCUCCAUCAUCAUGAUCUCCAUCAACGUUUCGCCAUCGGGGUUGUCGUGCUACUCAUACUAUUACUACUAAAGCUACGUCCUAGCAAUAUAGUAAACGCAUCUGCAAGCACAAACGUUAGUUUAAAGACAACCCUAUGGCUCCUGCCGGUUGCCGUACCAUCGACGUGCAAGUCGAUAUUAACUAUUACAACAUGAUCAUCUCAUACAUCCAAUAUAUCACAUCACAUCGUUGGCCAUAUAACAUCACAAGCAUACCCUGCAAAAACAAGUUAGACGUCCUCUAAUUUUGUUGUUGCAUGUUUUACGUAGUGACCAUGGGUAUCUAGUAGGAUCGCAUCUUACUUAUGUAAACGUCACAACGGAGAUAUAUGAAUUUCUAUUUAACCUCAUCCAAGGACCUCCUCGGUCAAUUCCGAUUCAACUAAAGUUGGAGAAACUGACACCCGCCAGUCAUCUUUGAGCAACGGAGUUACUCGUAGCGAUGAAACCAGUCUCUCGUAAGCGUACGAGUAAUGUCGGUCCGAGCCGCUUCGAUCCAACAAUACCGCAGAAUCAAGAAAAGACUAAGGAGGGCAGCAAAACGCACAUCACCGCCCACAAAAACUUUUGUGUUCUACUCGAGAAAACAUCUACGCAUGAACCUAUCUCAUGAUGCCACUGUUGGGGAACGUCGCAUGGGAAACAAAAAUUUUCCUACGCGCAUGAAGACCUAUCAUGGUGAUGUCCAUCUACGAGAGGGGAUGUUCGCUCUACGUACCCUUGUAGACCGCACAGCAGAAGCGUUAGUGAACGCGGUUGAUGUAGUGGAACUUCCUCACGUCCCUCGAUCCGCCCCAGGAACCGUCCCGCGAUCAGUCCCACGAUCUAGUGCCGAACGGACAGCACCUCCGCGUUCAGCACACGUACAGCUUGACGAUGAUCUUGGCCUUCUUGAUCCAGCAAGAGAGACGGAGAGGUAGAUGAGUUCUCCGGCAGCGGACGGCCCUCCGGAGGUUGGUGGUUCUCUUAUCUCAGCAGGGCUCUGCCCGAGCUCCGCAGAAACGCGAUCUAGAGGAAAAACCGUGGAGGUAUGUGGUCGGGCUGCCGUGGAAAAGUCAUCUCAAAUCAGCCAUAAACCUCUGUAUAUAUAGGUGGGAGAGGGGUAGCCUUGCCUUGGGGCUCAAGGAGCCCCAAGGGGGUCGGCCAAGCCAAAGGGGGGAAGGACUCCCCCCCCAAACCGAGUCCUACUUGGUUUGGUGGGUGGAGUCCUUCUUUCCUUUCCCACCUUCUCCUUUUUUUCUCUUUGAUUUUUCUUCCAAUGCGCAUAGGGCCCUUUUGGGCUGUCCCACCAGCCCACCAAGGGCUGGUGCGCCACCCUCAAGGCCUAUGGGCUUCCCCGGGGUGGGUUCCCCCCCCCCCCGGUGAACUCCCAGAACCCAUUCGUCAUUCCCGGUACAUUCCCGGUAACUCCGAAAACCUUCCGGUAAUUAAAUGAGGUCAUCCUAUAUAUCAAUCUUCAUUUUCGGACCAUUCCAGAAACCCUCGUGACGUCCGUGAUCUCAUCCGGGACUCCAAACAACAUUCGGUAACCAACCAUAUAACUCAAAUACGCAUAAAACAACGUCGAACCUUAAGUGUGCAGACCUUGCGGGUUCGAGAACUAUGUAGACCUGACCCGAGAGACUCCUCGGUCAAUAUCCAAUAGCAGGACCUGGAUGCCCAUAUUGGAUCCUACAUAUUCUACGAAGAUCUUANNNNNNNNNNNNNNNNNNNNNNNNNNNNNNNNNNNNNNNNNNNNNNNNNNNNNNNNNNNNNNNNNNNNNNNNNNNNNNNNNNNNNNNNNNNNNNNNNNNNCAGAUCCACUCGGGGACUCAGCAGACUCUCAUUGAGUCUCAUGUGGAUGUCAAGACCACUGACAAUUACAUGAGUAGCAGACCCUCAUUGAGGCUCAUGUGGAUGUCAAGACAACAGACAAUUACAUGAGUAACGACUCGCUCCGAGUGCAGCAUGUCCGUCGCACUCGAAGACUUAGCCGCGAUCAUGAAUCGCCUAAGUACUCUAUUACCUUCGAGUGUAUCCUACAGAUCCACUCGGGGACUCAGCAGACCCUCAUUGAGGCUCAUGUGGAUGUCAAGACCACUGAAAAUUACAUGAGUAACAACUCGCUCUGAGUGCGGCAUAUCCGUCGCACUCGAAGACUUAGCCGCGAUCAUGAACCGCCUAAGUACUCUAUUACCCUCGAGUGUAUCCUACAGAUCCACUCGGCGACUUGGCAGACCCUCAGAGAGGCUCACACAGAUGUCAAGGAAAUUGACAAUUACAUGCUCCGCAUGUUUGCCAUUGGCUUCAACAAGAAAAGCCAAACAAAAACUCGAGCCAAAAUGGUGUCAACAACUCAUUGGCCACAGAAGAGCAAAAGAUUUGAUUUAAAUUCGAAGUUCACCUAAGGAUAGUUGACUCGGUGCGGAUCAAGCUUAACCGCACCGAACCAAGAAUGUGACGGCCAACAGAAGUGGCCAAGGUUUCUUACAACCAACACUCGGCAUACCGAGGUAAAAGUUUUCUUAAGCGUCGUCCGGAUUGGCGCCAGGACUGGAGGGUUCCACGAAUGUGUCCAGGUCGAUCCCGUCGGCGAUGCGGGGGGCACUCUCAAGGAAGGUUUCCAAGAAGUCUUCGAAUCGAAGUUUCUUCGUGUUGGCGACCUUCAACGCUUUCAGCUUCUCUUCGCGCACCUCCUUGCAAUGCACUCGGACCAGGGACAGCGCAACGUCUGCACCACAGCGAGCCGCAGAUUUCUUCCAUGACUGCACUCGGUUUGGGACCUCCUCNNNNNNNNNNNNNNNNNNNNNCAUGACUGCCCUCGGUUUGGGACCUCCUCCAGCCGAGCCAUCAAGCCUUCCAUCUCAUACCGAGACUUGUCUUCAGGCCAAAGCUCCUUGUCGAUCCGGCCGACGACUUCUCUCAGUCGACCGAUGAAAGGCCCAACUUUUCCCAGGCGAAUGUGCGCUCAGAGCAGAUCUCGAUUGGCGUCCUCCCCGAGUGGAAUGUUCUCGCGAAUCGACCGCUCCACGUCAGCUGCUUCAGCCUCCGCAUCCAUGCAAAAAUCUGCAAACACAGGACAAGCAAACAAUAAGCGCCGAGUGUAACGCACAUACCACAAGCACUCGGAAAAACAGGACUUACCACCCAGACGCGUUAUCAUCUGCCGGCCCAAGUCACUGACGUAUUUUUCCUGCGCUAUACACCGCUUGUACAGCACAUUCAUUUGCCCCAUCAGAUCAGACCUUUGCGCCUUCAUCUUCUCAACUUCAGCAGUCAGUGCCUUGUUUGCUUCACGGGCCUGCUCCAACGACUUCUCUCGUUCCACCAGAACAUCCUUCAUGCCAGCCAUUGCAACCAGUGCCGCAUCCAGCUCACCAGCAAACUGAACCUUUUCAACCCUAAGAGUCUCGUACGCUGCCCCCAUCUUGCAAGUUUUCUGCUAGCCAGCGCCAAGAGACGAUCAGACAAAUCCAACAAUAAAAAGUCUAAGUUCUUCAGACCCCUGCCGACGCAAGCAGUCGACAGCGGUCUCGGGGACUACACCCAGUGNNNNNNNNNNNNNNNNNNNNNNNNNNNNNNNNNNNNNNNNNNNNNNNNNNNNNNNNNNNNNNNNNNNNNNNNNNNNNNNNNNNNNNNNNNNNNNNNNNNNUGAUAUGAAUACAUUUUUCUCUCUUACAUUUUGUUGUCGGUGGACUUGAGUCGUAGGAAAAGUCAUACUAUUAAGAGGUGAUCCGCUUCGGAAAAGUCUGGGUGGAAUCAUCACGUACACUUUCCUCUCACCCUCUUUUCCUCUUCAAUGGAGCUUUCUUCUUUUCCAAAAUCUCUGCCCAUAAAGUACCAUGUGGUAGUACCGCUCCUUGGAGCGGGGAGCGAUACUACCUCUUAUCAUUGGUAGUACCACCCCGGCCGACAGUAGUACUGCUCUAGGGCGGUAGUGGUCCUGCUGGUACCUCUGGCUAGUACCGCUGCCCUUAAGUCUGACAUUUCUUGGUCGGACUUUGCGGUAGUGCUGGGCGGUAGUACUGCCCAUAUGGCGGUACUACCGCUUGUUACUACCGCUUCUGGCGGUACUAUCGGCCCUGCCCCCUCUCUGUUCGGCCUCUCUCUGCUUGAGCAUGUUGGGGAACGUUGCAUGGGAAACAAAAAAAUUCCUACGCAUACGAAGACCUAUCAUGGUGAUGUCCAUCUAUGAGAGGAGAUUUGGAUCUACGUACCCUUGUAGAUCGCACAACAAGAAGCGUUAAGAAAUGCGGUUGAUGUAGUGGAACAUCCUCACGUCCCUCGAUCCGCCCCAUGAACCGUCCCAUGAACCGUCCCGCGAUCCGUCCCACGAUCCGUUCCGAUCUAGUAUCGAACGGACGACACCUCCGCGUUCAGCACACGUAUAGCUCGACGAUGAUCUCGGCCUUCUUGAUCCAGCAAGCAAGACGGAGAAGUAGACGAGUUCUACGGCAGCGUGACGAUGCUCCGGUGGUGGUGAUGAUCUACUCCUGCAGGGCUCCGCCCGAGCUCCGCAGAAAUCCAAUCUAGAGGUAAAACUAUGUGGUAUAGGUUUGACUUGCACGUGGCAAAAUUGUCUCAAAUCAGCCCCAAAACACCACUAUAUAUAGGAGGGAGGGGGAGGGCUAGACUUGAGGGACAAGCCCUCAAGGUGCACCGGCCAGGGGAGGAGGCUUGCCUUGAGGGCCAAGCCCUCAAGGGGUGCGCCGGCCAAGGGGGAGGUGGACUCCCACCCCAAUUCGGUUUGGGGGAAGGAGUCCACUCCUUCCUUCUCACCUCCCCUUUUCCUUUACCCUUUUUCUUUUCUUUGGUAUUUUCUUAUGUAGAGCCAUGGGCCCCUUGGGCUGACUCCACCAGCCUACUAGGGAGUUGUGGCGCCACCCUAUGGCCUUGGGCUCACUCCCGGGUGGGUGGGCCCCUCCCNNNNNNNNNNNNNNNNNNNNNNNNNNNNNNNNNNNNNNNNNNNNNNNNNNNNNNNNNNNNNNNNNNNNNNNNNNNNNNNNNNNNNNNNNNNNNNNNNNNNGCACGUAUGGUGAACCGCUAUGUUAGGAAGUCGGAGCAUAAUUGAUUAAUUGAUUGUCAACCUUUGUGUUGCGGUCGGGAUCGCGCGAUGGUUAACACCUACCAACCCUUCCCCUAGGAGUAUGCGUUUAGCACUUUGUUUCGAUUGCUAAUAAAAACUUUCGCAUUAAGUAUGUGAGUUCUUCAUGACUAAUGUGAGUCCAUGGUAUAGAUGCACUUUCACCUUCCACCGUUGCUAGCCUCUCUAGUGCCGCGCAACUUUUGCCGGUACACAAAACCACCAUAGACCUUCCUCAAAACAGCCAACAUACCUACCUAUCAUGGCCUUUUCAUAACCAUUCUGAGAUAUAUUGCCAUGCAACUCCCACCAUUCCGUCUCAUGACUUGUGUCGUCACUUACAUAUUGCCAUUGCAUGACGUAAGAUAGCUAGCCAGUCAUACGCUAAGCUAGAUCGUUGCACAUCCCGAUACACUGCCGGAGGCAUUUCCUAUAAGAGUCAUCAUUGUUUUAAGCUUUGAGCUAUGAGUAAAUAAAAGUGUGAUGAUCAUCAUUAUUAGAGCAUUGUACCAUGUGAGGAAUAGAAAAAAGAGGCCAAAGAUGCCCACCAAAAAAACAUGCCAAAGAGCCCAAAAAAAUGAGAGAAAAACAGAGAAGGGACAAUGCUACUAUCCCUUUCCACACUUGUGCUUCAAAAUAACACCAUGUUCUUCAUGAUAGAGAGUCUCUUGUUUUGACACUUCCUUAUACUAGUGGGAAUUUUCAUUAUAUAACUUCGCUUGUAUAUUCCAGUGAUGGGCUUCCUCAAAAUUGCCCUAGGUCUUCAUGAGCAAGCAAGUUGGGUGCACACCCACUAGUUUUCUUUUUGAGCUUUCACAUGAGCAAGCAAGUUGGAUGCACACCCACUAGUUCUCCUUUUGAGCUUUCACAUACUUAUAGCUCUAGUGCAUCCUUUGUAUGGCAAUCCUACUCAUUCACAUUGAUAUCUAUUAAUGGGCAUCUCCAUAACCCUUUNNNNNNNNNNNNNNNNNNNNNNNNNNNNNNNNNNNNNNNNNNNNNNNNNNNNNNNNNNNNNNNNNNNNNNNNNNNNNNNNNNNNNNNNNNNNNNNNNNNNUAAGUGCUCUGGAAGUCCACCACUUCGAACGUCAGUUUGUCCUUGCGGAAGUUCUUGUCGGAGCCGAAAAGGAAGUCCAACGCGAUCUGGCCGAGUGACUUGGCCUUCUGUCCAGGGACGACUCCAUGGAACUGCAUGCUGCUCUCGCUGAGUUUGGACAUCGGAAUGCCCAUCCCCUUGAGAGUGUCAGCGUACAUGAUGUUCAAGCCACUGCCACCGUCCAUGAGGACUUUGCGCAGUCGGACUCCCUCCACCACCGGGUGAACGACCAGAGCUUGUCUCCCUGGGGUGGGUACGUGUGCUGGAUGAUCCGACUGGUCAAAGGUGAUCGCAGUCUGAGACCAUUUGAGGAACUUGGGGUUGGUAGGGGUGGCCAUGUUCACCUCCCUGUUCACCAGCUUCAGUCGACUCUUGCUCUCAACGUUAGCAAAAAUCAUCAGUGUUGCAUGGACUUGGGGGAACGGAUCCUCCUUCUCCUCCUCAUCCUGUUCAUUGUCCUUUUCACUCGGUUGCCCUUCGCUGAACCCCUGGAUUAGGAGGCGACACUGUCGAGUGGUAUGCUUCGCAUAUAUGGGGUUGCCCUCUUCAUCCAUCUUCGUAUGAACCGGACACGGCUGGUCCAGGAUGGGGUUAUUGAACUGCUUCUUCUUGGGGGUGAAAUGAGCUUUCCCUUUGCCCUUGAACUUGGCAUUGGUUACGGCUGCAGCUUCUGCCUGCGGAGUGCACGGAGCUUUCUGCUUCUGCUUCCGAGUGUUACUCCCAUCUCCAUCGGCGACUGUUUUCUGCUUGCCACUUCGGAAGCGGUCCUCUUCUUCGCCAUUUGCAUAGCGUGCUGCUAUUUCCAUCAUAUUGCUCAUGGAGAUGUCACCUGUUCGGCCGAACUUGAGGUACAGAUCCCUGUACCGCACGCCUGCCUUGAAGGCGCAGACUGCUUGAUGCUCUGUGACAUUCUACACCGUGUGGUAGAGAGUUGUCCAACGCUGAAUGAAAUCACGCAGGGGCUCAUUCUGCUUCUGGACGCAGUGCUGGAGCUCCAUGAGGCCAGCAGGGCGCUUGCACGUCCCUUCGUAGGUCUUGAUGAACACUCGGGCCAGAUCUGCCCAGCUGUAGAUGCUUGAGGGGGCCAACUGGUUCAGCCACGCUCGCGCCGAGCCGUCGAGCAUCAGAGGGAGGUGCUUCAUGGCGACAUGGUCGUCUCCUCCUCNNNNNNNNNNNNNNNNNNNNNNNNNNNNNNNNNNNNNNNNNNNNNNNNNNNNNNNNNNNNNNNNNNNNNNNNNNNNNNNNNNNNNNNNNNNNNNNNNNNNCCUUAGUCACAUUGAGCUCAUGAUGAUGUUCUACCGAGUGGUCCCAGAGAUACCUCUCCGUCACACGGAGUGACAAAUCCCGAUCUCGAUUCGUGCCAACCCAACAAAUACUUUCGGAGGUACCCGUAGUGCACCUUUAUAGUCACCGAGUUACGUUGUGACAUUUGAUACACCCAAAGCACUCGUACGGUAUCCGGGAGUUGCACAAUCUCACGGUCGAAGGAAAAGACACUUGACAUUAGAAAAGCUUUAGCAUACGAAAAAUACGAUCUAGUGCUACGCUUACGAUUGGGUCUUGUCCAUCACAUCAUUCCCCCAAUGAUGUGAUCCCGUUAUCAAUGACAUCUAAUGCCCGUGACCAGGAAACCAUGAUCAUCUAUUGACUAACGAGCUAGCCAACUAGAGGCUUGCUAGGGACACAUUGUGAUCUAUUUAUUCACACAUGUAUUACUGUUUCCUGUUAAUACAAUUAUAGAAUGAACAAUAGACGUUUAUCAUGAACAAGGAANNNNNNNNNNNNNNNNNNNNNNNNNNNNNNNNNNNNNNNNNNNNNNNNNNNNNNNNNNNNNNNNNNNNNNNNNNNNNNNNNNNNNNNNNNNNNNNNNNNNGCCGUCACGCUGCCAGAGAACUCUUCUACCUCUCCGUCUCUCUUGCUGGAUCAAGAAGGCCGAGAUCAUCGUCGAGCUGUACGUGUGCUGAACGCGGAGGUGCCGUCCGUUCGGUACUAGAUCAUGGGACUGAUCGCGGGAUUGUUCGCGGGGCGGAUCGAGGGACGUGAGGACAUUCCACUACAUCAACCGCGUUCACUAACACUUCUUCUGUACGGUCUACAAGGGUACGUAGAUCACUCAUCCCCUCUCGUAGAUGGACAUCACCAUGAUAGGUCUUCGUGCGCGUAGGAAAAUUUUUGUUUCCCAUGCGACGUUCCCCAACAGUGGCAUCAUGAGCUAGGUUCAUGCGUAGAUGUCUUCUCGAGUAGAACACAAAAGUUUUUGUGGGCGGUGAUGUGCGUUUUGAUGCCCUCCUUAGUCUUUUCUUGAUUCCGCGGUAUUGUUGGAUUGAAGCGGCUUGGACCGACAUUACUCGUACGCUUACGAGAGACUAGUUUCAUCGUUACGAGUAACCCCCUUUGCUCAAAGAUGAAUGGCAAGUGUCGGUUUCUCCAACUUUAGUUGAAUCGGAUUUGACCGAGGAGGUCCUUGUAUGAGGUUAAAUAGCAACUCAUAUAUCUCCGUUGUGGUGUUUGCGUAAGUAAGAUGCGAUCCUACUAGAUACCCAUGGUCACCACGUAAAACAUGCAACAACAAAAUUAGAGGACGUCUAACUUGUUUUUGCAGGGUAUGAUUGUGAUGUGAUAUGGCCAACGAUGUGAUGUGAUAUAUUGGAUGUAUGAGAUGAUCAUGUUGUAAUAGAAAUAUCGACUUGCACGUCGAUGGUACGGCAACCGGCAGGAGCCAUAGGGUUGUCUUUAUACUAACGUUUGUGCUUGCAGAUGCGUUUACUAUUUUGCUAGGAUGUAGCUUUAGUAGUAAUAGCAUGAGUAGCACGACAACCCCGAUGGCAACACGUUGAUGGAUGAUCAUGGUGUGGCGCCGGUGACAAGAAGAUCGUGCCGGUGCAUUGGUGAUGGAUAUCAAGAAGCACGUGAUGAUGGCCAUAUCAUGUCACUUAUGAAUUGCAUGUGAUGUUAUUACUUUUAUGCACCUUAUUUUGCUUAGAACGACGGUAGCAUUAUGAGGUGAUCUCUCACUAAAAUUUCAAGACGAAAUUGUGUUCUCCCCGACUGUGCACCGUUGCUACAGUUCGUCGUUUCGAGACACCACGUGAUGAUCGGGUGUGAUAGACUCAACGUUCACAUACAACGGGUGACAAAACAGUUGCACACGCGGAACACUCGGGUUAAGCUUGACGAUCCUAGCAUGUGCAGACAUGGCCUCGGAACACAUGAGACCGAAAGGUCGAGCAUGAAUCGUAUAGUUGAUAUGAUUAGCAUAGAGAUGCUUACCACUGAAACUAUUCUCGCCUCACGUGAUGAUCGGACUUGAGAUAGUGGAUUUGGAUCAUGUACCACGCAAAUGACUAGAGAGAUGUACUUUUUGAGUGGGAGUUCUUAAGUAAUAUGAUUAAUUGAACUAAUUGUCAUGAACAUAGUCUAAUGGUCUUUGCGAAUUACGAUGUAGCUUGCGCUAUAGCUCUACUGUUUUUAUAUGUUCCUAGAGAAAAUUUAGUUGAAAGUUGAUAGUAGCAAACUUUGAAGAGGAUUGUCCUCGUUGCUGUGUAGAAGGCUUAUGUCCUUAAUGCACCACUCGGUGUGCUGCACCUCGAGCGUCGUCUGUGGAUGCUGUGAACAUCCGACAUACACGUUUCUGAUGACUACACGAUAGUUCAGUGCUAAAUACUUAAUGGCUUAAAAGCAAGGCACCGAAGACGUUUUUAAACGUCACGGAACAUAAGUGAUGUUCUAAAGAGAUGAAAUUGUGAUUUCGUGCUCGUGCCCUUGUUGAGAGGUACGAGACCUCCGACAAGAUUCUUUGUCCACAAAGUAAAGGAGAAAAGCUCAAUCGUUGAGCGUGUGCUCAGAUUGUCUGAGUACGACAAUCACUUGAAUCAAGUGGGAGUUAAUCUUCUAGAUGAGAUAGUGAUGGUUCUCCAAUGUCACUGCCAGCAAGCUGUGAGAGCUUCGUGAUGAACUAUAACAUAUCAAGGAUAGAUACAAUGAUCCUUGAGCGAUUCACGAUGUUUGACACUGCGAAAGUAGAAAUCAAGAAGUAGCAUCAAUAGUUGAUGGUUUGUAAAACCACUAAGUUUCAAGAAAGGCAAGGGCUAGAAGGGAUACUUUAUGAAACGGCAAAACAGUUGCUGCACUAAUGAAGAGACCCAAGAUUAAACCCAAACCCGAGACUAAGUGCUUCUGUAAUGAGGGGAACAGUCACUAAGGUGGAGCAACUCUAGAUACUUGGUAGAUAAGAAGGCUGGCAAAAGUCGAAAGAAGUAUAUUUGAUAUACAUGAUGUUGAUGUGUACUUUACUAGUACUCCUAGUAGCAUGAGGGUAUUGGAUACAGGUUCGGUUGCUAACUGAUUAGUAACACGAAAUGAAAGCUACAGCAUAAACGGAGACUAGCUAAAGGCGAGGUGACGAUACGUGUUGGAAGUGUUUCCAAGGUUGAUAUGAUCAAACGUCGCACGCUCCCUCUACCAUCGGGAUUGGUGUUAAACCUAAAUAAUUGUUGUUUGGUGCUUGCGUUAAGCAUGAACAUGAUUGGAUCGUGUUUAUUGAAAUACGAUUAUUCAUUUAAAGAGAAUAAUGGUUACUCUAUUUUCUUGAAUAAUCACCUUCAAUGGUUUAUUGAAUCUCGAUCGUAGUGUUACACAUGUUCAUGAUAUUGGUGCCAAAAGAUACGAGGUAAUGAUGAUAGUACCACUUACUUGUGGCACUGCCGCUUGAGUCGUGUUGGUAUAAAUUGCAUGAAGAGGCUCCAUGCUGAUGGAUCUUUAUACUCACUUGAUUUUGAAUCACUAGCGACAUGCAAAUCAUACCACAUGAGCAAGGCCUUGUUUUCAUUGAGAUGAAAUAAGAUAGUAACUUGUUGGAAGUGAUACAUUUUGAUGUAUGCAGUCCAAUGGAUGCUGAGGCACGCAGUGGAUAUCAUUAUGUUCUUACUUCAAUGACGAUUUGAGUAGAUACUAGAGUAUUUGCUUAAUGAGUCACAAGUCUGAAAUAUUGAAAAGUUCAAUUCUGUUUCAGAGUGAAGUUCAUCGUACAAGAGGAUAAACUGUCUACGAUAUGAUCAUAGAAAUGAAUAUCUGAGUUACGAGUUUUGGUACGCAGUUAAGACAAUGUGGAAAUUGUUUCGCGGUUCAUGCCACCUAGAACAUCAUAGUGUGAUGAUGUGUCUAAACGUUAUAGCCACGCACUAUUUGGUAUGGUACAUGCUAUGAUGUCUCUUAUCGAAUUACCACUAUCGUUUAUGGGUUAUGCAUUAGAGACAACCGCAUUCACUUUAAAUAGGGCACCACGUAUUUCCGUUGAGAUGACACAGUAUAGACUGAGGUCUAGAGAAAUCUAAACUGUCGUUUCUUGAAAGUUUGGGGUUUCGACACUUAUGUGAAAAAGUUUCAGUCUGAUAAGCUCGAACCCAAAGCGGAUAAAUGCAUCUUCAUAGGAUAUCCAAAACAGUUGGGUACAUCUCCUAUCUCAGAUCCGAAAGCAAAGUGUUUGUUUCUAGAAACGGAUCCUUUCUCGAGGAAAGGUUUCUCUCGAAAGAAUUGAGUGGGAGGGUGGUAGAACUUGAUGAGGUUAUUGAACCAUCACUUCGACUAGUGUGUAGCAGGGCGCAGGAAGUUGUUCCUGUGGCGCCUACACCAAUUGAAGUGAAAGCUGAUGAUGGUGAUCAUCGAGCAUCGGAUCAAGUUACUACAAGACUCGUAGGUUGACAAGGUCGCGUACUACUACAGAGUGGUAUGGUAACCCUGUCUUGGAGGUCAUGUUGUUGAGCAACAGUGAACCUACGAGUUAUGGAGAAAGCAAUGGUGGGCCCAGAUUCCGACAAAUGGCCAGAAGCCAUGAAAUCCGAGAGAGGAUCGAUGUAUGAAAACAAAGUGUAGACUUUGGAAGAACUACUUGAUGGUCAUAGGACUAUUGAGUAAAGAUGGAUCUUUAAAAGGAAGACAGACGAUGAUAGUGAUAAGUCACUAUUAAGAAAAGCUCGACUUGUCGCAAAGAUGUUUCCGACAAGAUCAAACCGUUGACUAUGAUGAGACUUUCUCACUCGUAGCGAUGCUAAAAGUCUGUUAGAAUUAUGUUAGUAGUUGAUGCAUUAUUUAUGAAAUAUUGCAUGUAGGAUGUCAAAACAUUGUUUCCUCGACAGUUUCCUUGAGAAAACAUUGUAUGAGAUACAACCAUGAGGUUUUGUCGAUCCUAAAGAUACUAGCAAGUAUGCAAGCUACAGCGAUCCUUAAAUGGACUGGUGCAAGCAUCUCGGAGUUGGAAUAUACACUUUGAUGAGAUGAUCAAGGAUUUUGGGUUUGUACAAGGUUUAUGAGAAACUUGUAUUUCCAAAGAAGUGAGUGGGAGCACUAUAGAAUUUCUGAUAAGUAUAUGUGGUUGACAUAUUGUGGAUCAGAAGUAAUGUAGAAUUUCUGUAAAGCAUACAAGGUUGUUUGAAAGGAGUUUUCAAAGGAAUACCUGGAUUAAGCUACUUGAACGUUGAGCAUCAAAGAUCUAUGGAGAUAGAUCAAAAGCGCUUAAUGGAAGUUUCAAGAAGAUGCAUGCCUUGACAAAUUUUUGAAAGAGUUCAAAAUAGAUCAGCAAAGAAGGAGUUCUUGGUUGCGUUGUAAGGUGUGAAUUUGAGUAAGACUCAAAACCCGACCACGGCAGAAUAAAGAGAAUAGACGAAGGUCGUCUUCUAUGCCUUAGCCGUAGAAUCUAAAGUAUGCCAUGCUGUGUACCGCACCUGAUGUGUGCCUUGACUCAAAGUCUGUUGAGAGGUACAGAGAGUGAUCCAUGAUUGAAUCACUAGCAGCGGUCGAAAUUUAUCCUUAGUAACUAAUGGACUAAGGAAUUUUUCUCGAUUAUGGAGGUGGUUAAAGAGUUCGUCGUAAAGGGUUACGUCGAUGCAAGCUUUGACACUAAUCCGAAUAACUAUGAGUAGUGAAAAGGAUUCGUAUAGUAGAGUAGAUAUUUGGAGCAUUUCUGAAUAGCACGUAGUAGCAUCAUCUAUAAGAUGACAUAAAGAUUUGUAAAGAACACACGGAUCUGAAAGUUUCAGAACCGUUGACUAAAACCUCUCUCACGAGCAAGACGUGAUCAGACCCCAUAACUAUAUGGGUGUUGGAUUCGUUGGAAUCACAUGGUGAUGUGAACUAGAUUAUUGACUCUAGUGCAAGUGGGAGACUGUUGGAAAUAUGCCCUAGAGGCAAUAAUAAAUUAGUUAUUAUUAUAUUUCUUAGUUCAUGAUAAUCGUUUAUUAUCCAUGCUAUAAUUGUAUUGAUUGGAAACACAAUACUUGUGUGGAUACAUAGACAAAACACUGUCCCUAGUAAGCCUCUAGUUGACUAGCUCCUUGAUCAAAGAUGGUCAAGGUUUCCUGGCCAUGGGCAAGUGUUGUCACUUGAUAACGGGAUCACAUCAUUAGGAGAAUCAUGUGAUGGACUAGACCCAAACUAAUAGACGUAGCAUGUUGAUCGUGUCAUUUUGUUGCUACUGUUUUCUGCGUGUCAAGUAUUUAUUCCUGUGACCAUGAGAUCAUAUAACUCACAGACACCGGAGGAAUGCUUUAUGUGUAUCAAACGUCGCAACGUAACUAGGUGACUAUAAAGAUGCUCCACAGGUAUCUCCGAAGGUGUUAGUUGAGUUAGUAUGGAUCAAGACUGGGAUUUGUCACUCCGUGUGACGGAGAGGUAUCUCGGCGCCCACUCGGUAAUACAACAUCACGCACAAGCCUUGCAAGCAAUGUAACUUAGUGUAAGUUGCGGGAUCUUGUAUUACGGAACGAGUAAAGAGACUUGCCGGUAAACGAGAUUGAAAUAGGUAUACUGAUUCUGACGAUCGAAUCUCGGGCAAGUAACAUACCGAAGGACAAAGGGAAUGACAUACGGGAUUAUAUGAAUCCUUGGCACUGAGGUUCAAACGAUAAGAUCUUCGUAGAAUAUGUAGGAUCCAAUAUGGGCAUCCAGGUCCCGCUAUUGGAUAUUGACCGAGGAGUCUCUCGGGUCAUGUCUACAUAGUUCUCGAACCCGCAGGGUCUGCACACUUAAGGUUCGACGUUGUUUUAUGCGUAUUUGAGUUAUAUGGUUGGUUACCGAAUGUUGUUCGGAGUCCCGGAUGAGAUCACGGACGUCACGAGGGUUUCCAGAAUGGUCCGGAAACAAAGAUUGAUAUAUAGGAUGACCACAUUUGAUUACCGGAAGGUUUUCGGAGUUACCGGGAAUGUACCGGGAAUGACGAAUGGGUUCCGGGAGUUCACGGGGGGUGGGGGGGGGCAACCCACCCCGGGGAAGCCCAUAGGCCUUGAGGGUGGCACACCAGCCCUUAGUGGGCUGGUGGGACAGCCCAAAAGGCUCUAUGCGCCAAGGAGAAGAAAAUCAAGAGAGAAAAAAAGGGAGGAGGUGGGAAGGAAGGGGGACUCCCUCCCACCAAACCUAGUCCAACUCGGUUUGGGUGGAGAGAGUCCUCCCCCUUGGACUCGGCCGACCCCCUUGGGGCUCCUUGAGCCCCAAGGCAAGGUCCCCUCCCUCCCACCUAUAUAUACGGAGGUUUUAGGGCUGAUUUGAGACGAUUUUUCCACGGCAGCCCGACCACAUACCUCCACGGUUUUUCCUCUAGAUCGCGUUUCUGCGGAGCUCGGGCGGAGCCCUGCUGAGACAAGGUCAUCACCAACCUCCGGAGCACUGUCACGCAGCCGGAGAACUCUUCUACCUCUCCGUCUCUCUUGCUGGAUCAAGAAGGCCGAGAUCAUCGUCGAGCUAUACGUGUGUUGAACACGGAGGUGCCGUCCGUUCGGUACUAGAUCGUGGGACUGAUCGCGGGAUUGUUCGCGGGGCAGAUCGAGGGACGUGAGGACGUUCCACUACAUCAACCGCGUUCUCUAACGCUUCUGCUGUACGGUCUAAAAGGGUACAUAGAUCACUCAUCCCCUCUCGUAGAUGAACAUCACCAUGAUAGGUCUUCGUGUGCGUAGGAAAUUUUUUGUUUCCCAUGCGACGUUCUCCUACAGUGGCAUCAUGAGCUAGGUUCAUGCGUAGAUGUCUUCUCAAGUAGAACGCAAAAGUUUUUUGUGGGCGGUGAUGUGCGUUUUGAUGCCCUCCUUAGUCUUUUCUUGAUUCCGCGGUAUUGUUGGAUUGAAGCGGCUUGAACCGACAUUACUCGUACGCUUACGAGAGACUGGUUUCAUCGUUACGAGUAACUCCGUUGCUCAAAGAUGACUGGCAAGUGUCGGUUUCUCCAAAUUUAGUUGAAUCGGAUUUGACCGAGGAGGUCCUUGGAUGAGGUUAAAUAGCAACUCAUAUAUCUCCGUUGUGGUGUUUGCGUAAGUAAGAUGCGAUCCUACUAGAUACCCGUAGUCACCACGUAAAACAUGCAACAACAAAAUUAGAGGACGUCUAACUUGUUUUUGCAAGGUAUGCUUGUGAUGUGAUAUGGCCAACGAUGUGAUGUGAUAUAUUGGAUGUAUGAGAUGAUCAUGUUGUAAUAGUUAAUAUCGACUUGCACGUCGAUGGUACGGCAACCGGCAGGAGCCAUAGGGUUGUCUUUAAACUAACGUUUGUGCUUGCAGAUGCGUUUACUAUAUUGCUAGGACGUAGCUUUAGUAGUAAUAGUAUGAGUAGCACGACAACCCCGAUGGCGAAACGUUGAUGGAGAUCAUGAUGAUGGAGAUCAUGGUGUGAUGCCGGUGACAAGAAGAUCGUGCCGGUGCUUUGGUGAUGGAGAUCAAGAAGCGCAUGAUGAUGGCCAUAUCAUGUCACUUAUGAAUUGCAUGUGAUGUUAAUCCUUUUAUGCACCUUAUCUUGCUUAGAACGACGGUAGCAUUAUGAGGUGAUCUCUCACUAAAAUUUCAAGACGAAAUUGUGUUCUCCCCGACUGUGCACCGUUGCUACAGUUCGUCGUUUCGAGACACCACGUGAUGAUCGGGUGUGAUAGACUCAACGUUCACCUACAACGGGUGGAAAAUAGUUGCGCACGCGGAACACUCGGGUUAAGCUUGACGAGCCUAGCAUGUGCAGACAUGGCCUCGGAACACAUGAGACCGAAAGGUCGAUCAUGAAUCAUAUAGAUGAUAUGAUUAGCAUAGGGAUGCUUACCACUGAAACUAUACUCAACUCACGUGAUGAUCGGACUUGGGAUAGUGUAAGUGGAUCAUGAACCACUCAAAUGACUAGAGAGAUGUACUUUUUGAGUGGGAGUUUAGCAUAUAAUUUGAUUAAGUUAAACUCUAAUUAUCUUGAACAUAGUCUAAGUCCACUUUGAAUAUAUUUGUGUUGCAGAUCAUGGCUCACGCGACAGUCAUCCUGAAUUUUAGUACGUUCCUAGAGAAAGCUAAGUUGAAAGAUGAUGGAAGCAACUUUGUAGACUGGGCUCGUAAUCUUAAGCUAAUCUUACAAGCUGGGAAGAAGGAUUAUGUCCUUAAUGGUGCGCUAGGAGAUGAACCACCCGCUACGGCUGAUCAGGAUGUUAAGAAUGCUUGGUUAGCACGUAAGGAGGACUACUCAAUAGUUCAAUGUGCAGUCUUGUAUGCCUUAGAACCGGGACUUCAACGUCGCUUUGAGCGUCAUGGAGCAUUUGAGAUGUUCCAGGAGUUGAAUUUUAUCUUUCAGAAGAACGCCCGGAUCGAGAGGUAUGAGACCUCCGAUAAAUUCUAUGCUUGCAAGAUGGAGGAAAACUCAUCUGUCAGUGAACAUGUGCUCAAAAUGUCUGGGUACUCAAACCGUCUAGCUGAGCUGGGGAUUGAACUCCCGCAAGAGGCUAUCACUGACAGAAUCCUUCAAUCACUGCCGCCAAGUUAUAAAGGAUUUGUGUUGAACUACAACAUGCAAGGGAUGAACAAGUCUCCCGGCGAGUUGUUUGCGAUGCUGAAAGUCGCAGAGUCUGAACUCCAUAAAGAGCAUCAAGUGUUGAUGGUGAAUAAGACCACUAGUUUCAAGAGAAACGGCAAAGGCAAGAAGGGCAAUUCGAAGAAGAGCGGCAAGCCUAUUGCCAAUCCGCCGAAGAAACCGAAAGCUGGACCUAAGCCUGAAACGGAGUGUUACUAUUGCAAGGGUAUGGGUCACUGGAAGCGCAAUUGCCCCAAGUAUCUGGCAGAUAAGAAGGCGGGCAAAGAAAAAUUAGGUAUAUUUGAUAUACAUGUUAUUGAUGUGUACUUAACCGGCUCUCGUAGUAGUGCCUGGGUAUUCGAUACCGGUUCUGUUGCUCAUAUUUGCAACUCGAAACAGGAACUGCGGAAUAGACGAGGGCUGGUGAAAGAUGAAGUGACGAUGCGCAUAGGAAAUGGUUCCAAGGUUGAUGCAAUCGCCGUCGGCACAGUGUCACUUCAGCUACCGUCAGGAUUAGUGAUGAACUUAAAUCAUUGUUAUUUAGUGCCUGCGUUGAGCAUGAACAUUAUAUCUGGAUCUUGUUUAUUGCGAGACGGUUACUCUUUUAAGUCAGAGAAUAAUGGUUGUUCUAUUUCUAUGAGUAACAUCUUUUAUGGUCAUGCACCGAAUGUGAGAGGAUUGUUCAUAUUGAAUCUUGAUAGCGAUACGCAUAUACAUAACAUUGAGACCAAAAGAGUUAGAGUAAACAAUGAUAGCGCCAUAUUUUUGUGGCACUGCCGCUUAGGUCAUAUUGGUGUAAAGCGCAUGAAGAAACUCCAUGCUGAUGGACUUUUGGAGUCACUUGACUUUGAUUCACUUGACACGUGCGAACCAUGCCUCAUGGGCAAGAUGACUAAGACUCCGUUCUCCGGAACAAUCGAGCGUGCAAGUGACUUAUUCGAAAUCAUACAUACCGAUGUGUGUGGUCCGAUGAGCGUGGAGGCACGCGGCGGAUAUCGUUAUUUUCUCACCUUCACUGCCGAUUUGAGUAGGUAUGGCUAUGUCUACUUGAUGAAGCACAAGUCUGAAACAUUUGAAAAGUUCAAGCAAUUUCAGAGUGAAGUGGAAAAUCAUCGUAACAAGAAGAUCAAAUUCCUACGGUCUGAUCGUGGGGGUGAAUAUCUGAGUUUCGAGUUUGGUGAUGACUUAAGAAAAUGUGGAAUUGUUUCACAGUUGACACCGCCUGGAACACCACAGCGUAAUGGUGUGUCCGAACGUCGUAAUCGUACUUUGUUAGAGAUGGUGCGAUCUAUGAUGUCUCUUACUGAUUUGCCGUUAUCAUUUUGGGAUUAUGCAUUAGAAACAGCUGCAUUCACUUUAAAUAGGGCACCAUCAAAAUCCGUUGAGACGACACCAUACGAACUGUGGUAUGGCAAAAGGCCAAAGUUGUCGUUUCUUAAAGUUUGGGGAUGUGAUGCUUAUGUCAAAAAGCUUCAGCCUGAAAAGCUGGAACCCAAAGCGGAAAAGUGCGUCUUCAUAGGUUACCCAAAAGAGAGAGUUGGGUACACCUUCUAUCUCAAAUCCGAGGGCAAAGUGUUUGUUGCUAAGAACAGAGCUUUUCUCGAGAAGGAGUUUCUCUCGAGAGAAUUGAGUGGGAGGAAGAUAGAACUUGACGAGGUUGUCGAACCUCUCAUCCCUCUGGAUGGUGGCGCAGGGCAAGGGGAAACCUCUGUCGUUGCGACGCUGGUUGAGGAGGAAGUUAAUGAUGAUGAUCAUGAAACUCCAGUUCAAGUUUCUGUUGAACCACGCAGGUCGACGAGAUCACGUGCUGCUCCAGAGUGGUACGGUAAUCCCGUCUUAUCAAUCAUGUUGUUAGACAACAAUGAACCUGCAAAUUAUGAAGAAGCAAUGGUGGGCCCAGAUUCCAACAAAUGGCUAGAAGCCAUGAAGUCCGAGAUAGGAUCCAUGUAUGAGAACAAAGUGUGGACUUUGGAGAUACUACCUGAGGGCCGCAAGGCUAUUCAGAACAAAUGGAUCUUUAAGAAGAAGACGGACGCUGAUGGCAAUGUGACCAUUCAUAAAGCUCGACUUGUGGCAAAGGGUUUUUCACAAGUUCCAGGAGUUGACUACGAUGAGACUUUCUCACCCGUAGCGAUGCUUAAGUCCAUCAGAAUCAUGUUAGCAAUAGCUGCAUUUUUCGAUUAUGAAAUCUGGCAGAUGGAUGUCAAAACGGCGUUCCUUAACGGUUUCCUUAAGGAAGAGUUGUAUAUGAUGCAACCCGAAGGUUUUGUCGAUCCUAAGAAUGGUAACAAGGUGUGCAAGCUCCAGCGAUCCAUUUAUGGACUGGUGCAAGCAUCUCGGAGUUGGAACAAAUGCUUUGAUGAGGUGAUCAAAGCAUUUGGGUUUAUACAAGUGGUUGGAGAAUCUUGUAUUUACAAGAAAGUGAGUGGGAGCUCUGUGGCGUUUCUAAUAUUAUAUGUGGAUGACAUAUUACUGAUUGGAAACAAAGUAGAGCUUUUGGAGAGCACAAAAGGUUACUUGAAUAAAAGUUUCUCUAUGAAGGACCUAGGAGAAGCUGCUUACAUUCUAGGCAUUAAGAUCUAUAGGGAUAGAUCAAAACGCCUGAUAGGACUUUCACAAAGCACAUACCUUGAUAAAGUUUUGAAGAGGUUCAAAAUGGAACAGUCCAAGAAAGGGUUCUUGCCAGUUUUACAAGGUACGAGAUUGAGUAAGACUCAGUGCCCAGCAACUGAUGAACAUAGAGAGCAUAUGCGCUCCGUCCCCUAUGCUUCAGCCAUAGGUUCUAUCAUGUAUGUGAUGCUGUGCACUAGACCGGAUGUUAGCCUGGCCAUAAGUAUGGCAGGUAGGUUCCAGAGUAAUCCAGGAGUGGAUCACUGGACAGCGGUCAAGAAUAUCCUGAAGUACCUGAAAAGGACUAAGGAGAUGUUUCUCAUAUAUGGAGGUGACGAAGAGCUCGCCGUAAAAGGUUACGUCGAUGCAAGCUUUGACACAGAUCCGGACGACUCUAAGUCGCGAACCGGAUACGUAUUUAUUCUUAAUGGGGGUGCAGUAAGCUGGUGCAGUUCCAAGCAAAGCGUCGUAGCAGAUUCUACAUGUGAAGCGGAGUACAUGGCUGCCUCGGAGGCGGCUAAGGAGGGUGUCUGGAUGAAGCAGUUCAUGACGGAUCUUGGAGUGGUGCCAAGCGCAGUGAAUCCAAUAACCUUGUUCUGUGACAACACGGGUGCCAUUGCCUUAGCAAAGGAACCACGGUUUCACAAGAAGACCAGACACAUCAAACGACGCUUCAACCUCAUCCGCGACUACGUCGAGGAAGAGGACGUAAAUAUAUGCAAAGUGCACACGGAUCUGAAUGUAGCAGACCCACUGACUAAACCUCUUCCACGGACAAAACAUGAUCGACACCAGAACUGUAUGGGUGUUAGAUUUAUUACAAUGUAAUUCACAUGGUGAUGUGAGGGCUAGAUUAUUGACUCUAGUGCAAGUGGGAGACUGUUGGAAUUAUGCCCUAGAGGCAAUAAUAAAUAUAGUUAUUAUUAUAAUUCCUGUAUCAAGAUAAUCGUUUAUUAUCCAUGCUAUAAUUGUAUUGAAUGAAGACUCAUUUACAUGUGUGGAUACAUAGACAAAACACCGUCCCUAGCAUGCCUCUAGUUGGCUAGCCAGUUGAUCGAUGAUAGUCAGUGUCUUCUGAUUAUGAACAAGGUGUUGUUGCUUGAUAACUGGAUCACGUCAUUAGGAGAAUCACGUGAUGGACUAGACCCAAACUAAUAGACGUAGCAUGUUGAUCGUGUCAUUUUGUUGCUACUGUUUUCUGCGUGUCAAGUAUUUGUUCCUAUGACCAUGAGAUCAUAUAACUCACUGACACCGGAGGAAUGCUUUGUGUGUAUCAAACGUCGCAACGUAACUGGGUGACUAUAAAGGUGCUCUACAGGUAUCUCCGAAGGUGUUAGUUGAGUUAGUAUGGAUCAAGACUGGGAUUUGUCACUCCGUGUGACGGAGAGGUAUCUCGGGGCCCACUCGGUAAUACAACAUCACACACAAGCCUUGCAAGAAAUGUAACUUAGUGUAAGUUGCGGGAUCUUGUAUUACGGAACGAGUAAAGAGACUUGCCGGUAAACGAGAUUGAAAUAGGUAUGCGGAUACUGACGAUCGAAUCUCGGGCAAGUAACAUACCGAAGGACAAAGGGAAUGACAUACGAGAUUAUAUGAAUCCUUGGCACUGAGGUUCAAACGAUAAGAUCUUCGUAGAAUAUGUAGGAUCCAAUAUGGGCAUCCAGGUCCCGCUAUUGGAUAUUGACCGAGGAGUCUCUCGGGUCAUGUCUACAUAGUUCUCGAACCCGCAGGAUCUGCACACUUAAGGUUCGACGUUGUUUUAUGCGUAUUUGAGUUAUAUGGUUGGUUACCGAAUGUUGUUCGGAGUCCCGGAUGAGAUCACGGACGUCACGAGGGUUUCCGGAAUGGUCCGGAAACGAAGAUUGAUAUAUAGGAUGACUUCAUUUGAUUACCGGAAGGUUUUCGGAGUUACCGGGAAUGUACCGGGAAUGACGAAUGGGUUCCGGGAGUUCACCGGGGGGGGGGGGGGCAACCCACCCCGGGGAAGCGCAUAGGCCUUGAGGGUGGCGCACCAGCCCUUAGUGGGCUGGUGGGACAGCCCAAAAGGGCCCUAUGCGCAUUGGAAGAAGAAUCAAAGAAAAAUAAAAAAAAGGAGGAGGUGGGAAAGGAAAGAAGGACUCCACCCACCAAACCAAGUAGGACUCGGUUUGGGGGGGAGUCCUUCCCCCCUUUGGCUCGGCCGACCCCCUUGGGGCUCCUUGAGCCCCGAGGCAAGGCUCCCCCUCUCCCACCUAUAUAUACGGAGGUUCUAGGGCUGAUUUGAGACGACUUUUCCACGGCAGCCCGACCACAUACCUCCACGGUUUUUCCUCUAGAUCGCGUUUCUGCGGAGCUCGGGCGGAGCCCUGCUGAGAUAAGAUCACCACCAACCUCCANNNNNNNNNNNNNNNNNNNNNNNNNNNNNNNNNNNNNNNNNNNNNNNNNNNNNNNNNNNNNNNNNNNNNNNNNNNNNNNNNNNNNNNNNNNNNNNNNNNNACAGUGGCAUCAUGAGAUAGGUUCAUGCGUAGAUGUUUUCUCGAGUAGAACACAAAAGUUUUUGUGGGCGGUGAUGUGCGUUUUGCUGCCCUCCUUAGUCUUUUCUUGAUUCCGCGGUAUUGUUGGAUCUAAGCGGCUCGGGCCGACAUUACUCGUACGCUUACGAGAGACUGGUUUCAUCGCUACGAGUAACUCCGUUGCUCAAAGAUGACUGGCGGGUGUCAGUUUCUCCAACUUUAGUUGAAUCGGAAUUGACCGAGGAGGUCCUUGGAUGAGGUUAAAUAGAAAUUCAUAUAUCUCCGUUGUGACGUUUACAUAAGUAAGAUGCGAUCCUACUAGAUACCCAUGGUCACUACGUAAAACAUGCAACAACAAAAUUAGAGGACGUCUAACUUGUUUUUGCAGGGUAUGCUUGUGAUGUGAUAUGGCCAACGAUGUGAUGUGAUAUAUUGGAUGUAUGAGAUGAUCAUGUUGUAAUAGUUAAUAUCGACUUGCACGUCGAUGGUACGGCAACCGGCAGGAGCCAUAGGGUUNNNNNNNNNNNNNNNNNNNNNNNNNNNNNNNNNNNNNNNNNNNNNNNNNNNNNNNNNNNNNNNNNNNNNNNNNNNNNNNNNNNNNNNNNNNNNNNNNNNNGGAAUACCCCUAGUGGAACAUCAGGCAAAGUAGUAUCUCUAGCAGUAUCAAGCAUAGCAUCAUCAGGCAGAAUAGCAUCUCUAGCAUCAUCAGGCAAAUAAGUAUCAAGCAUAGCAUCUCUAGCAGUAUCAGGCAAAGAAGUAUCAGGCAUAGUAUCAAACAUAGCAUCUCUCACAGUAUCAAGCAUAGCAUCUCUAGCAGUAGCAUCAUAAGCAUCAUCAAGCACAUGCGACAUAUCAAGAUUUCUAGCAGGAGGUAAUGUCACAAACUUACUCAUAACUGACGGUGAAUCAAGUGCAGAGCUAGAUGGCAAUUCCUUACCUCCUUCAGAUUCUUCAUAGUGAUCAGCAGAUAUAAAUCCCAAGUAACUCAGAGAAUAUGGCAAUACCUCCCCGGCAACGGCGCCAGAAAAAUGCUGACUGGCACUCUCUGGCAAUAGCUAGACGAAUGCUGAUUUUGUGACAACAAACCUUCCCUUGCAAUGGCACCAGAAGAAUGCUACUAGCACUCCCCAGCAAUGAAACUAGAAGAAUAUUGUUGACGGCCCACCAAUGUGUGGGUUCGCAACAGUUUUCGAGGGUAGAGUAUUCGACCCAAACUUGUUGGUUAGCCAGACAGGAGGUGAGAGAAUACUCUCGAGUAUUAGCAGUUGAAUGCGUCAGAUUCAACCACACCUGAAAGAUUAGUAUCUGAAAGCAAAGUAGUAACAACAAAGUAGUAUGAUAACAACGGUGUCAGAAACGAUCUAUUGACGGCAGACUAUUCCUAACGAUUGUAUCAAUGGCGCCAAGUUGCCUCGUUGACGGAAAUUGUCAGUUCCCGUCAACGACCAGCAAACCAAAAUUGUAGCAGGUAGCAGCAGUGUAACGAGUAAUAGCAGCGGCAAGGAAUAGUAGUAGUGACAACAGUAGCAAGUAGCAACAGUAGCAAGCGACAGUAGUAGCAACAGUAGCAGCAGAGCAAGACAAGUAACAGCAGCAAAGCAAGAUAAGUAACAACAGCAGUAGGACAAACUCGUAGGCAAUGGGUCGGUGAUUUGUUUGGAUGAUAUUCAUCAUGCAACAGUUAUAACACGGAGAGAUAUGUGGCUAGCUCCCGUUCGUCAAUGUGAUGUAGGGAUGCAUUCCGUGCGUCGUCAUACGUGCUUAGGGAAAAGAACUUGCAUGACAUCUAUUGUCCAUCCCUCCCGUGGCAGCGGGGUCCAAAAGGAAACUACGGGAUAUUAAGGUUCUCCUUUUAAUAAAGAACCGGACCAACGCAUUAGCAUUUGAUGAACAUAUGAACUCCUCAAACUAUGGUCAUCACCGGGAGUGGUUCCGGUUAUUGUCACUCCGGGGUUGCCGGAUCAUAACACAUAGUAGGUAACUACAACUUGCAAGAUCGGAUCUAAAACACACAUAUAUUGGUGACAAUAUAAUAAUUUCAGNNNNNNNNNNNNNNNNNNNNNNNNNNNNNNNNNNNNNNNNNNNNNNNNNNNNNNNNNNNNNNNNNNNNNNNNNNNNNNNNNNNNNNNNNNNNNNNNNNNNAAGCUUGGGGAUGCCCCCGUGCAUCCCCUUCUCCAUCAACAAUCAUCAGUUUGCCUUCUCCAUGCUAUAUUGUUAUCACUUCAUAUGUUAUGUGCUAUGCUUGGAGCGUCCCGCUCUUUACUUGUUAGUUUGUUUUACUUUUGCUUGAUGUUCAUAACAAGUUGAAACCUAGCCUUAUUUGUUUGGGAGAGAAACACGCUCCACUCCACCCUAGAACACAACAUAGGUUUUCAUGCUUAUCUUUUUUGUGUGUUCUUUAUCUUUUCAUAGUUGAUGCCAUGCUUAGCUCUUAGUUUUCAUGCUUUAUAUUUUUAAGAGCUUUUAUUUAAGUUGCUUUUGGAACUCUCUUGAGUUAUCAUGCUUAUCUUGUUUAGAGAGUUGGUUGUUGCACUGAGUUGUGUGUCUUGCAUGAGUAGGUAAUUGAGGUUGCUAUUUAAGUAUAGUAGUAACUUGCAAUAGUUUUGAGGUAUUGAUUUGAGUAAUGUUUGGACCAUUGGUGUCAAGGGCUUGAGCCUAUUAGUGAUAGGUGUCGUAUUUUGGGAAAUCCAUGUGUAUUUUCAAAAACAAAAAAAAAUUAGUUGAGAACUCUAGUUACUAGAUGGAUCGCUAACCUCUAGAGGGGUUGGGAUAUAUAGAGUACCCUCACGUUAUCAUAGGCCGGGAAUGCGCAAGGAUAACCAAACCCCCAAACAUUCCUCCUCGGGGUACUUGUCUCUUUGUGAAUCUCCUAACUAGAUAGAGAGUUACCGAUAAUAAGUGCAUGAGUUCUUCGGACUAAUGCGAGUAUUCGAUUGUUGGUACUUCCACCAUCCAUAUUUUGCUAGCAUCUUCGGUACCGUGCAUUGCCCUUUCUCAUCUUGAGAAUUGGUGCAAACUUCGCCGGUGCAUCCAAACCCUUGGCAUGAUACGCUCUGUCAUCAUAAGCCUCAUUAUAUCCUUCGUCAAAACAACCACCAUACCUACCUAUUAAGGCAUUUCCAUAGCCUUUCCGAUAUACAUUGCCAUGCAACAUCCAGCAUCUCAUGACUUGAUCUUCAUGUCAUACAUGCUAUUGCUUGAUCGAGGAGCCGCAUGCUAGUUGGGCCUUUCCCUUAUUAUUGCUACAUGACGUGCUAGUUUCAUUGGAUAUCAUGCUACACUGAUAGAGAUAUACAUUUGCAUACAUCAUGAUAGUUUUCAUUUGUCUUUAUGUUGAGUACUUCUUAUAAAGUGUGAAGAUCUUCUUUUAUUCUUGUAGAACAUAGAGUGUUGCCCUUAAGUGAGGAAAAGAUCCCAAAGAGGACAAAUUAAAAGAUCCCAAAAGAGGACACAUGAAAAGAUUCCAAAGAGGACAAAUGAGAGAUAAAUAGAGAGAGCCAAAGAGGCCACAAAAAUAAAUAAAAAGUAAAAGAAAAAAGAAAAAAGAAAAGAAAAGGGAAGGGAANNNNNNNNNNNNNNNNNNNNNNNNNNNNNNNNNNNNNNNNNNNNNNNNNNNNNNNNNNNNNNNNNNNNNNNNNNNNNNNNNNNNNNNNNNNNNNNNNNNNCGGACGGCACCUCCGCGUUCAGCACACGUACAGCUCGACGAUGAUCUCGGCCUUCUUGAUCCAGCAAGAGAGACAGAGAGGUAGAAGAGUUCUCCGGCAGCGUGACGGUGCUCCGGAGGUUGGUGAUGACCUUGUCUCAGCAGGGCUCCGGCCGAGCUCCGCAGAAACGCGAUCUAGAGGAAAAACCGUGGAGGUAUGUGGUCGGGCUGCCGUGGAAAAAUCGUCUCAAAUCAUCCCUAAAACCUCCGUAUAUAUAGGUGGGAGGGAGGGGACCUUGCCUUGGGUCUCAAGGAGCCCCAAGGGGGUCGGCCGAGUCCAAGGGGGAGGACUCUCUCCCCCCAAACCGAGUUGGACUAGGUUUGGUGGGAGGGAGUCCCCCUUCAUUCCCACCUCCUCCCUUUUUUUUCUUUCUCUCUUGAUUUUCUUCUCCUUGGCGCAUAGAGCCUUUUGGGCUGUCCCACCAGACCACUAAGGGCUGGUGUGCCACCCUCAAGGCCUAUGGGCUUCCCUGGGGUGGGUUGCCCCCCCCGGUGAACUUCCGGAACCCAUUCGUCAUUCCCGGUACAUUCCCGGUAACUCCGAAAAACCAUCCGGUAAUCAAAUGAGGUCAUCCUAUAUAUCAAUCUUCGUUUCCGGACCAUUCCGGAAACCCUCGUGACGUCCGUGAUCUCAUCCNNNNNNNNNNNNNNNNNNNNNNNNNNNNNNNNNNNNNNNNNNNNNNNNNNNNNNNNNNNNNNNNNNNNNNNNNNNNNNNNNNNNNNNNNNNNNNNNNNNNUGCAGCGUGACGGCGCUCCGGAGGUUGGUGAUGACCUUGUCUCAGCAGGGCUCCGCCCGAGCUCUGCAGAAACGCGAUCUAGAGGAAAAACCGUGGAGGUAUGUGGUCGGGCUGCCGUGGAAAAGUCGUUUUAAAUCAUCCCUAAAACCAACGUAUAUAUAGGUGGGAGGGAGGGGACCUUGCCUUGGGGCUCAAGGAGCCCCAAGGCGGUCGGCCGAGUCCAAGGGGGAAGGUUCCCCCCCCCAAACCGAGUUGGACUUGGUUUGGUGGGAGGGAGUCCUUCCUUCCCUUCCCACCUCCUCCUUUUUUUUUCUUUUCUCCUUGAUUUUCUUCUCUAGGCGCAUAGGGCCCUCUUGGGCUGUCCCACCAGCCCACUAAGGGCUGGUGUGCCACCCUCAAGGCCUAUGGGCUUCCCCGGGGUGGGUUGCCCCCCCGGUGAACUCCCGGAACCCAUUCGUCAUUCCCGGUACAUUCCCGGUAACUCCGAAAACCUUCCGGUAAUCAAAUGAGGUCAUCUANNNNNNNNNNNNNNNNNNNNNNNNNNNNNNNNNNNNNNNNNNNNNNNNNNNNNNNNNNNNNNNNNNNNNNNNNNNNNNNNNNNNNNNNNNNNNNNNNNNNCAACAACAAAAUUAGAGGACGUCUAACUUGUUUUUGCAAGGUAUGCUUGUGAUGUGAUAUGGCCAACGAUGUGAUGUGAUAUAUUGGAUGUAUGAGAUGAUCAUGUUGUAAUAGUUAAUAUCGACUUGCACGUCGAUGGUACGACAACCGGCAGGAGCCAUAGGGUUGUCUUUAUACUAACGUUUGUGCUUGCAGAUGCGUUUACUAUUUUGCUAGGAUGUAGCUUUAGUAGUAAUAGCAUGAGUAGCACGGCAACCCCGAUGGCGACACAUUGAUGGAGAUCAUGAUGAUGGAGAUUAUGGUGUGACGCCGGUGACAAGAAGAUCGUGUCGGUGCUUUGGUGAUGGAGAUCAAGAAGCGCAUGAUGAUGGCCAUAUCAUGUCACUUAUGAAUUGCAUGUGAUGUUAAUCCUUUUAUGCACCUUAUUUUGCUUAGAACGACGGUAGCAUUAUGAGGUGAUCUCUCACUAAGAUUUCAAGACGAAAUUGUGUUCUCCCCGACUGUGCACCGUUGCUACAGUUCGUCGUUUCGAGACACCACGUGAUGAUCGGGUGUGAUAGACUCAANNNNNNNNNNNNNNNNNNNNNNNNNNNNNNNNNNNNNNNNNNNNNNNNNNNNNNNNNNNNNNNNNNNNNNNNNNNNNNNNNNNNNNNNNNNNNNNNNNNNCACAAACAAAUUUUCGAAAACUUGAACAUUUUUUAAAUUCUUGAAUAUUUAUCCUAAAUAUUUAAAAUUAUUCGAAUUUGCUAACAUUUGUAAAUCUGCACAAUUGGCCAUUGGUCGGACAAGGGGGGUGGGAUGGGGAGGAAGCGGCAGCGGCGUUACCUCGAGGAGGGGGGUCGGGGUCGGGGACGGCGGCGGAUCUUGCGGUGGGGGAGGUUGGGUGGAGAUUGGAAGGGUGCGGCGCCUGGAGGGGUGCGGGGGCGCCUGGAGGUCUCAGGCGGGCGGCGGCAGCGAAACUGCAGGAGCGUUGGAGAGGGGGGAUCGGAGGGGGAGUUAGGAAAAUUUUGAGCGAGGUUAACUAAACAUAGUAGUAGCGCUGGAUUAGUACCAACACUACUGCUAACUUAGGAGGAGCGCUGGUACUAAUCCAGCGCUACUACUAACUGCUAUAGUAGUAGCGCUGGUUUAGUACCAGCGCUAGUGCUAAAUAGCAGUAGCGCUUGUACCAAUCCAGCGCUACUGCUAACUUUCUUNNNNNNNNNNNNNNNNNNNNNNNNNNNNNNNNNNNNNNNNNNNNNNNNNNNNNNNNNNNNNNNNNNNNNNNNNNNNNNNNNNNNNNNNNNNNNNNNNNNNUGUGAUGGACUACGACCCAAACUAAUAGACGUAGCAUGUUGAUCGUGUCAUUUUGUUGCUACUAUUUUCUGCGUGGCAAGUAUUUGUUCCUAUGACCAUGAGAUCAUAUAACUCACUGACACCGGAGGAAUGCUUUGUGUGUAUCAAACGUCGCAACGUAACUGGGUGACUAUAAAGAUGCUCUACAGGUAUCUCCGAAGGUGUUAGUUGAGUUAGUAUGGAUCGAAACUGGGAUUUGUCACUCCGUGUGACGGAGAGGUAUCUCGGGGCCCACUCAGUAAUACAACAUCACACACAAGCCUUGCAAGCAAUGUGACUUAGUGUAAGUUGCGGGAUCUUGUAUUACGGAACGAGUAAAGAGACUUGCCGGUAAACGAGAUUGAAAUAGGUAUGCAGAUACUGACGAUCGAAUCUCGGGCAAGUAACAUACCGAAGGACAAAGGGAAUGACAUACGGGAUUAUAUGAAUCCUUGGCACUGAGGUUCAAACGAUAAGAUCUUCGUAGAAUAUGUAGGAUCCAAUAUGGGCAUCCAGGUCCUGCUAUUGGAUAUUGACCGAGGAGUCUCUCGGGUCAGGUCUACAUAGUUCUCGAACCCGCAAGGUCUGCACACUUAAGGUUCGACGUUGUUUUAUGCGUAUUUGAGUUAUAUGGUUGGUUACCGAAUGUUGUUCGGAGUCCCGGAUGAGAUCACGGACGUCACGAGGGUUUCCGGAAUGGUCCGGAAACGAAGAUUGAUAUAUAGGAUGACUUCAUUUGAUUACCGGAAGGUUUUCGGANNNNNNNNNNNNNNNNNNNNNNNNNNNNNNNNNNNNNNNNNNNNNNNNNNNNNNNNNNNNNNNNNNNNNNNNNNNNNNNNNNNNNNNNNNNNNNNNNNNNACCGUCUCGCAAUAAACAAGAUCCAGAUAUAAUGUUCAUGCUCAACGCAGGCACUAAAUAACAAUGAUUUAAGUUCAUCACUAAUCCUGACGGUAGCUGAAGUGACACUGUGCCGACGGCGAUUGCAUCAACCUUGGAACCAUUUCCUAUGCGCAUCGUCACUUCAUCUUUCACCAGCCCUCGUCUAUUCCGCAGUUCCUGUUUCGAGUUGCAAAUAUGAGCAACAGAACCGGUAUCGAAUACCCAGGCACUACUACGAGAGCCGGUUAAGUACACAUCAAUAACAUGUAUAUCAAAUAUACCUAAUUUUUCUUUGCCCGCCUUCUUAUCUGCCAGAUACUUGGGGCAAUUGCGCUUCCAGUGACCCAUACCCUUGCAAUAGUAACACUCCGUUUCAGGCUUAGGUCCAGCUUUCGGUUUCUUCGGCGGAUUGGCAAUAGGCUUGCCGCUCUUCUUCGAAUUGCCCUUCUUGCCUUUGCCGUUUCUCUUGAAACUAGUGGUCUUAUUCACCAUCAACACUUGAUGCUCUUUAUGGAGUUCAGACUCUGCGACUUUCAGCAUCGCAAACAACUCGCCGGGAGACUUGUUCAUCCCUUGCAUGUUGUAGUUCAACACAAAUCCUUUAUAACUUGGCGGCAGUGAUUGAAGGAUUCUGUCAGUGAUAGCCUCUUGCGGGAGUUCAAUCCCCAGCUCAGCUAGACGGUUUGAGUACCCAGACAUUUUGAGCACAUGUUCACUGACAGAUGAGUUUUCCUCCAUCUUGCAAGCAUAGAAUUUAUCGGAGGUCUCAUACCUCUCGAUCCGGGCGUUCUUCUGAAAGAUAAAAUUCAACUCCUGGAACAUCUCAAAUGCUCCAUGACGCUCAAAGCGACGUUGAAGUCCCGGUUCUAAGGCAUACAAGACUGCACAUUGAACUAUUGAGUAGUCCUCCUUACGUGCUAACCAAGCAUUCUUAACAUCCUGAUCAGCCGUAGCGGGUGGUUCAUCUCCUAGCGCACCAUUAAGGACAUAAUCCUUCUUCCCAGCUUGUAAGAUUAGCUUAAGAUUACGAGCCCAGUCUACAAAGUUGCUUCCAUCAUCUUUCAACUUAGCUUUCUCUAGGAACGUACUAAAAUUCAGGAUGACUGUCGCGUGAGCCAUGAUCUGCAACACAAAUAUAUUCAAAGUGGACUUAGACUAUGUUCAAGAUAAUUAGAGUUUAACUUAAUCAAAUUAUAUGCUAAACUCCCACUCAAAAAGUACAUCUCUCUAGUCAUUUGAGUGGUUCAUGAUCCACUUACACUAUCCCAAGUCCGAUCAUCACGUGAGUUGAGUAUAGUUUCAGUGGUAAGCAUCCCUAUGAUAAUCAUAUCAUCUAUAUGAUUCAUGAUGGACCUUUCGGUCUCAUGUAUUCCGAGGCCAUGUCUGCACAUGCUAGGCUCGUCAAGCUUAACCCGAGUGUUCCGCGUGUGCAACUGUUUUGCACCCGUUGUAUGUGAACGUUGAGUCUAUCACACCCGAUCAUCACGUGGUGUCUCGAAACGACGAACUGUAGCAACGGUGCACAGUCGGGGAGAACACAAUUUCGUCUUGAAAUUUUAGUGAGAGAUCACCUCAUAAUGCUACCGUCGUUCUAAGCAAAAUAAGGUGCAUAAAAGUAAUAACAUCACAUGCAAUUCAUAAGUGACAUGAUAUGGCCAUCAUCACGUGCUCCUUGAUCUCCAUCACCAAAGCGCCAGCACGAUCUUCUUGUCACCGGCUCCACACCAUGAUCUCCAUCAACGUGUCGCCAUCGGGGUUGUCGUGCUACUCAUGCUAUUACUACUAAAGCUACAUCCUAGCAAAAUAGUAAACGCAUCUGCAAGCACAAACGUUAGUAUAAAGACAACCCUAUGGCUCCUGCCGGUUGUCGUACCAUCGACGUGCAAGUCGAUAUUAACUAUUACAACAUGAUCAUCUCAUACAUCCAAUAUAUCACAUCACAUCGUUGGCCAUAUCACAUCACAAUCAUACCCUGCAAAAACAAGUUAGACGUCCUCUAAUUUUGUUGUUGCAUGUUUUACGUGGUGACCAUGGGUAUCUAGUAGGAUCGCAUCUUACCUAUGCAAACACCACAACGGAGAUAUAUGAAUUGCUAUUUAACCUUAUACAAGGACCUCCUCGGUCAAAUCCGAUUCAACUAAAUUUGGAGAAACCGACACUUGCCAGUCAUCUUUGAGCAACGGAGUUACUCGUAACGAUGAAACCAGUCUCUCGUAAGCGUACGAGUAAUGUCGGNNNNNNNNNNNNNNNNNNNNNNNNNNNNNNNNNNNNNNNNNNNNNNNNNNNNNNNNNNNNNNNNNNNNNNNNNNNNNNNNNNNNNNNNNNNNNNNNNNNNCAAAUGACUAGAGAGAUGUACUUUUUGAGUGGGAGUUCUUAAGUAAUAUGAUUAAUUGAACUAAUUGUCAUGAACAUAGUCUAAUGGUCUUUGCGAAUUACGAUGUAGCUUGCGCUAUAGCUCUACUGUUUUUAUAUGUUCCUAGAGAAAAUUUAGUUGAAAGUUGAUAGUAGCAAACUUUGCAGACUGAGUCUGUAAAACCGAGGAUUGUCCUCGUUGCUACGCAGAAGGCUUAUGUCCUUAAUGCACCACUCGGUGUGCUGCACCUCGAGCGUCGUCUGUGGAUGCUAUGAACAUCCGACAUACACGUUUCUGAUGACUACACGAUAGUUCAGUGCUAAAUACUUAAUGGCUUAAAAGCAAGGCACCGAAGACGUUUUUAAACGUCACGGAACAUAAGUGAUGUUCUAAAGAGAUGAAAUUGUGAUUUCGUGCUCGUGCCCUUGUUGAGAGGUACGAGACCUCCGACAAGAUUCUUUGUCCACAAAGUAAAGGAGAAAAGNNNNNNNNNNNNNNNNNNNNNNNNNNNNNNNNNNNNNNNNNNNNNNNNNNNNNNNNNNNNNNNNNNNNNNNNNNNNNNNNNNNNNNNNNNNNNNNNNNNNAUCUGAAAUCAUGGCACUCGGGCCCUAGUGACAAGCAUUAAGCAUGGAAAAGUAGUAGCAACAUCAAACUCAUAACAUAGUGGAUACUAGGGAUCAAUCCCCAUCAAAACUAACUCGAUUACAUGAUAGAUCUCAUCCUACUCAUCACCGCCCAGCGAGUCUACGAAUAGAUUACUCACGAACGACGAAGAGCUUCAUGGAAUUGGAGAGGGAAGAAGAUUGAUGAUGUCGAUGGCGAUGGCGACGAUUUCCCCUCUACGGAGCCCAAAAUGGACUCCAGAUCUGCCCUCCGGAUGAAGAACAGGUUGUGGCGGCGCCUCCGUAUCGCAAACACGACGAAAUCUUCUCUUUUUAUUUUUUCUGGGACGAAAGUGAACUUAUAGACCUGAGGUUGGGGGCGGCGGAGCCGUGUGGGCCCCACAAGCUUGCCCACCGCCACCAAGGGGUGGUGGAGGCAGGGCUUGUGGCCCACUGGCCUACCCCCUUAGGUGGAACUUGGCGCAGGUAUUUUUCAUAUUUUCCAAAAAUGGUCCCCGUAAAUUUUCAGGACGUUUGGAGAACUUUGAUUUCUGCACAAAAAUAACACCAAGGCAAUUCUGCUGAAAACAGCGUCAGUCCAGGUUAGUUCCAUUCAAAUCAUGCAAAUUAGAGUCCAAAACAAGGGCAAAAGAGUUUGGAAAAGUAGAUACGAUGGAGACGUAUCAGCGGCCGACACCGGCGUCCCCAAGCAGAGGGGGCACCAGAGGCCACUAGGCCGGGGAGGCUGAUCUGGGGCCCAACCCACUCACCUCGCGGCGGGUCUCUGUGGGGUUAAGACGGGUGGGAGGGCGCCCCUGGGCUGCUGGACAUAAGGGAGCCCAGCCAUGGGCGUCAAAAUCCCACCUGUCACCGAGGGUGCACCACCAUACCCGAUCUCUCUAUGACCAGGUACGGAGUGCAUCGGGGGUGCAGGGGGAUCUGCCCGUGCAGCGAGGAUACGGGCUUCCGCCAGAGCCCCCUCAAGCCUCUCUUUCGCACACAAGGCGGAGAUCUGUUCAAGAGGGGAUACUUUCUCCCCUCGGAACACAAUACCACUAUCCGCAACCACUUCCGCCAAAUGGGGCACCAUAUCGCUAGUAAGCACACAGAAUCGAGAGCCGGAAUGAGAGGGAGGGAGGGGGAGGACGUACCCGGAAACAGAUCACGGGCCGCAGCACGGCGAGCUGCCAGAUCAGGGAUCGUCGGGAUGCGGCCAUCCUGAAGGAUCCGGGACUUGCUGAUCCGCGCGCUCUGUCGCGCCGCCACCACGAGGGAGGCGCCCUCACGGGGCCUAGAGCGGGGCGCAGGAGGUGUCUGAGACACCUAGUCGGGGUCAACGGCUGCAGGAUGGCCCGUGUCCGGGGACCCCAAGGUUGGGGAAGGAGGGGACCCCGGAGAACGCGAGUAGCAGACCACCCCGGGCGAGCGUGGGGACGAGGCAGGGCACACCUCCAUACCCACACUCACCUCCUCCUCGACAUCGACCACCGGGCCAGCAGAGCCAGGGAGAGGAAGCCGAGUGGCUACCACCGCCACUGGCACUAGAGCUACCACAGGGGUACCCCCUGCGAGCCCUCAUAGUCCAGCGGCUGAGGUGUCGGGGUUGCGCCGACCAUCAGACGAAUCGGGCGGAGCCCCUCCAUCAUCAUUAUCUCCCUCAGAAGACGAACCCUCCUCCGAAGAGCCCCCCUCGUUGUCAAGCCCCCCGUCGCCAGGCUCUGGACCAGCCAUGGCCGGGUCCAGCGGGACCAUUGGAGCUGGUGACUCGAGCUCGAAGGUGAGGCGCCUGUCCUUGGCACCGAAGUAGAAGACCAAGGACAGGCCAUCGAUCUCAGCAGGGGUCGGGCAAAGGAUCUCAAUGUGGGCAGGACCAUCAUCCUCAAAUGAUGCCAGGUCGGCGGUGAUCAGCUUGCCCACCGGCUCGGAGAUCACUUUCAGGAUGUGUUUAAGCUUGCGACCCCUCGGAGCCGCACUGCCUCCCCUCGGGAGGCCAUAGAAGAGGACCCACACCUUCUCCACGGGCGGGACGGGGUCAGGCUCCGCUUCCGCCGCCUGGACGGAAAUCAUGAACUUGUUGAUGGGACAGCGAAUGAGGUCAUGUGAGCAGACCCGGAGGAGCUCGGCCGAGGGGAAAGGGACCGAGAAGACGAGAGGAGCCGUCUCAGUCACCUCCAAGGCGAAGUCGGAGUCUCGAAAUUCGCCAAUGUAAGCCGCAAACUCGGCCCGGAUGAGGUUGGCCGAGAUCAACACCCCAUCCGGGGUGGCCUGCUCGGGAGCCAGGGUGACCGUAGCCAGGUGAGGCCGAGCCACCUCCUCCUCAACCUCUGCAUCCACGGAGUAGAAACUCCCCCGCUCAGUGUCGUACCCAAGGUAGGCAAGGGUCGUGGGGCACCGCGGGGGGGGGGGGGGGGGNNNNNNNNNNGCGGGGGCGGGGGGGGGGGGGGGGGGGGGGGGCUCACACUCCGAGCGGAAGUGCCCGGCGCAUCCACAGUGGAUGCACAUCGUGUCCUCACUGGAGCGCUGACGACUAACCCGAGCAGGGGGUUCCGGAGCCUCCUGCUCAAGAGCCCCCGGCGGGGUCAGGCAACCAGCACCCCCGGGAGUAGCAGCAGCGGCCUUCUUCUUCUUUGACUUCUUCUUCUUCUUUGCCGGAGUCGGGGCGGGCAGGGGAGCCACAGGCGGGAUCUCUCGGGACACGCGCCUAGAAGGCCCGUCGUCCCGGCGCCAGCCCGCACCCUCCGCCCGGGAGGAGCGCCAGUCGGAACGGCGGUCCCAUCACCGCGCCGCAUAUGCGGAGCGCCUCGCCGCUCCUCCCGGCGAUGGUCCUGGUGAUCCCGCCGCCAUGUUGACGCCGAGGUCUUGUGAGCAGGGGCUCGAGCCAGGGGAGCACGAGGAGCAGGCGCGUCCCGAGGCCGAGACAUCGGAGGGGGACGCGCCACCAACUCCGCCCAUAGGGCCGCUUCCCGGUCUACGUCAGAGACGGAUGACCGGGUGGCCUCCCGGCGGCGAGUGUCCCCCGACGAGCCCGGCAGGGGCAGGCGGGGAUCCCGUCCGGGUCCCGAGGAGGCUGGGGGCGGUGGAGGGAGGUUCCGGAGUAGUAUUCCGGGGACCUCCCUGGCCGAUUGGUACCCACGCGGCCGGAACGAGAGGAGCCAGUGCCCGCACCCCCAUCCGGGGCGAGGUCACGGGCCGCCGUCGCGGGAUGGGGGCCCUGGUCGGUCGGGAGAGGGCGUUUCGGCCGGGACUGGCCAUCCCCAACUUGACGGGUCAUCAGGGCCUCCUUGUAGGAGCGCCUCGGGGAGGGGAGGCCGAGAGGAGAAGACGGCCGAACGGGGGCAGAGGGGACGGUCGCGACACCUACAGCCGAGCGCACAGGGGCUGGGUCGAUGCGUCGGGCAAAUGAGUGCCGGCCGGUCGCCGGGAGGAGUCGGCAUGGACUGGGGCGCGUCACGAGCGAGACCACGAGAGGGAGGAGGAGCGCACAUGGGAAAUAGGGACGAGCCGAGGCCACGAGGUGGCGACGGCACGUGGUUAGGAGGGGGAACCCUAGCCCCGUGCCUGCCCGACCGUCUCGGGCCUGGGCCGCGUUGCACCAGCUGGGGAGGGCCCUGGUGGGCCGAAGCCCACCGUUGGUUUACCCACGCCAGCACGCGCGUCGCGCGUCGAGAGGCCCAGGCCACCUCGCUAGCUGAGAUGGGCCCCGACCCCGUCCGCAUCGGCCCAGAGGGGGGCUGACGGCCCACCCGCCUGCAAGCCUGCCCGGAGCGCUAGGGCAUGGGGUAGGUCGCGUCGCCCGGGAGCCUCCCGCCGCUGGCACCGGUGCCGCCGACGUCCAAGGAGGCAGGGCACCAGCGCCAGGCCGGGCCUCGCAGGCGCCCUCACCGACGGCCGCCAUGUGGGAUAACCCGGGCAGCACAUCGGCUCGGGCUGAGGAAGCACGAGAGAACACCACGGGGAGAGGCCUCCAGGACCUGGGCGCCGGAGACCGCCGCCCGACCACCUUCACCGGCCGCCGGCGGGCAGGGCGCGCCACGGCCAGGAAUAGGCCGAGUUGCGGUGGCGCCAGAGAUCUUCAAGCCUAACCUAUGUGAUGUCUCCAAACACGACAAUAAUUUAGUCACGUUCAUCUCCGCACUAUGACAACAAUAACAAUAAUAAACUCCAUCAUCCUACGACCACAAGCAAUCCCCGCACAAUUAAUGCAUCGCCCGAAAUGAAAAAUGUAUUUUUUUGCCUUGAUGGCAUUCCAUCGACCACUUGGCCGCCACAACACUUGUACCCAACAACGGCGGCCGGAUACGCCGGAACAGUGGACCUACGGGUGUCCAUAGAUGAUGCCCUAGGCGCCGCACAAGGACAAGGCACCAUAACUACCUGGUUGGUCAUCUUCUUUGACACGUCCUUGGUAAGAGCCGACACGCUGGCUGUCGGCUUCCUUUCCCGCUUGCCGGUGGUAGGAGCAGCGAGAGGGAAGCCUGUCAUCGCCGGAGAUGAACUGGCCUUGCCACCAACCAAGCUGUUGGCGUUGGUUGUUUGUGAGGGGGGCAAAUGAGGUUUUUUGUGCCCAAUCUUUUUUUGCGUGCGGGCGGCGGUGCGGGCUUCGUUUCUUGUGGUGACGCGUCGGGGCGUUGGAGGGCGGGGUGGUAGAAGAGUUUUGGCUAUCCAUCCCAACUAAAAUCGGGGGCAUCAUUGUUGGCUGCGGUGACUAGGGGCAGCGCCGGUGAUAAGGGGUGAAUGCCUACUGAAGGCACAGAAAUGGGAACAUUCCAUAAGUUUAUGGAGCAUAAAUUUUUAGUCGACACGGCCUUGGUUGAGUAUUUUAGGGAGAGUUGGGGAAGUUCUCGGGCCGAGGAGGAUAAAUUUUACUCCGCUAAAUGUUUGAGAGUUUGGUUAGGUCUUUUUGCACGGGUGGGCUAGGUCAGGUUAGCCACGUAUUUUUUUUCUCCUCUAAUCAAUUGUAGGGGAUCGGUUAAAGUUGUUUUUGGCCCAAUGUUCUGUAGCAAACUCUUCUAUUUUCAACAAAAAAGGAAAAAAAUGUUUUAAAAAUGCAUAUAUUUUGUCCCGUUAAGCAAAGAGUCAUGCUACACGUCGACUGGCGGAUCUUUCUAAAAUUCCGUCGGACGUCAACCGUCAGAUGUAUAGCUAUCCAGCGUUCAACAUCUUUUUAAUUUUUGCAAUAAGGGUAAUUUUACUGAAAUACUAUGCAACAAAAAUAAUGUAGUAGAAAUACUAUGCGACAUAAAUGAUGUUGCAGAUUUAUUUUCUUUAUCAUUUUUGCAACAUGACUGUUGUUGUGGGAAACAAAUUGCAACAUAAACAAUGUUGCAGAAAAUAUUUACGGUUUAUUCAGUCUUCAUUUUUUUUCAACACAUAUGUUGCUGCGAAAGAGAAUUUUACAACACACAUGAUGUUGCAGACAAAGAGAUGAACGGCGAGCGGUCAUGUCGAGGAGGUGGUGGAUUGCAGGCGAGCGAUCCGCCGGCUGAAGGCAAGAGUUUUCGUUAAGAAAAAGAACUAUGCAUGAUUGUUAGUUAAUAUUCUUCACUUGGUAUUUGAUGAUAUUUUAAUAUAGUCUAACGCUGUUGCAAAAACCAGUGUGAGUACAUGCGCUGGAAAACCACCCUGUAUUGCAGUGCUCGAUGGAUGCACUUCACUCUGAAUUCCCAUAACCCGCACUCUUAAAUUAAUCGCGAGUGCAUAUAACAUAUGCACAUUUAUCUCCCAUGGGGAUGCAGAGCCGCUCCGUAGUGAAAAUUUGUCAGUUUAAUUAGUUGUACUAUCUGUCUAGCGAUUUAGUUCAGUUCGUAUUUGCCCCUGCUUUAGCAAGCUUAUUGAAAGAUGCAGCUAUGUCUGGCUUGUAUUUAAAUAGCAGGUAGCACAUGGUGAAGAAAACAUAAAGAGAGAGUGAUCAAUGGAUCAAGGAUGUAAGAAGAAGAAAAUGAAAAAAAGGAAAAACUUAAAAAACUAGGAAUCUUUCACGGUGGCUCCCCAAAGGGGUGCUCCAAUGAAACUGCGUCUGCCUCGCGCCACAACCUAAGAGUUUUGUUGAUUUCCUCUUUUAUGUCUUGAACUUGUGCCUCCUUGUUCCUGAAGGUGCAUUCGUUUCGCUCCUUCCAAAUCUCAGCAAGUAUUAGGAUGAUCAUGGUUUUGAUUGCCUUGUUGUGCUCCGCCGUUGCGUUGCUUAUCAUUUUGGAUAUGAUUGUUGUUGGCUUGUUUUUGCAAGGCCAUUUGCUUGGGUGAAGGGAGCUGCAACCGACAUAAGAUGCAGCCUGUGUCCAAACUGAUAUUGCUCUCGAACACUGCCAGAACAAAUGAACUGAUGAUUCAAGGUUUCUGAGGCACAGUUGGCAGAAGUAGCUGUUUGUCCAUCCUCUUCUCUGGAGGCGAUCAUUACACCACAACCUAUCCUUGAGGAGCAGCCAUGUGAAGAACUUAAGCUUUGCAGGUGCCCAGGAGGCCCAUACUAGCUUUCUGAAGUCUGAAUUAAAACCCCCCUGGAAUUGGGCUUUAUACGCAGAGCUGGCAGUGUAUACUCCUGAAGCUUCGUGUUUCCAGUUGAUAGUGUCGCUUACUUGCUCUUGUAGCUGAAUACUUCUCUUUUGAAUCCAUCUAUUCAGCUUGACCGCCUCUUCCCAUAUGUUUGCGGUGUCUCCGUGGGCCAGGUCUACAAUCCAGUUGUGGUUCUGUAGUGCCUCCUUCACCGAUCUAUUUUUUCUACGGGUAUGCUUGAAAAGUUUUGGGAAGGCUGUCUUUAGGUUUCCUGAGCCUGUCCAAGAGCAAUUCCAAAAUGAAGCCCGUUCGCCAUUCCCUAGUGUAACUAUCGUAGAGGCAUUGAACAAAGCUCUGUCGUUGUCAUCACAUGGUAGCUGCAUGCCAUUCCAUGGCCUAUCCUCGCUUGUCCAGGACAGCCAUAGCCAACGUAGUCGUAGAGCUCUGGUGAAACAUGUCAUGUCAAGAAUUCCCAGACCUCCGUUUCUACCGGGGAACAUGCUACUUGCCAACCUACUUUGCAUUUUCCCCCACUGACUUCUUCCUCUUGUGCCCAUAGAAAACGGCGUCGGACCUUGUCAAUCUCUAGAAGAAAUUUCUUUGGUACCUGCAGCACCGAUACGGCAAAAGUGGGCAAUGAUGUCAGAACAUUCCUAAUCAAAACCCUUCUAUCGGUUAUGGUGAGCAGUCUCCCUUUCCAUCCAGCUAGCCUGACUCGAAUCCUAUCUAAGAUGAACUGGAUAUGGACGAGGCGCAACCGCGAUAGCGUGAGAGGGAGGCCUAGGUAUCUCACAGGGAAAUCUACUAUCUCUCCCCCAAAGUUUGUAGAACUUCCUGAAGGUUGAUUCCUUCGUAGCGGAUGGCCGAUGCAGUUGAUUUCGCUGGGUUAAUACGAAGUUCAGUCGUGUUCCCAAAAUCUCGUAGAAUGCCGANNNNNNNNNNNNNNNNNNNNNNNNAUGCCGAGUAGCGUGUCUAACUCUUGUCUAUUUGGGGUAGCAAAAAUAACAGCAUCAUCGGUGUAAAGGCUAACCCGGAGUGGGAUUUGCCUACCCGGCAGCGGGGCUAGCAUCUGUAUAUCAGUCGCCCGUGCUAGUAGUCUGUGUAGGGGGUCAAUGGCGAUGAUGAAAAGCAGGGGCGAU